rnacentral:lncRNA from 1 species
CGCCAAGACCACCUGUACCACCACAUGCACCACCACAUGCACCACCACAUGCUCCACCACCUGCACCACCACCUGCACCACCACAUGCACCACCACCUGCACCACCUAGCCCACCACCUGCACCAUCGGCACCAUCAACUCCAGCGGUACCAAUAUCUUCACCUGAAUUAGUAGCGAGACCCACACCACUAAAUGGGAUGAAGUUGAUCUUCUCUUUUUUAAAACCAGCUCCUCCACUUCGUACGGUGGUAGCCACAUCCACUGUGGUCGGAGUCUUGUCGCUCAGGGUGGUUGUGGGCAUAUUUCUUGCAUUGCUUUGCACAAUAAACACAAGUGCACAAACUGCUACAAAGAACAACUUCAUCAUCUCUCUCUCUCUCUCUCUCUCUCUCUCUCUCUCUCUCUCAUACAAACUAAGACCAAGGGGAUGUUUGAGGUGAAGGGAGGUGGUGGUGGUGGAGGUGGCUAUUUAUGGAGAGCACAAACGAUGGUGGACAAUUGUAAUGGCUGAAAGUGUAAAUGAAGAAGGUGCAUGGAAUUAAUGUAUUUGGUUCUGAUUGUUGUACGAAUUGAGUAGUACUGUUGCAUUGAACUGACGGGAGAAGUGUUGCAUGGGGUGGGGUUUGAAGAGUGUGUUUGGUGGGUGUGUGCCUUGUGUCAUACAUCUUUCGCACUAAGUGUGGGUUUGGUGUGUGUUUUUGAAUUCUUACUUAUGGGUAAUUAAAAGUGUUAGUUAGUGAGCCAAAGUUCUAUACUUUUGUCCUGGUCGUUAUAUUUCGUGUGGGGUUUAAAAUGUGGCGCUUUAAUUGAUGUUGCGUUUCUUUCUUUUUAUGUGUUGAUUGUGACUAAUCGCAGUUCUUAAAGCAUUGUCAGAUGAAGAAGUUUGUUGGUGUCCCAAAGUAUUUUUCAUUUUUCAAUGGAUUUUUCAUUAGACCGAAACUUCCUUCAUUUUUUGUGGGCUAGAACACCCUUACUCUCACUUUUCUUUUCCUCACCUAAACCUAAGGAAUGGGUGAGAAGCUUCCCUCACUAUUUUUUUUAUAUAAAAUUAACUCAUUUUUAUAAUUUAUAAUUUUUAAAUUAAUAACAACCAAAAAAUUUAAUUAAAAAUAAAAUGCAUUUCAUUAAUUAAAAUAAAAAUUACAAUAAACCUAAAAUUUAAAAAGUAGAAAAUUAAAAAAAAAAACACAAACAAACCAAAAGCAACCUAUGGAAAAUAUUUUUUCAUAAUUAUUUUCUUCUUCUUCAUCACGAGCUCAAAAGCCGGUCCUGAGAGAUGGUCGGUGUUUUCCAUCAAGAACUUCAUAUUCUCCAUUUCUUGCCUCUCCGUGCGCUCCUUCUUCCUUGCUUCUUCUUUUUCUUUGUUGAAUGCCAAAUGUUCAGCAAAAUUAAGAUUAUAUCGAGCAAACGACGUUGUUAUUUUCCGCAUUUCAUCAACGUCCAUGCUGAAAUUCAAUGCACCUGAAGAAGUCCUUUUUCCCUUCCUCUUUGCUUUGUCCCUACCCAUCGGUCGGAUAAUUUAUUCUAGCUCGAGUUCGUCCUCCUGAUUUAAAUCUAGAUCGACCCAAGCAUCGGAGGAAGUUGUGUAACCACUAGAGCCCGUUUUUGUUCGCUUUGAUUGUUGUACUCCAAACAUAAAAUCUUGCUCGUUUUUUUCCACCUAGGACAUCUAACCAAUAAUUUCUAACAAUCGUGCCACUUGAAUGGUUGUCCGACUUCCUCAAGGUAAAAUUGCAAACCUUCUUGAAGUAUUUCUUCGUUGCCUUGGCUGCUUUUUCAUUAGGUUUUUAGGUUGUUGUACAACCUGUUUAUUUUUUACACCCCCUUUGCUAUUUCUCGAAACAUCGAAUUCAGUUGGUGUUUCGUACGGUAGUCAUCAUCUUUUUCUAGCUCCUCCUGAAACCGUUCUAAAAUGCGAAACCAAAAAUGAUCUCCUGGUUGUGCAUUUCCUGUCUUCGAAUCCUCAUAAAUGUCAACGCAAGAUUUUACCAAAACUAGCUCUUCUUGUGGAAGCCAUGUUGUCGACUUUUGUCUUCCCGGUUGUGCGACACCAUUGCACGCUUGUUAUUUUCCUUUGCGUCGUUGUGGGGGUGGUGUGGGUUGAGUUUCGAGAACCAUCUCUUCUUCUUCCGAGUCAUCCAACUCAUUGAAAAGUUGGAAUUGUUGUUGGCUUUGGGUUUGAGUUUGGGGUUGGGUUUGGGUUUGGGUUUGAGGUUGAUUUGGCAAACGUUGAUCGGGAAAAAUAACAAAGUUUGAAAUCAUUUGCGGAGUAACGUUUGGAACUUAGACCGAGUAAUAUUGUCUAACAUUUUAGUAUUGAAAUUAUAGUCGAGAUUGAAUGAGAGUAUCGAGUUGGGGACGAUAAAAUCCUUGUGAUGAUGAAUCGAUAGCAAAAAUGUUUCGAGUAGGGUGCUUAAACUCGAAACAUGAGUUUUUUUCCUUCUAUCGGAGGUUGGGGUUUGAUUGUCGGGAUUCAUUUUUUUUUGAAGAAAUUAGAGGUUGUAGAGGGUUUGUUUGAAGGUUUGAUUGAAGGUAAAUAAGUAUGAGUAUUUAUAGAGGUUGUAGAGGGUAAAAAAAAUUAUUUUUAAACCAAUUAGCCGUUAGAAAUUAAAAGAAAAGAAAAAAAAAACAAAAAAAUUUAACAUUUUACCGUUUUAAACGGUUAGUUUCAAAAAAAAAAAUCUACCCAAUCAGCAAAGGAGCGAGAACGCGACAACCGAUUCCCUCACUCCCUUCCCCGCGCAGCCUUCCCGCACCGCCGGUGCGGUGCUCAUUGGAGCGGGAACCUUCCUGCGGCUCCUCCCAUGCCCCAUUUCGUCCGACCUUACUAUGUGGUUAUUGCUUAAUUAAGUUGGAUGUUGUACUUGGAACUACAAUGCUAUUUUGGUCACUGAUUGGUGUUGUUUAUGAGGUUGUGUUCUUUUUAGGCUUUAUUUUUAGAGGUAUUUAUUUCCUUGGAGAAUACAUCAAAGGAAUUUUUACUCAAAGUACAUUGUAAUUGUGGGCAUAUCUAAUUCAGUUUUGAAUGGAUGGGGUGUUUGUGUUUUUUUUCUUUUGAACUGAAGGUUGCUUCAAUUGUUUCAACAUGUUAAUUAUCUACAUAAUGGUUGUGGGGAGUUUUGUUAUUUAUAUAUUUUUUUCCUAUUCGUGAGUUCCUUGAGCCCCUAGAGAUUCUUGUUGGUAUUGGAAUCAAGUAUAAAUUUAUAGGCAAGAUACAUGAUGAAUAAGAAGGAAAAUGAGUUCUUUAAAAAAUACUUAUUAAUAACUGGAGCAAUUACAAAGUUACAUGCACAGAUAAAUAUAAGUCAACCAUAUUGACUUUUCAUCCUACGAAUGCAUAUAAUAUGGAGCGUUAGUUGGAAGUCGAAGGACAAUGUCAAGAAUUGGUGUCAGUUUAGCUUUGAAUGAUUUCUCCAUAGAAGAGACCAUGGGAGUUAUUUGAUCUUGAGAAAAUGAAUUUGAUGAAGGCAUAUCAAACUUCGACAAUUUCUCAUGAAAGCUAGUAAGCAAAUUCUCAAUCUUCACAUACACUUGAUUAUCUUCCUGGUUUUUCUCUUGUAAACCCUUGGCAUAUUCCUUAUUAAAUUCUUAGACAUCUUCUAUCAUCGUACAAAUGACCCCAACCAAGGUUUCAAUACUACUUUUGACUUGUCCACAAAAGUUUUUUAUUUUGCAAUUUCUUUCUCAAGCGAAUUACGAAGUUCAGUAAGCUUAAACUCAAUUGACUUCUUUGAAGAGGUCACAAGCUUCUCAAAGAGUUCAUGUCUCUCUUUGGGAAUGCAAAGUCAACUUUUCAUCAAGCUUCCUAUCAGCACCUUCAAUUAAAGUCCUAGAGUAACACCCCGAAAAUCUUUACAUAAACGACAGUAGCCUUUUGUUACAUGAAUACUAGCGGUGGUAAAACUAUUUUGAUUCUAAGAGUAUGAAUUGAAAUAAAUUAAAAAAAAUGAUAUUUAACUAAUAUUUGAAAGAAGUAAUUUAUAUUUAAUGAGCAUAUAAUUUAUUUAAAUGAUUUUGUGGGAAUUGAGGUAAAUAAUUCAUUAAGAGGUUUAAAAAGAGUUGUGGGGCCAAGGUGUCGUUAAAAGAAACUUAUAUUAUCAAGUUAUUAGGGUUAGUAUUGUUAGUAAUUAAAUCUGGAAAGUAUAGGGAGUUGUUUUAAAAAAUCAAAUUGAAACUCCUAUAAUCCUAAUUAGCAUCGAGUUAAGAGGUUUUAAUGACGGAUUGGAACGUUUAUUUUUCUAUGGGUUACAUGUACGCAUCAAGAGGUUGCAGAAAAACUGAUUCUCGCUAUUCCUUGUGUAUGUCGACUUGCAAGAAAAAAGAGCCGAUCCUCUAGAAGAAAAUAGACGUUGAUCAACAAAGUGAAAAGAAACAAUCGACUUUUGGAGGGGAGAAGAAAUCAAAGAAUCGAGAAGGGAGGGGGAGAGACGAUUUUUCUUGUCAAUACUAGAGGAGGGUAGGGGCUAAGAAAAAUCAACCCAUUAUUGGUAAAGUUCUCUACUUCUUCUUAUUUUCAAGUUUAAAUCUCAAUGGAUUAUCAAUUGGGUGAAUUUUGGUGUUAAACUUCCUUUUAUUGGGUGUUAAUUGUCUCACUUUCAUUCUCCUAGGAAAAUUUGAAUGUUCAUAUGAUAAAUUUUAAUCUUAUUGAGUGUAUCUUGAUGACUUAUUUCUGUCAAAAUCUUGUUAUGAACACUCUGAAGAAUGUUAUUGUUCAUGUGCUUGAAAUACUCCAAGUUUUUGAGAACAUUGUAUACAUUGGUGAUUAAUAAACUCAUGUUAUUGCUAUCUUGAUUCAAGUGGGUAAUUUUAUGUAAAAAGACCAUGUUUUGAGACAUCAAAAUGUCUUCAAAAAAAUACCUAAAAGGUCUUAAUAGGAGGCUUAAGUGUGGGGGAAACUCAAGGCCUAAUGGUGUUUCCUCUUUUAGCAAUGAACUUUGUUUUUCCUAUAAAAGCAUUGCACUUUGAGUCAUGAUUUGAGGUUGUAUUUUCCAUUAUAAUUUUUUAACAUAUAAUUACUAUUAAGAACUCAAAUUUCAUCUUUAUAAAUGAUUUUGGUUAAGGCUUAAUGGGUUACGUUGUCAAUUAACCCUUAAAAAUGCAUUGCUAGGAAAUUCUGAAAAAUUACUAAUCUAUCCAUGUUUUGGAGAAAAAUAUAGAAGAAUCAUUAGGAGUUAUAUUGGGGAUCCGUAAACUCUCAAAGUUUUAAUUUUAAGUCUAGUUUGUUCAUGAUUUUUCCUAAGACCUUAUAUUCUCCCUAACCAAGAUGAAAAUCGUCUUUUCACUGAUUGGUCAGAAAUUAGCUGCACGGGCAUGCUGUCUUGUAAAAUUCAUAGAAAAUUCUAGAAACAUCGUAUGGACUUGCGCAAGCACUUUCUAAAAAGAUAAAAGUCUAAUCUACUAGAAUAUGAAAACAAAUUGCAAAUUAUUCAGGUAUAAGCGGGGAUAAAGUGGCCUUGAAUAGGUUGUUGUUUCAGGACAAAAUAUGAGAAUUUGACCUAAUGACUAUUUUGCAUCUUUGGGUAGUUAAUUGGCGUUAUUUGUUCAUGUGAACUUCUAGUAAUACAUUUUUUUGUGGUUUAAUAUGGAAAGGUUUGAUACCUUAGUUACUAAAAGAGUUGAAGUGUAGAUAGCACGUGUUUUUGAAAAAAAAUGAGUCAAUCUUUGUGGUUAUUUAGAGUACUUGUUAGGGAUUCCACAUCUUAGAGGGUUUGGAAUGAACCUAGGUUGUUUACGUUGCAUGUACCCCAAUUGUGAAUGAUAUUUUGAUAUAAAUAAUGUUUCCUUCAUCCUAUACUUUUUGGUUGCUAUUUUGAUGUGAGGGGUGUGAUAGGUCCAUGAUAGAAGGAGAGAUUUGUGUUGAUUGUGUGUGAAUAUAUGCAUGUAAUAGUUCAUUGGUAAUAUUUGUCUGUGUUGGUUAGGACAAUGCAUGGUAGAGAUAUAAUGUGACUUAAUGAUGAAGUGAUGCUAUGAGCAUGAUUAUAUAAAAGAUGUAAAAUGCCUUAACUUGUGAUACCUUGUUGUGUGUUUAAAUAAUUUGAAGUAUGGAAGUAAUAUCACAUCUAAUAUUAUUAAUUGAAAUUGAGCAUUAUUAAUUAAGGAGGUUUGUAGUGUAAUCCUUAUGUGAUGAUUAAUAAUUUAUUAAUUAAAAAGGGGAAUACACUUAGUGGGGAGUAAAGGGUAGCAACCUAGACUUAGGUGUGUGUAUUGUAUCCGGAUACUUUUGAGGGCCUUAUAGGUUGAAAGAUACCUAAAGGGAAAGAACAUAAGCCAAAUGGUGACGUCGAGUGGUUUUUCUAGACCAUCACUUAGGACAUGGUUCACGAACAUUAAGGUGUUCGAGGACUGGAGUGAUAUUUUCAUAAUGAUGGCGCAGGAUUAAAUAUCAUGUUUGAGUGGGAAGUUUGUAGUGAUAGGAAACAAUGACAAGUACCACUCUCGAACGACAAUGCAUAUACUUGUAUGUGCAACGUUGGAGUAGCGAACAUAGAGAACCGAGAGUAAUGUUACGAGUGAGAGUCGUGCCUUACUUAGUGCAUUGGGUUGAGCCGAUCUCGUUAGUAGUGAAUGAGGUUUUUACCUCUUGGGUUAGUGAUGGACCCAGUAGGGUAGGGUUGGGUCGGUCACUUAGUAGUGAAUGGAUUUUGCCUUCAGGUUAGUGAUGAACCUAUGUGUGGGGCGUCUACAUUACGGGUUAGUGAUGGAACCAUGUGUGGAGAGUCUUCCUUGAGGAUUAGUGGUGGACCCAGGGCUAGGAAUAAUUAAUAAUUAUCUCUUUUUAAAAGAUAAAUAAUAACGAUAGACCUUAAGGACACUCUAGUGAUGAACAUGCAAUGUAUGUGAUGUAUAUGAUGUGUGUGAUGUAUGUGAUGAUAUGCUAUGUGUGUUUUCCUAUCAUUAUACUUAUGGUUGAAUCACUUAAAGUUUUCUAACACUUGUUUCUUUGCUUUUUUUUUUUGCAUUGCAUUGGUACAAGUAGCAUAGUUUUUCGGCUUGGUGAGGAUGGGGAUUUUGGGUACUUACAUUCUAGUUUAUGUCAUAGUAUUGAUACUAUAUGGGCAUGUAGUUGAGUUUUCUUAAUACUUGUUUUUGAGAACUUGUUUUGAUUUGGUUUAUGAACUUUAUUUUGAUGAAUUAUGUGUUUGGUAAUAAAAGUAACAUGGUGAUGGUUUCAUAAAUUCAAAAUAAGACUUCCGCUAACGUAUUCUUUUUAAAAUAUGUUUAAAAAUAAAAAGAAAAAUUUGGGUGAAUAAUCUUGAUGUUACACCUAGUCCUCCACUCUUUUGAAUUUAACAUGUAUUCAACCUCAACCCCACUAACUGAUGACUUUCCAACACUAUCAUUUAGAAAUGAAAGAAUAGUAUUCAAUUUUGAAUUAAGGAUCUUGAACUAUUUACUAGAGAUGAUGGCAUUAUCAGGAACAUCAUCCUCAUCUGUAAAUCUGCAAAUAUAACCAUGAUAUCAUCUUCAUCUGCUUCUUCUUCAUUAACAAUUUUCUCAACCUCUAUGGAUUGAGAUAAGAAUAAAGAUGUAAUGUGUUCGUUCAUCACCACUUUAUAAGUUGGUGAAACAACUAUAGUGGAUGUAGGUGGAAUGGUAGAUGUUUGUGGUGGUGGUGGAACAAUUGUAGUAUUAAUGAUAAAUGUCAAACUCACAACACCCAUAGUAACAUUUACAUACUUGUUAUAUAAGUUCACAUUAAUGUUUGAAGUUUUGUCCUCCUCCAUAUUAGACUUGGAAUGUGAAACCUUGGGUGUUGUGACUUUUGUCUGCUUAGGGAGUGAUGUAAUGAGUUGUUCACUUUAAUUGAUGUUUGGGUCCUUAUCAAAUAUUUUCACAUUGACAUUAAGAGUACUUGUCUCUUCAAAAAUCAAUUUGACAAAGGUAUCCUUCCUGGGUGAAAUACGAAGCUAACCAUCCAAUGCAUCGCCAAUUUCUUUGCUAUCAUCAUCUGUUUCAACCUUAAGAUUCAUCAUAUGCAUGUCAUAAAAAAGGCUUAAACUUCUUCAACUUUUGAACAACCUCUAACUCUUUUCGCUUCUUUGAAGCUGGAGAAUCAAGAGUCGAAACUUUUCUAAUCAUAACACCACGCUUUCUUACCUUCAUCUAUGUCAUCUUUGACUUCUUUGGGAUGGCCAUUUGAGUAAUAGAUUCCCCCUCUUGAGUGGUGUUUUCAUCAAAUAGAGUAGGAACCUCCUCAGUAAAUUUCUCAGAUUUCUUCUUAGGGUGUUUAUCUGGUGGCUUCUUAGAUUGCUUCUCAAGAACAUAUUUAUUAGUCUUUUUAAGCACCCCUUUCCAGACUUAUGUGUUUAUGAUCCUAAAUCAUUUUUCCAUGAUGAAGGUGAGACCUAACAAGCCACAACUUAAUGAAUUGACAGUGAAGAUUUAUUGUUCAUGAUUCUAACAAAACUUUUUGUUUCACUACACCACUUUUGAUGUUCAAAAUCUCAUUUUUAUUUCUUUUGAGUGAUCUUGAUGAAAUGUACUCAUUCCAAGUCAUUUCUUCCCAAUAGAUCCAGAUCUUUAGUUUUUUUUUAUAUGAAAUGAGAUUUCCAUAUGAACAUUUGUCUAACUCCUUCGUUUCUCCAAAGCUUACUUGUUCUUGGCUAUACUGUACAAACAAGUAUCUUCGUAAAAUUAUUUUCACUUGUUUCAAGUUGCAAAUUUGUGAGAAAAUUAGUCUUUUUAAGCACCCCUUUCCAAACUUCACAGUAACUUUCUCAUAUUGCGUCUUAGGGUGUUUAUCUGGUUGCUUCUUAGAUUGCUUCUCAAGAAUAGAUUUAUUAGUCUUUUUAGGCACCCCUUUCCAGACUUCGUAGGCAUAAUCUGCUUCGAUGCUUCCUCCUUUAUUGCUUUAGGUUUUACAGUGUGCUUCCUUGUCUUCUUACCCUUAGAUACUUUGGAAGAUCCUUAUACACCUUCAAAAACUAGCCAUCUUAAUAAGAAUACCAGUAUGAUUUGGAUCUAUUGAAGCUUUUUAUGCAAUCAACUACUUAUUGAUCUUAGAUACCAAAUUAAGCAUUGAAUCUAGAAUUCAACCAACCACAAGAAAAAACAUAGGAUCAUCAACGGCAGACUUUAGAAUUGUCAUCGAAGCAAAUGUAGCAACAACAUCAUCAUCAGUAGGUACAGAAAUACCUUCUUAAGUAUACACUUUAUUCAAAAUCAAACUCUAAAAUGGAGUACUAGACACUUCUAUAGUCAUCUUCGAAUGAUUAAUGAAACUACCAAACUCAACCCAAAGCAAUGAGGCAUAAUCAAUACUCAGGCCAAAGUACAAUCCAACCAUAAUCGAAUAAAACUUGAGUUUUGCUUGAUCCAAUCCAAAACUUCUUCCUGUUAAACAAAGAAGAGUAAUACCAAAUAAAAGCCUCCAUACCCUAGGAAGACUCGAUUUUGUGAAAUGGAUAAUAACCAAAAGAGUUGGCUGAUUCCCCAUUUCAUUAAACAUAUGAAUAACUUGUUCACUGGUAACUUCAUCGAACUCACCUACAUAUGGUUACUUCAAGAUUUGGGCAAACUGCUUAUUUGUUAAUUGUUUGGUCUUGUUCAAUGUCAACUGAAACGUAAUAAGUCCGAUUGUUCUGUUGCACACAACAGUAGAAACAUCCAAUCAUAACCAUUUCAUACAAACUGCAGAUGAAUCAGUUAAUGCAUGAGUAAGAACGGAAUCAUUCAUCACUUAAACAAGCUUCAACUCGUCUGGAUAAUCCUUGAUCAAUGGGUUGAACCAAAGAUUAUUAUGUUGACUCUUCAUUGUUGGUUGAGAGAUUUCUUCAUUGUUGGUGUUGAAUUGAUCCACAACACUGGUUCCAGUAGCCAUGAUGAACAAUCGAGAGAAAAUUUGAAAUUUGAUUGCAAAGAAAACUCAGGGUUUUUACAUGAAUUCUAGGAACAUAAAAAGGAAACCGAAUGAUCAUGUCGUGCUUAAAUUAGCGACGUCAAAUUCAAAUUCAAACGUUACACCAAUAAAAGAAAGCCACGAGUAAAGUGGGUUAUGUAACCAUCAUCACAUUUCGUUAUAUAGCAAGAACCAUUCGCUGUUAUGGAGGAAAGGCUCAUUCAUUUAUGGGAAUGAUAAGUAAAAUCAUUUGCCAUACUUUGCAAAAUCUAGGUCUGAGUUGGUAAUACCCAUGACCUCGAGGAUUUCACUGCUUGUGUGUGCCAAAAGAAAAGAUAGAAUCAAAUUAAUAAAAUUUUGGACACCGUGAUAUCAAAAAAUCUUUGAUAUAAAAGCAGAUAGAUCCCGGGAAAAGAUACUCUUCAUUCGUCAUAAAGAGAGAUGUCGAAUUGGUUGUGUGGUUUCCCGUGAAUUACAAUAUAAUACUCAUUGAGGAGUAAUGUAGGGACUCUUUUAAGAAGCUUCGUAGGUGGCCUCAUUUUCUCACAAACUUGUAACUUGACAUAAGUGAAAAUAAUUGUAUGAAGAUACUUGUAUGUACAGUGCAGCCAAGAACAAGUAAGCUUUGGAAAAAUUAUAACUAACGAAGGAGUUAGACAAAUGUUCAUACCAAAAUCUCAUUUCAUAUCAAAAAAGCUAAUGAUCUGGAUCUAUUGGGAGGAAAUGAUUUGGAAUGAGUACAUUUCAUCAAGAUCACUCAAAAGAAAUGAAAAUGAGAUUUUGAACAUCGAAAGUUGUACAGUGAAACAAAAAAUUUUGUUAGAAUCUUGAAUAAUAAAUCUUCACUGUCAAUUCAUUAAAUUGUGGUUUGUUGGGUCUUAAAUUCAUCAUGGAAAAAUGAUUUAGUAUCAAAGACACAUAAGUGUAGCAUACCUAUAUCCUGGUUGUUUUUUACCAGAGAUGUCUUGGACAUGUGUCAUCGUGUGUGAUGUAUUAGAAAUUUUGGCUGAAAAGGAUUGGAUGCGAAAAAUCAUUGUACAUCUGCAAAUAAAUAUACCGUACAAAAAUCUCUUUACUCAAAAUGAGAAGAGAAAGGUAGCUCUUCGGCCAUUUGUGAAUACAUCGUAAUUGGGAAGAAUUUUUGUAUGAAAAAAUUCAUUAACGCUUCUUACACAAUGAAUCUAUGAGGCUUGUGGACAACUUGUUGCAACAUCUUUCUAGAGACUCUUAAUUAGUACAAGAAUUUUGUAUCAUACCAAUUCCCUAUUGAGUGUCUCUUUAGACAUGCGAAAGUGGAACACAUUGUUACAAUGAAUUUCUCCAAUCUCAAAAGAAAAUAAGGAAAAUAUUUUUGUAUUUUUGAUUUUUGAAAAUUACAAUUCAAAUAUAACAAUUUUUUUUUGGAUUGUUGAAUUUUAUAAAGAAAAGACAGAAAUAAGAAAAUCUUUUUGGAUUUCUUAAUUUUAUAAAGAAAAGACAAAAACAAAAAAAAUCCUUUUGAAUUUUUGAAUUUUAUAAAGAAAAGACAAAACUAAGAAUAUUUUUUUUUGGAUUUUUGAAUUUUAUAAAGAAAAGACAAAAAUAAGAAAAGGAUAUCACCAACAUUGGUUAUUCGUUAAUGAUAACAAAUAUUCCGCAUGCGAACCAAUGCUUCCCAUUAUAUAUGCAUCCCUCAAACAAAUAUAUUUCCCAUAAACGAGUGCUUCCCAUAAACAUGCACUUCCCAUUUAGAGACAAUUCCCAUUCGCUAGAUGUCAACAUGUGUUGAACGAAUCAGAGAUAAUGUCGAAAGAGAAGUGAGCCAAAUGCUGAAUGAGAACAGUAACAUCUGAACAAAAUUUUGACAAUUAAUGAAAGUUAGUCCAGAAAUUUCACGCAUCAAACUUAAGAGAAAAUUAGUUAGAAUUAGGAACAUAAGAACCUGCCAUCAUUCCUAAACCAUUUAAAAUUCUCAAAAAUGAUUUUUCAUCCAUUGGUUUUGUAAAAAUAUCUACAAGUUGGGCAGUUGGUUUAACGAAAUGAACUUCAAUAUUCCCAUCUUCAACAUGAUCUAUAAUGAAGUGGUAUGAAAGUGUAAUAUGCUUAGUUUAGGAAUGUUGAAAUGAAUUAUGGCAUAUGAGAAUUGCGCUUUGAGAAUCACAAUCUAAUCGAAUUUUCUUCAUGUUUAUCGCAUAGUCACGUAGUUAAAUUUGAAUCCAGAUCACUUGAGAAGUUUGAGCCAUAGUAGAAUGUAUCCAGCCUCAGCUAUCGAAAUUGAUACAUACAUCUUCUGUUUUGACUACCAACUCACAAGCUUCCCAUCGAAGAAUUGGCAUUUGCAUGCAGUGCUUUUUCGAUCUAACUGACAACUUCUUAGACCAACAUCUUAGAAAGCUUGAAUAAAUUAUCCUGUAUUCGAUGGAUACCACUAUCCAAGAGUUGAAGUGCCAUGCAGAUAACAAAAAAUAUUUUUCACCGCUGUAAGGUUGGGUUCUCUAGGAUUCGCUUGGUCCCCGACACAAUUGCACACAUAAAACAUUAUAUUAGACCGAUUUUCCGUUAAGUACAAUAUCGAAGCGAUGAUGCUUCUAUAUGUCUUGAGAUCAACAGAUGGCUUAUCCAACAAAGGACCUAAUGUAAGAUCCAUAAAAAUUCAUAAAAUUUAAACUUUUCAAAACAACCCUUUUUCUAAAGAAGUGUUUACAAAAACCAUUGUUUCCAAAACAUUAUUUAAAAUCAGAAUUGUUUUCAACAUAGUUUUCAAAACAUUCACAUUAUCAGAGUUUCACAGAAAUCAUAAGUCCAAGUAUGCGAGGAUGUGUACGGUCACGCCUUCACGUAACAUGAUCCACUGAAGUACUUGAAACCGUUAAACAAAACUGUAACCACGAAGCUUAGUGAGUUUCCCCCAGAAUACCAACACACAACAUAUAACAUAUACCACAAACAACAUGCAUACAGAGCCUUCAACAUGUCUGGAUUGCCUCACCGGGCCUUCAGCCUGUCCGGACAGUUCUCCAGGCCUUCGGCCUGACUAGUCCGCCUCACGGGCCUUCAGUCUAUCCGAACUGCCCUGAUUAUGUUGGCCUUUAACACAAAGCAGGACCGCCUCAACCCAACCACACACACAUACCACGUCGAUAUAUACAUAACAUAUAAGCGUACAUAUAAUAUAACGAUAUAAACAUUACCGGGUUUGUUGACUCGCAUCAUAAACCAGUACAAUCUCAUCCCAACCACACUACCUUAAAACAUGCGACCGGUAAACAUAUAGCCAAAAUAGAUAACAGGCAAAUCUAACAUAUCACUAAGUAGAACAUCAUCUUAUCUACCAGGAUACAGAUCUAACAGAUCACUACAACAUCGCAAGCAUACGAUACACCAAUAUAACAAUCCAAAGGGCCGACAUUGGUACCUUCGACCCGAGAGUAUAUUGAUGACAACUCACCUAACACUGCCGAAUCACACAGACGAUUCCUGGCUGCUAUUACCAAGCCAACACCCCAUCAAUACUUGAUCCCAUGAGAAACUCUAACCGCAGAUCCGCUAGAUCCCACACGCUAUCAAACACCACAAAUGACAAUCCAUUAAUAACUAGAUCGUGACUCACACUAUCAGUCCAAUUUAGGGUAAAAGACCUUUUUACCCUUCCAUAAACUUGGCCCAAGACUAAGGCCCAAACUAAAUGACCAAAAGCCCAACAAUCCAAAUAAUCUUCUACAACCCAAAUAUGGCCCAAUUUUCUAAAUUGGGCCCAAUCCCUUUCAUGGCCUUCACUCAAGAAAAUACAGCAAGAAAAAAACCCCAAACCAUAAAAUCUAGAUGGCCCAACAUGGUCCACUACAAUCCAAGUCCAAAAUCGAAGCCCAAAAUGACCGAGUACGCGGGGGUACUCCUAAGGUACGCUCAACAUACAUAAGGCUGUGCAGAAUCCACCAUUGGGGUGGCUCAUUGGGUAUGCUCGACAUACCCUCCCAAUUCCAUUUCCUUUCUUAAGUGCUUAAUGGCUUUAGAACUUGAGCUUAUACUUCAGAUCCAAGGUCCAAAUGCACUCUAGAGUCAUAAAAGUCUCCAACUUUAUGACUUACAUGUCAAAGAGUUCUUAAUACAACGUCUUAACCCAUUAAGACCCAUUUUUCCAAAUUCAUGAGACACUCUUGGCCAUUGGGACCUCAUUUUUAUGACUAAGGACCCUUCUUAGGGUCUAGAAGGACAACUCAAAACAUCCAAAAUCGAACAUGCACAACAAAGGGACUUUUGGGACAAAAAGAGCACCAUAAAGCUACCAAGCUAAGAUCCAAACUAAUCAAGCAUAAAGGUGGCAACUUUUUACCUUCUAAAGCUUCUUAAUGAAGUGAUGAUCCAAUAUCUACUAGCUUGCUUCAAUCUCUAAUCACCUUGAUGCAAAUCCUUUUUCUUCAAACACACAAGGAACACACUCUUAGCUCAAAACACACACUUAUGGAGUUAGGAUUUGCCGAAAACGACUCAAGAACUUUGAGGCUGGAAUGAUGGGAGUAAAUUGUCCAUAAAGAUGCUUAAAUACUCCACAAACCCUUAAAAUUAGGGUUUUCACCCAGACACAUGUACACCCAGCGUACAUAUGUUUAUGCCGAACGUACUAGGGCAUGCCCUAGUACGCUUAGUGUACACACAUGUACGCCUAGCGUACAACGCAUGCUCCCAAAAUUACCGUUUUGCCACUAGGGAUUCCCAUGGCCACUUCUUUCCAAUCCAUGGACAAAAAAAUGACAUAAUUAAAACCCAAGGGAUGAAUUCGAAACUACCCGAAAACUGGGGUGUUACAACUCUCCCCCACUUAAAUUCGAUUUCGUCCUCGAAAUCAUUCCUUACCAUCCCCGACAAGUCCGACAUUCUGAGGGGAACACCCAUAACCAUGGACAUACAACGACCUUCAUAAGGUGACUAAACCUAAAAGAAAUCUUUUCAACCCGAAGAGGAUGAAUCCAUAAUCCCAUGUAGCAUACCAACCCUACUUUAUCUGAAACCUCAAGAAUCAAACUGGGUCUGAUUCCCUGACAAACCACCAUUCCUGAACUAAUGCUAAAUCCAUAGCGUUUAUCCAUCAAACUACCUAUUCAACUCUUGAUGAUAACAAAUCCAUGAAAACAAUGAGAUAGAAGAUAUGGAUUUCCUUAACUGUUAGAACGAUACGCAACUACUAAAAUUAUGAAAACCCCAUGACCUGCCCGACCUUCUUACCGAUACAACCAUCCUAGAGCACAAACACAUGAACUAAGCCCUGACCAUAAACAACUGCAGAGCACCUAUACUUGACAGACGUCUCAGAUAAUCCUUCGAGUAGAAGAUUCAUCCCUAUGACGGUUAGACUCAAAUGAGAGCUGCGCAACAGGGUCAAAUCAAUUACUCUGAGAUUAUUUAAUGAAAAUUGCAAGUGACUUAGCACUUUCGAUCAACAAGAUACUCCACACACACGAAUCCCUAAAUCACUACUACUGCCCGAACCGUCACGCUGCCUCCUAUCUGCUUCCCAAAGGUAACCAAGACCUCCCUGGUCCCAACUUAACUGCUAACUAUCUGAAGUACUGGAUUCCUGCCCGGUUGUUAAGCCCAAGAAUACCCACACAAUCGCCCCACACUACUUUCGAAAGAAAUCCACGACCAUAAAUAAUUAUCCGAACCAUCUCGACACCAAACCCGAUGCUAAGCCGAAUGCUACAGGACCAACUAUAGUCUUACCUCAUACCCGGUCUCCCACAACCUACAAUUUCCUGAUUCUAAACAUGCGGUGACCCUCCUACAUCCUUACAACACUCCCACACUAACUGACCACUAGUGAAUGCUAUGGGCCACACCACAGUCUUACAUCACUUCCACCUUGCCACAACCACCGCCCAAUUCCUUAUCGUUAAUUUAUCCAUGCGAACACAUCCAAAGUCGAGCAUGCGCUUGACCAAACACCCAAGCCAAAUUUGGGUCAUGACUGGAACCCCAACCUGGGUCCCCCAAAGCCUGCUAUCUGAAACCUAGAAGGCAUGAACCAAAUAUUGGGAAGUUUCCUAAACUCCCAUACCACACCAUCCUCAAUCCAAACGGUUACUUGGGUCGCCUUCCUCCCCGAUGAGCAUGUGUAACUCAUCCUAGUUUCACACCUUCUUCUGUUCCUGAAUACCUGAAUGAUUUUCCCCCAUGUUGAUUCGACUAAGCUCUUAAGAUUGGAAGGAUUCCCAAUCCUUCUUACCCUCCAACGAUCGAAAUGCUAACAACCUGUUCUUAGCAAUGCUAGUGAUCCAUUACUAGCCAAACCGAAAAGAUCACACAAACCCUGAAGACCAGAUGAACGCUUUCCGAAUCCCUGAAAAACUGAUAACCCUAAAUGCUUUAAAAUGAUAUCACCCUCAAAUCUUGAAGUUCAAAGAACAGAUGCUUUAACCAAAUCCUCAGCAAUAGAUGAACUCAAUGACCAAAGAGGUAACGACACCCCGAAGCCAAAGGAACAUAAACACACUGGAUUGGAUGGUAGUUGGCACGUUAACACUAAAACCAGAGAACCACAAACCCACCUGGAACUAACCAUACACGAUUUUGGAAAUGGGUCACUGGUCAUCAUCUUCCUAAACUAAUAUGAAAACAAAAAUCCAAACAGCGAACUGACGAAUUCCUCAAAGACUGCUACUCAACCCAAGAAUCCUAGUUCUCCCCCACUUAGAACCCGAACCACCGCCCACUGGUGGUGAAACCGAAACAUAACCCAACCGGCUCAACCAGGUACAACCAUAGCUAAUCAUGGAAUGAAUACCAUAUGCAUAAUGGUCCUCCAAAUAUUGAUCAAAGAAUCCUAAGAGAACCUGAAUUUCAACUAAAGACCUCUUAAUUUCCAAUUAUAACCACUUACAAAGCAUAGGAAACUACCGAUUAGUGAUCCAAACAUACACCCCUUACUUGCAAUCCCAAUCGACAAUCCGACAACUGGCUUUCCCAUCUCCCAAGAAUACGGGCCCUUGCUAGCAUCGCUAAGGUACUCAUGCCACAUCAAUCCACCUGCGCACACCAACGCUGACAUACUGUCGCCAACCACUGCGACCAACAUAUCCCAAGAUGAGAAUACAUCUAACUAUUGAGGUCAUAAUCCUGCUCACUCCUUCGAUCUCGAAAAACUGCAGGACAAGAUCCUUGCUACAGAUAGCGACAAUCACAACCGACAAUCCGCCACUUAAAUCCCAUAUGUGAUUCCCAAGCCGAUCAUAUCAACCACUUCCUCCCUGUGUCUCGAGUCCAGAUGCAUGACCUAUAGCAAAACCAUUGAGACCUCGAACCAACAUACUUAUUUGGGUUUGAACCAAUCAACCCACAUUGACACUGCCAUUGGGUCCUAAACACACAAAACCCAUCCUUGUGGCUGAGCAAUCUAAGCCAAAAGAUCGACAGCUACAGAAGCACCAUCACGGAUCAUGGUAUCCAACCAUGCUAUCUUCCCCGACCAGUCCUUAGAAUCCCCGAAACCUUCCUUGAUUCGAGUAUAGAUCCUGUGCUUCCAGUAGUAUGGGCCCAAUACUACCUUCCACACCUAUCCAUACUCUCCUCAAGAAUCAUCUCGGGUCCUCCAAGACCUAGUCACGAAAUACCCCUGAACCCUGCUCAACAACGAAAAAACUGCAUGAAAAAUACUCCUUAGGCUAUCAUAGGGUUCCACACUUCUUUGCCAUUAGUUGCUGAAGAACUUCUCACAAUGUCAAUUAGCAAUUCCAUGAAUACAAUCACAUGCAACAAGUCUUAGAUAAUCCUUUCAGUAACAGACUCAUCUCUACCACGGUUGGACUCAAACGAGAGUUGCGCAAUAGAGUCAAAUCCGUCACUCUGACAUUGUCCAACCUUUUUCACAUGUGACUUGACAUAUUCACGUAAUGUCUAACUCACAUCACUCAUGAGUUCCACAAAGCACAAAGCAAGCAGCAUUCCUGCAGAGGAGCCGAUUGGCACUAAAACACAAUAAAAUCAUAUAGAUCCUCCAACUAAAUCCUCGAUCUCAAACUCUCCAUGGGUGCACCUUUGCCCUGCUCUCACUCUCUCAAGAGUGGUUGAUCAUUCCUCACACUGACCUGCUAGGAACCGAACCCAUUCUAAGGAAACCACUUCCUCCUCGUCCAAUAACACAACUGGUCGGCUGACCCCACACGACUCACCAUACCACUAAUUGCCACACGACUCUCCAUUGGUGUCAGAUGACUAUCGCAUGAAUACAAUCACAUGCCUCAGAGUUUAAACAAUCUUAGGCUAAAAGAUUCAAUCCUACAAUGUUUGGACUCAGACAAGAGCUGUGCAACAGGACCAAACCCAUCAACCUAAGAUCCUUUAAACCAUGUAGCAUGUGACUUAAUGUAUCUACUCAAUAGCCAGUUCACACGUGAAAGAUUCACACAACAGGAAAACAACGGAACUCUAUAGGAAAUAAGGCAUCAUAUAAUCGGGAAAUUCUAUCAUGCAAUUCCUGAAGAUCCCUAGGCUAUUACUAGCAUGCUAUUCUAACAUACCAUAACAUAAUCUCGAAUAAUUGUGUGGUAAUUUGAGGUCAACUUACUGGCUGCAGCUAAUCGUACACAUCGCAUCCUCCUUAAUUUUUUUGAAAACCAAUUGAAAAUUGUUUUAAAAACCUUUUCCUUAGUUUGAGACUGGAUUCACACGAGUGUUCCUCUAAUUCACUCAAACCAAGGCUUUGAUACCAACUUGUAACAUCCAUAAAAAUUCAUAAAUUUGAACUUUUCAAAACAACCCUUUUUCUAAAGAAGUGUUUACCAAAACCAUUAUUUCCGAAACAAUAUUUAAAAUUAGAAUCAUUUUCAACAUAGUUUUCAAAACAUUCACAUUAUCAGAGUUUCUCGGAAAUCAUAAGUCCAAAAAUGCGAGGACAUGUACGGUCACGCCUUCACCUAACACGAUCCAUUGAAGUACCUAAAACCAUAAACCAAAACUGUAACCAUGAAGCUUAGUGAGUUUUCCCCAGAAUACCAACACACAAAAUAUAACAUACACCACAAACAACAUGCAUAAAGAGCCUUCAACAUGUCUGUACCGCCUCACCAUGCCUUCAUGCAAUCUGGACCGCUCACAGAACCUUCAACAUGUCUGGACCGCCUCACCGGGCCUUCAGCUUGUCUGGACCAAUCUUCGGGCCUUCGGUCUGAAUGGUCCGCCUCACAGACCUUCAGUCUAUCAGGGCUGUCCUAGGUCAGUUGGCCUUGAACACAAAGUAGGACCACCUCAACCCAACCAUACACACAAACCAUGUCGACAUAUACAUAACAAAUAAGCAUACAUAUAAUAUAGCAAUAUAAAUAUUACCGAGUUUGUUGACUGGCAGCACAAAGCAGUACAGUCUCAACCCAACCACACUACCUCAAAACCUGCGAUCGGUAAACAUAUAGCCAGAACAGAUAAUAGGAUGAUCUAACAUAUCACUAAGUACAACGUCAUCCUAUCUACCAGGAUACAGAUCUAAUAGAUCACUACAACACUACAAGCAUACAAUAAACCAGGAUAACAAUCCAAAGGGCCAACAUUGGUGCCUUUGACCCGAAAGUAUAUUAAGGACAACUCACCUCACACUGCGGAAUCACACAGACGAUCCCUGGUUAUUAUUACCAAGCCAACACCCCAUUACAGCUGAUCCCAUGAGAAAUCUCUAACUGCAGACCCGCUAGAGCCCGCAUGCUAUCCAACACCACAAAUGGAAAUCCGUUAUGAACUAUAUCUUGACUCACACCAUGAGUCCAAUUUAGGGUAAAAGACCUUUUUACCCUUCCUUAAACGUGGCCCAAGACUAAGGCCCAAACAAAAUGACCAAAAGCCCAAAAAUCCAAAUAAGCUUCUAAGGCCAAAAUAUUGCCCAAUUUUCCAAAUUGGGCCCAAUCCCUUUCAUGGACUUCACUCAAGAAAAUACAGUUAGACAAAAAGCCCAAACCAUAAAAUCUAGAUGACCGAACAUGGCCCGCGACAAUCCAAGUCCAAAACCCAAGCCCAAAACAAAGAAGCCCAACAUGACCGAGUAUGUGGGGUGUACUCCUAAGGUACGCUCAGCGUACGGGAGGCUGCGUAAAAUCUACCAUCGGGGUGGCUCAUUGGGUAUGUGGAGCAUACCCUCGGAGUUCCAUUUACUUUCUUAAGUGCUUAAAGGCUUUAGAACUUGAGCUUAUACUUCAGAUCCAAGGUCCAAAUGCACCAUAGAGUCAUAAAGUCUCCAUCUUUAUGACUUACAUGUCCAAGAGUUCUUAAUACAAGGUGUUAACCCAUUAAGAACCUUUUUUCCAAAUGCAUGAGAUAGUAUUGGCCAUUGAGAUCUCAUUUUUAUGACUAAGGACCCUUCUUAGGGUCUAGAAGGACAGUUCAAAAGAUCCAAAACCGAACAUGCACAAGAAGUGGACUUUUGGGAGAAAACGAGCACCAUAAAGCUACCUAGAUGAGAUCCAAACUAAUAAAGCAUAAAGGUGGAAACUUUUUUUUUACCAUCUGGAGCUUCUUAAUGAAGUGAUGAUCCAAGAUCUACUAGCUUGCUUCAAUCUCUAAUCACCUUGAUGCAAGUCCUUCUUCUUCUUCAAACACAUAAUGAACACCCUCUUAGUUCAAAACACACACUUAUAGGGGUAGGGUUUGCCAAAACGACUCAAGAACUUGGAGGCUAGAAUGAUGUGAGUAAAUGGUCCAUAUAGCUGCAUAAAUACUCCACAAAACCUAAAAAUUAGAGUUUUCACUCGGACACAUGUACGCCCAGUGUACAUAUAUGUACGCCGAGCGUACUAGGGCGCGCCAUAAUACGUUUAGCGUACACACAUGUACACCCAACGUACAACUCAUGCUCCCAAAAUUACCUUUUUGCCACUAGGGCUUCGCAUGGCCACUUCCAUCCAAUCCAAGGAUCAAAAAUGACAUAAUUAAAACCCAAGGUAUGAGUUUGAAAUUACCCAAAAACUGGGGUGUUACAACUACGGUGGGUUGCACUUGAUCUCAUAUCGGCUUGGAAGGAGAACGAAACAUUUCCUUAUAAGGGGUGUGAAUACCUUCCUUGUCACAACACGUUUUAAAGCCGUGAGGGCAGCAGAUCUCAUAAGAACUCUGCAGUUAAGCAUGAUCGGGCGAGAGUAGUACCGGGAUGGGUGAGCCACUGGGAAUUCCUUGUGUCGAGUGGCCCUAAGCGGACAAUAUUGUGAUAUGUGCCGGAGAGGGAUGUUACAAGUUGUAUCAGAGCUGGGACAUGGGUCUAUGUUUUCGACGGGGACAUCGAAUCAUAUAAUGGGAGGUGAAGGUGGGUUGCACCUGAUCCCACAUCGUCUUGGAAGGAUAAUGAAACAUUUCCUUAUAAGGGGUGUGGAUACCUUCCUUGUCACAACGUGUUUUAAAGCCAUGAGGGCAGCAAAUCCCAUAAGAACUUUGCAGUUAAGCAUGCUCGGGUGAGAGUAGUACCGGGAUGGGUGACCCCCUAGGAAUUCCUCGUGUCAAGUGGAACAAAGUGGACAAUAUUGUGAUACGUUCAGGAGGGGAUGUUACACCUAUGCGAGUAUCGAAUGCCAUGGGAACCACAGGUUUCGAGCAAUUUGUCAUUCCAAAUCUUUCAUGCAGGUUUCGUGUGUAGUUCUAUUAACUAAUGAAGAUUCCACCCUUGCUUUGAUGAAUGUGAAAACCUAAGAAAUUAUUGAUUUUCCCCAUCAUGCUCGUUUCAAAUUGACUCUUCAUAAGCUCCUUAAACUCCUUUGCCAACGAAGGGUUAGUAAAACCAAAUAGUAUGUCAUCAACAUAAAUUUGAACAAGCAUCACGUGGACUUUCUUUCAAAAUAGAGUGGGAUCAACUGGCCAUUGAUUAAAUUUAACAAUUUUCAAAAAAUUGGUUAGCUUCGCAUAACAAGCAUGCGGUGCUUGUUUUAACCCGUAAAUGGCCUUCUUAGGAAUAUAAUAGUGAUCAUGAUACUUAUUAUUUACGAAUCCAGGUGUUUGUUAGGCAUAUACUAUCUCUUCAAGAAAACCAUUAAGAAAUGUGUACUUAACAUCCAUAUAAUAGACUUCGAAAUUCUUAUGAGCUAUAUAGGCAAGAAAAGUUCGUACAACCUCGAGUCUUACAACAGGUGCCAUGGUUUCUUCAUAAUCAAUACCCUAUUGUUGAGAAUAACCUUUUACGACUAAUCUAGCUUUGUUAUAAACUAUAUUUCCUUAUUUUUUCCAUUUCAUUUUUAAAAACCCGUUUAAGUCAAACAACAACAGCAUCAUCAGAUUUAGAAAUUAAUCUCCAAACUUUGUUCCUUUCAAAUUCAGCCAACUCAGACUGCAUCGCAACAACACAAUCAGAAUGUUCUAAUGCAUUGUUGACUGUUUGCGGUUCAAUUUUUGAAAUAAAGACAUUUGACAUACAAUAUUCUUGAUGAACAUUUGUUUCAUACCUCGCUAAAGCGGAAAGACGAGACGCGACAAUACAAAGGGUCUCACAGGAAAAGUUAAAAGACAAUACCAACCAUAGUAUUAAAUGCAUUACAGUUUACAAUGAGUUUGAAUUUUUUUUAAAAAAAUUACAAUGUAUUUGAAAAAAACAACCCAUGUGAAUGCUCCUACAAGUGAUGUGUCCCUAAGUGCCAUCUUAUAGACGAGCUCCUAAAAAAACAUAUAAAAUGAGCGGUAAACUACCGAAAUAGUUGAUAAGUUCACAAGUUUACUAGAUAAAAGAUUUAUAAGUCAAGAACUUCAAUUUUUGGAAAUAAGUGACAUAAUUAAAAGUUUGUUUCUAAGAUGAGUAAAUAAUUUCCACUGUUAUCAUGAGAAAUAAACUUCAUUACUAUCAUAAGAAAUAAAGUUCGAUGCUAACAUAAGAAACAAAGUUCAUUGUUAUCAUGAGAAAUAAAAUUUGUUAUUAUCAUGAGAAAUAAAGUUUGAUGCUAACAUAAGAAACAAAGUUCAUUCUUAUCAUGAGAAACAAAGUUCGUUAUUAUCAUGAAAAAUAAAGUUCGAUGCUAACAUAAGAAACAAAUUUCAUUGUUAUCAUGAGAAAUAGAUUAGGGACAAUUUUCUCGCUUCCGGGUUGGCUACUAAAUCUGGAAAAUAUAUAUUCUGAAAUGGAAAGAGGUAGCACGAAUGAUGCUUUUUGGUACCAAAAAUGUUAGAUCUUAAGCAUGGCAUGUUCUUGACCGUUAAGUUGUCCUUUCAGACCCUAGGAUGGGUCUUAAAUCAUACAAAUGGAGUUCCAAUGGUUGGUUUUGUCCCAUGCAUGUUAUGAAGAGUCUUAACGCAUUAAGACGUUGGGUUUUUUAAGAAUUAAUCACUUAUUGAGCAUGCAAGGUCAGAAAGUUGGAAACUUUAUGACUCCUAAUGACAUUUUGACAUUUGAUCUACAUUUGGAUGUGUUAAGACGUUGUACUAAGAACUUAAUGGAGAAAAAGGAAAGUUUGGGGUUACGCCUAACGUACACGGUCAACAGCCCCGUUUUUGGUCAGCGGAGGAAUACGCCCAACAUACCUCCAGAGUAUGCCCUGCAUACGCUUGCUGAGUUGACUCGAUUGGGCAGACUUAGUUGAUUUAUGGAGUUUGACCUCGUCUUUGACCCAUUUUGACAUUCAGGGUAAUUUGGUUAUUUUGGGAUUUAACGGAGAUUGGUCAUUUGGUUGGAAUAGGUGUCAGUUAGAGAGCUGAAAUCCGGAGUCGGGGCCUCAUCAACUUUUUUCCGAUUGUGAGGUGGGUUUUCCUCACUGUACUUGCGGGACGAAGGAACCAAGGCCAGGCCUUUGAAUUUGAUAUCCAAUUAUGUGAUAGUAUGGUAUCGUGUCGUAGUGAUCUGUUAGAUCGAUAUCCUGGUAUGUAGGAUGAUGCUAUGCUUAGUGAUCUGUAGAUCUGCCUGACUGUUUGUAGACUUUGUAUAUUAUUAUCUAUUAUAUGUGCACAUAUUUGGUUGGUGGUUGAGGCUUCACUGCUUUGUGCGUAAGCUAACAGGUCGGGGGCAUAACAACCCGAUGAUUGAUUGGGCUCGAGGAUAUUCCAUCCCGACGAUGACAUGACCCGUUAUAGAUUGACAUUCCAACCCGAUGGUUGAUUGGGCCUGGGGUAUUCCAACUCGAUGGUUGACUGGACCCGUAGUAUAUUGGAAUUCCAACCCGAUGGUUGACUAGGCCUGGGGAUAUUCCAACCUGAUGUUUGAUUGGACCCGAUAUUCUAUUAUUGUAUAUGUUAUAUGUUUAUGUAUUGGUACUUUAGGGGAUCUCAUUAAGUGCUGGCUUACAGUCUUGGGUUAUGUUUCAGGUACUUCGGAUGACCGCGGGAAGGCGAAGGCGUGACUGUACACAUCCUCUUUUUUAUGACUUAUGAUUUUGGGAGACUUUGAUGUUCGAAAUGUUUUGAAAACUAUUUUUGUAAACAUUAUGUGAAUUUGGGUUGGUUUUAAAAAGUUUAAAUUUGUUGUGAUUUUUUAUGGGUGUUACAUGUUGGUAUCAAAGCCUUUGUUUGAGUGAAUUGGAGGAACUCUCAUGUGAAUCUAGUCUCAAACUAAGGAAAAAGAUUUUUAAAAUGAUUCUUGAAAUUGUUUUCAAAAUAAUCAAAGAGGAUGCUAUGUGUACGAUCAGCCGGAGCCAGUAAAUAGACCCCGAAUUACCACACUGUUAUUUGAUUUUAUGAUAUGUUAUAAUAGCAUGCUAGUGAUAGGCUAGGGAUAUUCAGGAAUUGCACGAUAGAAUUGUCUGAUUAUAUGAUGCCUGGUAGCCUAGGGUUUUGCCUUAUAUGAAAUUGACAUGAUUAUUGUAGUUGCUUUGUGUAUACAUUAUAGUUGUACAUAAGUAAGAUUCUGUAGCCUGAGAAUUUUUUGUUUGGCCUUAUUUCUUGUUCUUUUUUUUAUGAAGGGCUUAGGGUAGAAUCAGGUAUUGGACUGUCUAUAGGGUCCCGUGUUAUGUAUGAUUAGUAUACACAAGUGGUGUAGGGUUGGUGAGAGUUUCAUGGAACAGUUGUGUGGGGUCAUUCGGCCAAUUUCGUAAUGUUUAGCCUUCCUCUAGGAAGUGAGGAUUGAGUGAAUGCUUUUGCUAGUGUGUAUUGUUAGGUUUGUUGUGAAGAUCCUCUGAGACAAAUACGGGUAGGUGCGGAAGGUAGUAUGGGCCAUACUACUGGAAGCACAGGACCACUACUGUAACACCGUAAAAUUCAAAAUAAUUUUUCAUUUAAAAAUAAUCGUUUAUUCUUAAAAACACUUUUCUUAAAAUUCUAGUCACAAUCGAAUUACAAAAAAAUAACUCCAUUUUCACUUGCUUAAUAAACCAGGAUCCUCAAAACAUGACUCUUUCUCUGGUGUACAAUCGAGCCGGUGCCGUCCCAUGAUCUUGAGAGAAACCUGAAACACAUAACACAAAACACUUUAAGCACAAAGCUUAGUGAGUCCCCCAAAAUACCGCACAUAACACAUAUUAGCCACUCGAGGCUAUAACUCUGUGGGUCCGUGGACCCUACUCUAUGAACCCUCUGGUUCUAACUCUGUGAAUCUUCCGGUUCUAACUCUGGGAACCUUUCCGGUUCUAACUCUGUAAACAUGCACAGCAUAGAUCACAUAGAAACAAUGCAGUACAACACAUAACAUACAUAGCAUACCAAUACUAUGUCACAUAACUCUGGUUACCUACUCAAGGUAAAGUAUAGUGAGAAGACUCACCUGGCAAGCAGAAAGCAGAUAUCCCCACACUUGAAUCUCGAACUCGCCACCGCCUAACACAUAAGGCAAAUACUCUCAUCAAUAUAACUCUCGAGACUAGAAUCAACCCUCUCUUGGCACCCUCUUAAGGAUAAAAGACCGUUUUACCCCUCUCUUGGCCCAAAGGCCACAUCGCUGACCAAAUCCUAAAAGUCAACAAAAGUCAACGGUCAACUUUGACCGGACUCGGCGAGUGCACUAGGGCGACUCGGCGAGUCUACACGUGUCCACUGACUCCCUUGGAUCCUCUCUUGACACGUCGAGUAUUUCUCUGACUCGACGAGUUUCACCUGGCAUAAAUCGCGGGGCCACCACGACUCAACUCGGCGAGUUCCAGCUUGACACAGUCCCACCCUGACUCUCCCUGACUCACUGAGUCGACCCCUCAACUCGACAAGACCACUCGCUGAGUGGUUAUGGGCAAAAUUCAUGCUACUCGCCGAGUAUGUUCUUCAGACUCGGCGAAUCCAUGCCAUGCAUAACUCAAACUCACUUCUGAGGUCAGAUCUGUUCCAUACAAUCAUAGAUCUGGCCUCCCCAGGCAUGAUAAUCACGUAAAGUCCAAACCUUGGUGCCCAACGAACAACUAUUUGCUCCUAGAUGAUGUUUUAGCCCCAUAUCUCAUAACUCUAGGUCAAAACUCCCAUGAAUCCUCAUAAAGCUUAAGGAAUAAAGCUUCUCUGGACCUCUAUGGAUCUCAUCCCAAGCCUCAUCACAAAUAGGGACGAAAUGGACAUCAAAUCUAACCAACAAAGGGGUCAAGAAACCCUAACCCCCAUGUUUAUCAUGACAACAGAAAAGGAAGCCAAAAUAUACCUCCAAGAUGAUGCUCUGAGCUCCAAAAUCGAAGGAUGUCCACCUCCCUUGCCUCCUCUUAGCUAGAAUCUCCUUUGCCUUGCCAAACAAAGCUUCAAAGGUCAACAAUGGCCUCUUCUCUCUCCCAAAACGCUCAAAAUCUCUUUAGGGUUUCUCUCUGGGGUUGGUGGCCGCAAAUGACGGCCAUAAGCCCCUUUAAAUAGGUCUCAAACCCUGGAAAUUAGGGUUUCAUUAAACAGCGUGGACUCGCCGAGUCCAGACGCGAACCCGCGCACAAAACCAUGAUCCUACUCGGCGAGUUUGGACUCCAACUCGCCGAGUCUCCUCACACUCACCCAAAAAUAAAAGAAUAAAAUAAUACUUGGGAAUCCGGGGUGUUACAAUCCUCCCCCACUAGAAUUAGACUUCGCCCUCGAAGUCUCGCUCUGUAAAUAACUCUGGAUGCUGCUCACGCAUCUCACGCUCCGGCUCCCAAGUUAACUCUGACCCUUUCCGAUGCUGCCACUGGAUCUGCACCAGUGGCACCUCUUUAUUCCUCAGAACCUUAGUCCUUCGAUCUCUGACCGCCGCUGGUCUCUCAGCAUAAUUUAGGCUCGCAUCCACCUGAAUAUCCUCUAGUGGCACUAUUGCUGACUCGUCGGCUAUGCACUUUCGCAACUGCGACACGAGGAAAGUGUCGUGAAUCUGACCCAACUCUGCUGGCAACUCCAAACGAUAGGCUACGCUGCCUACCCUCGCGACCACCCUGAAUUGACCAAUAUAUCGGGGUCCCAACUUGCCCCUCUUCCUGAAUCGAAUCACUCCUUUCCAAGGAGAUACCUUCAGGAGCACAAGGUCGCUGAUCUGGAACUCGAGCUCGGACCGGCGCGUGUCCGCAUAACUCUUCUAACGACUCUGAGCGGUCAAUAACCUCCGCCUGACCUGUUGAAUCUGCGCAGUCAUCUGCAACCCAAUCUCCGUACUACUCAUAACACGUUACCCGACCUCUCCCCAGCAAAUGGGGGUCCGACACCUCCUCCCAUACAACAACUCAAAGGGUGGCAUACCAAUGCUCGAAUAAUGGCUGUCGAUAUGGGAAAACUCAACCAAGGGUAAAUACGUGCCGCAACUCCCUCCGAAAUCUAAUACACAUGCCCGAAGCAUGUCUUCGAGCGUCUGAAUCUUUCGCUCGCUCUAAAGUGUCCUCAGACAUCACCAUGAUAAGCUCUAGCUCAUUUCUCAUAUCCCUCUUCGAGACUGAGCACCAGGUCAGCUUUUGACUCCACAGCUGAGCCUCCAAAGGUCACCCAUAUCAUGAUCCAAAUAUCCACUAACUUCCUCCCCGUGACCACUAUCCCGACCCAGUGACACACAAGUCACGAAAUUCUCUUUUUCUUAUGCGAGAAAAAUACAAUCCAACCGAGGAUCGUCUCAACUCUGAUCUCUGGUGUCUGCUGCGCAUAUCCCUUGCGCAUCUCGCCGCAUCUCCCGACAGAGACGGAGACCCAGUCUCGCCCCCGGUUCAACACCCAGGCUCCAAAAAACUCAAUACUAGGGCUACUCAAGCCCAAAACUCUUCCACAUCAUACACUGAUCGGAGAACACUCCAUCAUCACAUUCUCUUGCCAUCUAGUGAGUACUACGGCUCCCCGCAGUAUCACAACACUCUCUGACUAGUGAGUACUACGGCUCCCUGCAGUAUCACAACACCCUCUACCUCCACUAACUCAUGCUCCGUAGACUAUCAUAGGUAGCUGCCUAUACUCGACUCGAAUAUGCAUCACAGACUCUGGAGGCAAUCGACAUAACAAAAUGCCUACCCUUGCGGAGAUCCACUCUCUUAAAUAAACCCUCUGGAUGCCAAUACUCGAAGGGCUCCCACUAGAUCCAUAGAUACUUGAUAUACCACAAGUCAUCUCAACUCAAGAUUCACGAAUAACUCCGAAAUCAAGAUAUCAUACCCGGAUACCUCGGAACACCCCAACAGAACAUCACAAGAUCCUGCCACAACCACUGAUCUCCUGCCCCAAGCAUCAUAUAGAUACAAUAAUACAUUUCCUCUAAACCCCAUAAUUAGAUCUUCAUUUUUCCCAAAUUGCAACUUCAGUGUAUCCAAUUACUCAAUUGGAAUACGAGAAAAUGCUAACUCUACGGAAUACGCUGAUAAUUCUCCGAAACCCUUUUUCCUACCGCUCAAAAUCCAAGCAAGAAUACACAUACCGACCCGGGAGUUGGCUGCCCAAUCAUUCUCUACCUACUUGCAAUUACACUGACCACCACCAAGUUCCUGACCAUUAACCACCUGCCGUGGAGCCAUUCAUCCUUCUCAAACAAGUACUUCCCGCAUUAACUCACUCUGACCCCUUUCCUCGAUCACCAACAUCUCUGGUCUCAUGAAUUCUUACCGCAGAUCUCUAUACUCCACUUAUAACCGCUCUUGAAAAAUCUCUGGUUUCUUCCAUACGGUACCUGGUUCUCCCCCACUCAGGGUUUGAACCAUCACCAAUUGGCACACAACCAUCCCCAAUCUAUUUUCACCAGCAAAAUCGCACCUGCCCUUGGAAAGUGCUACACAACGCCCGAUAAUCCCCUUUAAGGAAAUCAAUCGACCUCAUAUACUCUGAACCUCAGAUGAAAUCCUCAAGAACUUCUCGUCACGACUGCCUCUAGUCGUUCCAAGUCUCGUACCAAUCCAAUACCAAACAACUCAACUGUCCAAUAACAUCACUGACUCAUAGACUGGACCACGAAAUCAUCAUACUCCCCCACCUCGACUCAUCAACCGACGUUCCAACACAUGCAUCAUCCCAAGAACAGGGACCCACUCCCAUAUUCAAUACUCAACAUAGAUAGAAAACCCACUGCACUGCUAAACUCGACUGAAUUCCCCACUGAUACCACUACAAUACACCCUACUAUACUCAAAUAGGUGUAAUGUGGUCCUCGACUAUCUCAGUCCCAACUGACUAUCUGCUCAUGGUAAAUCACUGCCUCGCGGCACACAUGCUACCUGAUACUCUGAUGGAAAAUCAUCAUCAAUGACAACCUGCAGGGUUUACCCCCAAACCCAAAACUUAAACAUCAUGCCUCUCAUGUUUCGCACACGAACAUAAAUAGCACCACCCAGGUCAUAGAAGGUGACAUCUCCUCUAUCGACUGAUUGCUCAACUCAGACCGAAAUUCUCCCCUCUCUUUGACUCCUUACUAAAAUACUCUGAGAGGCUCUCAAUCUCCCUCUCAAGGGACGCCUCUUCGAGCUCAAUCAUGACCGGAUAACCAGAGAACCACAAGCAUCAUUCACUACGAACCAUGGUACUCAUUCCAUGACAUCUCUUCUCAAUAUGCUCCGGUGUAUGGUACCUGAACCACAACAUCACUCCUCAAUUCGCUCCGAUGUAUGGUAUUCAAACCAUAACAUCACUCCGCAAUACGCUUCGAUGUAUGGUACCCGAACCAUAACAUCACUCCUCAAUCUGCUACGAUGUACGGUACUCGAACCAUAACAUCACUCCUCAAUCCGCUCCGAUGUAUGGUACUCGAACCAUAACAUCACUCCUCAAUCCGCUCCGAUGUAUGGUACUCGAACCAUAACAUCACUCCUCAAUCCGCUCCGAUGUAUGGUACUCGAACCAUAACAUCACUCCUCAAUCCGCUCCGAUGUAUGGUACUCGAACCAUAACAUCACUCCUCAAUCCGCUCCGAUGUAUGGUACUCGAACCAUAACAUCACUCCUCAAUCCGCUCCGAUGUAUGGUACUCGAACCAUAACAUCACUCCUCAAUCCGCUCCUUAGAACCUUCAGAAUACUCCCUGUAUCAAGUAUGGGUCCUCUGCUUUCAGUAGUACGGGCCCAUACUACCUGCCACAUCUACCCAUACUUUCCACACGGACUAUCCCGGAGCUCCUAAGUAGCUGCUCGACCUGCUCUUUCACCAAUCCCAUCGCGCGUGCUCGCUCCCCAGCGAAAUUCUCUACCCUGCCAGCGCACUCAUCUGGCUAAGGUUACUCCCUAGGCUCUUCCUAGAUUCCCACACUUCUCUGCCAUCAGCUGCUGAAGAGCUCCUAAUGAUGCCAGCCAUCUACCUCCUGAAUAUCGUCAUAUUCACUUAGUAGCUGACUCCCAUCAUCAAGAGUUCCACAAAGCACGAAGCAAGCAGCAUUCGGGCAUUGAAGCGUCCCCUUCAGCACGAAAAACCUCCUUAGGUUAUUAUCCACUCACCUUCCUCAUUCGUGAUGGAUAUCACUGAACUCUAACAACUCCCCCCCACGUGGGCAUCUGGCUACCCUCUCGGCAAGCUCCUCAUAUGCUCAUAUAGAUACCUCUUCCAUAUUACUUCCCUACACAAAUCCGCUGAAAAUUUCCUGCAGGACACUCUCGCUCAGCACAUACUCAAAAGCACAUCACAUAUAUUAGCAACCCUAAGCUAAGGCAUCACAAAUCAGGCCACUCUAGUCCUAAAAUAUGAAUUUCCUAGCCUGCCUCUAGCAUGCACACUAUCUCAUAAAAUAUAUCAUAAAUAUCUCAUAACACAAAAUAAGGGUGUUUUGAAAAAUCACCGUUCGGGCUCUGACUGAUUGUACACACUGCUCUUUUUGCUUUGUCCUUGAAACUCUUAUUCUCUUUAUAAAAACACAUUUCUUUUUGAAAAUUUUUCUUAAAUCCUCAGUUUGAGUCCAGAUUUACCCGAAGGUGCAUCCGAAUCCCUCAAACCAAGGCUCUGAUACCAACUUCUAACACUGUAAAUUUCAAAACAAAUUUUCAUUUAAAAAUAAUCGUUAAUUCUUAAAAACACUUUUCUUAAAAUUCCAGUCAUAAUCGAAUUACAAAAACAUAACUCCAUUUUCACUUGCUUAAUAAACCAGGAUCCUCAAAACAUGACUCUUUCUCUGGUGUGUACAAUCGAGCCGGUGCCGUCCCGUGAUCCUGAGAGAAACCUGAAACACAUAACACAAAACACUAUAAGCACGAAGCUUAGUGAGUCCCCCAAAAUACCACACAUAACACAUAUUAGCCACUCGAGGCUAUAACUCUGUGGGUCCGUGGACCCUACUCUAUGAACCCUCUGGUUCUAACUCUGUGAACCUUCCGGUUCUAACUCUGGGAACCUUUCCGGUUCUAACUCUAUAAACAUGCACAUCAUAGAUCACAUAGAAACAAUGCAGUAUAACACAUAACAUACAUAGCAUACCAAUACUCUGUCACAUAACUCUGGUUACCUACUCAAGGUAAAGUAUAGUGAGAAGACUCACCUGGCAAGCAGAAAGCAGAUAUCCCCGCACUUGAAUCUCGAACUCGCCACCGCCUAACACAUAAGGCAAAUACUCUCAUGAAUAUAACUCUUGAGACUAGAAUCAACCCUCUCUUGGCACCCUCUAAAGAAUAAAAGACCAUUUUACCCAUCUCUUGGCCCAAAGGCCACAUCGCUGACCAAACCCUAAAAGUCAACAAAAGUCAAAGAUCAACUUUGACCGGACUCGGCUAGUGCACUAGGGCGACUCGGCGAGUCUAUACGUGUCCACUGACUCCCUUGGAUCCUCUCUUGACACGUCGAGUAUUUCUCUGACUCGACGAGUUUCACCUGGCAUAAAUCGCGGGGCCACCACGACUCAACUCGCCGAGUCUCAAGAACAACUCGGCGAGUUCCGGCUUGACUCAGUCCCCCCUGACUCUCCCUGACUCACUGAGUCGACCCCUCAACUCGACAAGACCACUCGCUGAGUGGUUACGGGCAAACUUCAUGCUACAAGCCAAGUUUGUUCUUCAGACUCGGCGAGUCCAUGCCAUGCAUAAGUCAAACUCACUUCUGAGGUCAGAUCUGUUCCAUACAAUCAUAGAUCUGGCCUCCCCAGGCAUGAUAAUCACGUAAAGUCCAAACCUUGGUGCUCAAACAACAACUAUUUGCUCCUAGAUGAUGUUUUAUCCCCAUAUCUCAUAACUCUAGGUCAAAACUCCCAUGAAUCCUCAUAAAGCUUAAGGAAUAAAGCUUCUCUGGACCUCUAUGUAUCUCAUCCCAAGCCUCAUCACAAAUAGGGACGAAAUGGACAUCAAAUCUAACCAACAAAUGGGUCAAGAAACCCUAACCCCCAUGUUUAUCAUGACAACAGAAAAGGAAGCCAAAAUAUACCUCCAAGAUGAUGCUCUGAGCUCCAAAAUCGAAGGAUGUCCACCUCCCUUGCCUCCUCUUAGCUAGAAUCUCCUUUGCCUUGCCAAACAAAGCUUCAAAGGUCAACAAUGGCCUCUUCUCUCUCCAAAAACGCUCAAAAUCUCUUUAGGGUUUCUCUCUGGGGUUGGUGGCCGCAAUUGACGGCCAUAAGCCCCUUUAAAUAGGUCUCAAACCCUGGAAAUUAGGGUUUCAUUAAACAGCGUGGACUCGCCGAGUCCACUUUUGGACUCGCCGAGUCUAGACGUGAACCCGCACACAAAACCGUGAUCCUACUCGGCGAGUUUGGACUCCAACUCACUGAGUCUUCUCACACUCACCCAACAAUAAAAGAAUAAAAUAAUACUUGGGAAUCCGGUGUGUUACAACUACGCGUAGCAGGGAAGUCACAACCACUAGAGCUUUGUUGGGAGUUGAUUCCCCUAGAAUGAUUUGCAUUUUAUCUAAUAUCUCACUGGUUUAAUUCUAGUAUGGUGAUGACAAGACGAUUUGAGGCAGGAUCUGGAUCGGGAUUGGGUGCUGGUGGCCAGUAUAGGCCAUCUUUGACUGAGGAGCGGGUAAGGAAGAUCAUGCAAGAGGAAGUUGUUUCCUUCUUUCGUGCAUAAUUACCAGAGAUGUUAGGGUCUAUUAGACUGCCAUGGUGGAGUACUUUGAUGAGAAUUAUGUUGCAUUGUCUGAGGUUGUUGCUACUGCAGUCACCGCAGCUAUUGCUACUUCCGAGAUUUGUGAUGGGAGAGUCUUCCAGUAUCAGGACUUCGACAAUAUGAAGCCCCUGGCAUUUGUUGGAGUUCAGGAUCCGAUCAUAUCCAUGAGGUGGAUGUCUGACAUCGAGGGAUGCUUCUUCACUUACUCUUUCCCAGUUGACCAAAAGGUCUGGUGCGCUCUGAACCUUCUUAGGUCCGGAGUGAAGGAUUGGUGGAGACUUGUUACCAGCUCGUAUUCUCCAGAGUAGAGGACUGAAUUGACUUGGGAGAAGUUCUUGGAGAUGCUCUGUUCUAGAUAUGUUCUACUGGUGGAGCGUGAGAGGUUCACCCAGGAGUACUUGGGUUUGAGACAGGGUACUGAGUCGGUAAUAGAGAUCACCAAGAUGUUCAUGGAGAGGGCCAUGUUUUGUCCUGAGUUUGUUGCUUCUGAGAAAGAUUAGAUGACCCAUUCCUUAAGCAUGCUCAAGAGGGACAUCAAAUAGUUUGUAUCCACUCAGCGUUAUGGUUCAUUAUUGGAGUUACAGGAGGCCGCCAUGCGACGUGGGAUUGAGAUGGAGCUCCAGUCCAGGGAGCAGAGACUGGACCCGAUGCAGUCGCAGCAUGUUCCAACGCGGUUAAGGGUCGCUGAUACUAGAUAUGGGAUUUAGAAGGGCCACACUUGUGGAAAGUACGACAAGGUUCAUGAUGGAGCUUGUAUAUCUUAUACGGGAUGCCAAAAAUGUGGUAAGCAACACCACAUUGCGAGGGACUACCAGCAGUAGGCUCCAGUAUCCGACAUCAAGAUUUGUUAUCAUUGUGAUCAUGUGGGCCAUAUGAAUGCCCAGUCCCCCUUGCUUGCUGCUAAGGCGACACAGGCUUCAACGCCGGCUACUAUGAGGAUCGUGGAUGGGAGUCAAGGUAGGAUGGAGCCCCUGAGGGCUUGGGGUCGUGCUUUUUAGCUCACGGUAUACAAGGCCAGGUUGGCACCAGACGCCGUGACCGGUAUGUUUGUAUUUAUUAUUUUGUCGAUUAUGUUUUGUGUUAUGCUCAUGUUAUGCUCUUAAUAGGUACGAUAUUAGUGAACUCUUUUCCUGCCCUUGUACUAUUUGACUCGGGUGCGAGUUAGUCCUUUGUAUCUCGAUCAUUCAGUAGGGAGUUUGAUAUCCUUAUUGGGGAGUUAGAUUGUCAGGGUUGUAUAUUGAAGAUCUUCAGAGUGUCUUAUCUAAUUGAUAUGAUCCCUAUCCCCAUGGGGAUGUAUGCAUGAUAGUGGGUAUGGACUGGUUGAACAGGUUUGGUGCAAUGAUUGAUUGUGAGGGCCACCGAGUGGUAGUUUGAACCCCAUGUAGGGGAGAACUGGUUAUCUAUGGAGAAGGAACCAGGGUUGGUUCAGGGUUUUGUUCGGCAACCAUAGCUCGAUUGUAUAUUCAGCACAGGUAUGCAGGUAAUUUGGCUUAUGUGGUUGAUAAUCAGGUUGGGGAGCAGACUUCAGUCUUAGAGGUUCCAUUUGUCAGGGGGUUUGUUGAUGUUUUCCUAGAGGAGUUUCCCAGUGCAGCCUUGAUUCCCAAGGUGCCAUACCACUUGGCACUGCCUGAGAUGCAUGAGUUGUCAUCUCAGCAUUAGGAGCUGCUAGGCAAGCAGUUCAUAAGUCCAAUCAAUUCUCCGUAGGGAGCGCCGAUACCAUUCAUCAAGAAGAGGGAUGGUUUACACCGGAUGUACAUUGAUUACUAGGAGUUGAAUAAGUUAACGAUGAAGAACCGUUAUCCACUUCCGCGGAUUGAUGACCUCUUUGAUCAGUUGCAGGGUGCAUUUGUUGGAUUAGGUGUCUAAGCCCAUAACUAUAAUUGAUAUGUACUUGACCAGAGAGUAGCAUGGUCCAUUUGGGUUGCCUUCACCAGGACAAUUUGAUGGAUUUUUGAGAAGAGCUUAUUAUGAUGUGUUAAUAUAUUAUAAGUUAUAAUAUAUUAAUAAUCAUAUAAUUUUAUUAGUAUUGAUCAAUAAUUAAUUUGGAAUUAAUUUUGUGAUCAAAAGAGACUAAUUAGAUAUAUGGGGAUUGAUUUGGUAAAUCAAUAAUUCUUAUAGUGUGGGCUGAUUGUUAUGGGCUAAACCAAUAUGGUGGUCCAUGGAUAGUCUAUGGAGGUUUAACCCAUGGAGCCUAAGGAAAUCAAAGGUCAUGGGGAUUAGGGUUUUGCAUGGAUGAAACCCUAGACCUUGUCACACUAUAAAAGGGACCCAUAGUCACCAAAAUCGGCACCUAUGCAUUCUAAGGAAGAGAUAGCCGAUUUUGUGUGACAAGAAGCUUCUCUCAAAAGUCAUCUUAUGUUCAUAGUGUUUAUGAACCAUUUGAGGUGCAAAACUUGGGGCGAUAAGUUCUUAAAGCCCAAAGUCUUUCAAGCAACACCAAAUACAUCAAGACUUCAAGCCACAUAAAAGGUAUGUUACUCUAUCUAGUAUGUUGUAUUUUUUAUGACAAAUUGCAUGCUAGUUAUAGGUUUAAUGCCUUGGAAACCAUUUGCAUGUAUAAUUAGUGAAAACAUAGAUCCAAGGUAUUUAAGGUUGUAUGUGCACCAUAGGAUGUUGUAGUAUACCAAAACCCAUCAAUGGUAUUAGAGCCAAGGCUUGUUUUCAAUUAUACUUGAUGCAAAAGGCUGCAAAACGAAGUUUUUGUGCUGUUUGAACAGGGGACACGACAAGUCCAUUAAAGGGCUCGACGGGUCCAUGUACAAACUCAUCCAACUCGUCGAGUUUGUUCCUGCACUCGGCGAGUUGGACCCCCUGACAACAUAUUUUCGAGUUUUUUGGCUGGAAUUGGACUAGGAACAUUACCCUAAGCUGUUUUUGAACUUAUAAACUUGUUUUUGAUGUGGUAAUGUUCAUGCUAAUCCAAUUUCUAAUAUAAUUGUCAUAAUUUCAAUAUUUUUAUUAGUUUAUGUGUUCAUGCUAAUUUCUUGAAGAUUGUUGAUUUGAAUUAUCUUGUUCUUAUGAGUUAGUUUAGAUUAAUAGAAAAGUUAUGUGAUAAUUUGUUUUUGAUCCAAAUUAAUCUAAAAGUUGUUCAUCAAUUGUGUUUUUGUAACUUGUCCUCAAGUUAUAUGAAAAGUCACAUUUAUGACUUUUAAAACUCAUAAAAUUUCCAUAAGUUAUAAAAAAUGAAGAGUCUCAUUUUUAAAUGUUAUAAAGUCUUCCAUAACUUGUCCUCAAGUUAUGGAACUUGAAGAGUUUUUCCUUUAAAACUACUUUAAACUUAUAAGUUAUGGAAUUGAAAAGUUUUUUGAACUGUUCAAAACUUGCCCUCAAGUUUUGGAAUUUGUAAUGUUUCCUGCAUGAAUACUUUAAUUCCAAGUUAAACCCUUAGAAUUUUAAAAGUUAAAACUCAACCCUUAUACUAUUAUAAUAUUAUAGGUUUAAUAUUUAUAUAUAUAUAUAUAUAUAUAUANAUAAUGUUACCGCCUAUAAAAUGGCAGUUUAAUGGGUGUCUAAUCUCACCCACCGCUUCCUUGAUUGGUGGAGGGUCGUUAGCCGAACGGGUUUGACAUGACUCUAAUUCUCCCUUCAUUAAAAGUAUAAUGAUAAAUACUAAGUAACUAAACACUUUUAAAUUCCCAAUCUUAGUUACUUAGAAAAAUGUGAAUUUGGUGCUAACCCAUGAAAUUGCACUUUGUACCUUACCAAGUCGUUGGUGGAGCGUGUGUGGGUAACCGGCACACUAACAUGGACUAGUAAGAGUGGAAAAGGGUAACUUAAUGCUUAUCAUAGAUAGGUGGAGCGCGUAUGGGUAACCGACACAUCGAUUAGGUGAUAAAGUUAAGGGUACUGAGUUAAUUUGCAUGGUGGAAAUUGGUGAAUCGUCAUUCGCCUACCUUCAAAGAUUUUAUAGCUUGGAUUACGACAUCCCUCUUCCAAGUUAUAAAAUAUUGUGUUGGGUCCUAGCAUUAAUAUUCCAUAUUGGGUGUUAUAUUAAGGACUUAAAUCAACUAACAUGAAUAUCUCUCAUAUUAGAUGUCUGGUUCAGAAAACUAUGAUCAUCCCAAAUCCCUUGAAACAAGCUUUCCUAAUGAAGAUGAUGUCCCAUGGUUGGAUCAUGGAAAUCAUACUUCAAUUCCUCCACCUCCUCCAAUAAUUUUGCUUAACCCACAAGUUUAAAGACUCGAAUAGUUCAAGGUCACUCAAGCCCUAUUAGCAAGCAAAGUCUAUGUGUGCUCACAUAUUGGAGAUGAAGUCACAUAUUGACAAGCUGAGAGAGUUGGGUGUCAAAGUCUUGAGGAAGUUGGUUGUUGACUAGGUUCUUCAAUCACUUCCUAAGUCACGUAGUGAGUUCCUUUAGGACUACUAUAUAACAGACUAUGACAUGACCCUUAAUGAUCUUACCUAUUUGCUUAUUGUUGCUGAAUGAGCAAUGAUUUAGGGCACUGGUAAAACAAAUUUGAUUGGAAGAUCUACUUCCCAAAACUUUCAUGGACAUUGACAAUGGUAAAAUUGGAAAUCCAGAAAAGCUUUCUCUUCCCAAUGGAAAGGGAUCGGCCAUAGUCAACUCGGUUGACCAAAUGGUAAAGAGAAAGGCUAAGUCUGAUAUAGUCUCGUGUACCAUUCCCAAAGCGUCCAUAUGUUUCUAUUGCCAAAGGAUGGGGCAUUGGUCGCGAAGCUGCCCUAUUUACCUGAAAUAUUAUGAGGAUGGUAAAGUCAAAAGUUUGACACUACUUCAGGUAAAGUCCACUAUCUGACUCUAUUAAGUUCCUAUUUGGAGAUUCUUAUACAUGAUGUGACUAGGUCACAUGUCGAUGUUUUAAGAAUCAAAGGAAAGAGGAAUCUUAAAGGAAGAAUAUGUUGAUUCUGAUCGCGAAGAUGGAUUUCGAUCGCAUGGUUCGGUGAUCAGAAUUUUGAGCUAUUGCUUAAGAGUUAUGAUAUUUUGCUUAGGAAUAGAUAACAACAAGUUUUCAUAUGCAUUUGCAUUGUAAGGAUAAGUUUUCCGCAAAUUUUUAAAAUAAAAUAUAUAUUUUUUUUUAUUUUAAAAUUCCUUACAAUGGCAUUUGGGAAAAAAAUGUUGUUUAUAAGAUUCCAUUGAUAGCAAUAUUGGAAAAUGGAUUUGAUUCUUUCGUUUGUAGUAGUGUUGUAAUUUACCAAAUAAUGAAAGAUUCUCAUCGCCCAAGUUUCAGUUGGAUAGAAACUUGGAAUCAUACAACCUGAAUUGUAUAAUGAAUGAGAAUUUUUCAUCUUUGGGAAACUAAGACUAAUUCCUUGUUCACAUGUAAAUGUGAGUCAAGUGAAGGACUAGGAGAUCGGGUACACUUGGUUGUGUGCUGUUUAGCUCCACCACAAAGAACAAUAAGGCUAGUCAUCAUGAUUUACUAAAGUUUAGUAAAUAUGGUUCUGCUUACAAGUUUAGGUGUAAUUCUGAAACAUUGGAAAAGUUUCAAUCUAUGGCAGGACGAAUGAAAAGAAUCAAAUUAGGCAGAACCAUAAAAGUUUCUCCAAUCUGAAAAGAUAGGAGAGUAUUUUAGUAUCGUGUUUUAUGAUUAUCUUAGUGAUUAUGAAACCAUAUCAUAAUUGAUCCUCUAAGAACAUCUUAGUGCAUUCGUAUGACUGAAAAGAGGAAUCGUGAAUUGUUGAAAUGGUUAAAUCAAAAGAUGAAUCAUAGUUCGUUCCAAAAUUGAGUCUUAUAGUAAUACUCCAAGAUUGUCACUUGAGUGGCAUAAUCUUAAGAAGGUCUAUAACACUUGUCAAAAUGUAGAGUAAAAUUUUUUCUUACUUUUGUACAUUUGAAAUUGGUAAGUUGUGAUGUUUUGGAUAAAACAAAGACCAACAGAGGCCAAUUGUUUUAAGUGUNAAGACCAACUUAGGCCAAUUGUGUGAAGUGUUUGUCUUGGUUAGAAUCCAUACUAUCUCUUGGAUGUUUGACAAGGGAGUCAUAUAGGUCAAGAGGACAAUGGGAGUCUUAAAGGUCUUGAAAGUUUCAAGAACUAAUCAAGGUUGAAACCCAUUGUUUAUCACUAGCGCACGACUUGAGGUUUGUAACCUAUCGUGUUGACAUAUUCUUGUUAUUGUGCCCAUUCCAGUUAAAAUUGACUAUGCGUGUGAGUUCUAUGAGUUCUCAGUUGUUUGCAUAACAACUUGGAAGAAAUGGUAGGCCCUUGUGCUGCCAAGUGGCAAGAAGUUAAAAUUGCACAAGUUCAGUGCAUAUGAGUUUAGAUUUGUCACUAACCUUAUCUUGUGAUUAUGGUUAUGACAAAUUCACAUGGAUAGGAACACAUACACCAUAAAAUCUAAGUGUCACAAGGUUUCUCUCCAAUUCAUGAAAAUGAUGGUGAGGAAACGCUUUCGCUAAAUAGAUUUUAAGUAGAUAGCAAUUGUGAUGUUUGCAUUCUCAAAGUCGGUAGUGGAGCAUGUGUGGUUAACCGAAACACUAACAUGGACUUGUGAGAAAUGGCAAAGGUCUAAAAAAUUGAGACUAUGAUUACGACAUCCCUUAAUAUAGUUCGACAAAUUGUUUAGACACACAUGUGAGCUAUCUAAGGAAAGGUGUAUGAUUUUGAUAAAGUUUUAUCAAAGCAUCUCGUAUCAGAAAUCUGAGCUUUGGUAAGAAAGUCAAUAAAGCAUUGAUUUCUAGAAGUCCAGCUGAUUUCUGAGUACAUGUCAAAGAUAGUGGGAGAAUAAGUGUUAUGAUAAUAAUUAUCAUGUUAGUGGGAGCGUAAUCAAUUAUGAUAAGUGUUGCAAGUUAGCAAUGUUAAUUAUAGAAAACAAAAGUUUCAAUUGGGAAAAUUGUUAUGCUAUAAUUAAGGGAGAUGAAAUUAUACUUUAUUUCAAUUCUAAAAGCUUAGAUUGAGAUUUUAAUCAUCUUUAGUCAAGGAUAUAUAUAUAUAUANNNNNNNNNNNNNNNNNNNNNNNNNNNNNNNNNNNNNNNNNNNNNNNNNNNNNNNNNNNNNNNNNNNNNNNNNNNNNNNNNNNNAUAUAUAUAUAUAUAUAUAUAUAUAUAUAUAUAUAUAUAUGUGUGUGUGUGUGUGUGUGUGAAUUUUAUGUUGGAAUGGCUCAACAUAAGGAAAUUCUAUAUAUAUUGCAUUCUCAAAAUUUGAUUGUGAUUACGACAUCCCUCUUCAUAGUCAAAUUAUGAAAACAUGGCAAAUAAAAAAAUAUUGUAGCAAAAGACUGGUCUAGGAUCAUGUCUUUAUGUGAGACAUCAUGAAUCGUGUCCCAUAUGCUUCGGGUAUAUGAUCGAUUACAUGUGCUAUUAUAUUUGUCCUUUCUAAAUUUUCCAAAUGCCUAGGGCAUUAAGAUGUGAAAAGGUCUAGAAUUGGAUAUGACUAAAAGGAUUAAGCAAUUGUCGAGGACAAUCUGAGGUUUUCCAAAGAUUGGUUGCCCAUGGACAGUUGGAAGUAUGGUGUAAAUUUUUGAAAGGACCAUACUGACAUAUUCUCAAAAGAGGCAACUCUUGUUUAGAUGUGAUAGUGAAAAUGGGAAUGUGGAAAUGUUUCCGUAGGAGGAAGAUAUUCAUUAAAUCUAUGUAUUUUUAGAAAACUUAAUGCAAGAAGGAUGUUCAAAGGAAUGUACUUUGAAUUUGAGACUUCGUUUUCAUAGAAUUGAUCUCUAUUGGAAUACUUUGUAAUGUCAGUUGACAAGUCUUUGUGACUUUGUGCAUAGUUAUUACAAGUGGAUCAAUGCAUAUAAGUUUAGAAUCUAAUAGAUUUUGGUAAAUGGUAGGAAUUUGGAAUUCUUACAUUUACAAUAAGGAUUUGGAUUGUGGAAUGAGCAUCAUUGAAAUUAUGUUCAAUUGGUCUAUUUCACAAAGUAAGGAUCAUAGACAAGCAUAGUGUGCAUACUUGGAGUAUGACAUAGCUAUUGUUUGGACACACAUAGUGUGCAUGUUUGGAGCAUGGUAUGACUAUUGUUUUAAUUCAAGUAUUAGGUUGAUAAAUCGAAACAUUAUACAAUGAAUAAUGUGUAAUCAAUAUGGUGAUAAAUAAAAUGUGUUUUAUUUAUAUUCAUAAGUUCUAAGACCAUAUUGGAUUCGAUUAUUUUUGUGUUUCACUUUGCAUGUUUUGACUUCCAGAACAACUAGGUCAUUCUUCCCGAAUGACUAAGUUAUUCAAACCGUCCACAUUCGAUAAUACGUUGGACGUAUGUAUUAAGUUAAGACUGUCAUGAAUUGGGUUUGUAGAUGUCUAAAGUGUUUAGACAUAGCAAAAGUUGCUGCAACAUUUAUGAGUGCUCCUGGAAUGAGAUUCGAGUAUUAGAUUAAACCCAUGCUCAUUUGAUUCACUUCAUGGAUUUUUACACGAGUGAUCAUGAGACGAUAAUAUCUUAUAUUCUUCAAACCUAGAGAUAUGAGUUGUUGACUAUGAGUUGGUUAUACAUUGAUUGUAUGAAAACGCAUUGGUAACUUGAUGUUAUAAAACGUGCCUUUGUGUAUGAUUCAACAAGUAGUAUAACAAGCAUAUGAGUCGAAGUUUAUCCAUUCCUUUUACCCUUGGAGGGAUAAAAGUGAUAUAUGUGGGCCCCUCGAUGAUUUAGUGAUGACAAACGUAAGUGCUCGUCCGGGCCUGGACUGAUUUGAUUUGUUCAAUUAGUCAAUCGUCAUAAAUCGGAAAUUAGGAAACAACAAAUAGACAGAGAGAAUGAUUAUAAUCCAUGUAUCAGUCCAUAUGAUAUCUAUAUUGGAGGAAUAUAUGAUCCCUUAUCUAAUGGACGCGUCAUUGAUUUCUUUAGAGUUCGACAACAGCUUUUAGGAGCUACGAUUGCGAGUCGGGUUGUACUUGCAAUAAUAGUUAUUAGACUUAUCCAAGUGGGAGACUGUUGGAUUAGGUGUCUAAGCCCAUAAUUAUAAUUGUUAUGUACUUGACCUGAGAGUAGCAUGGUUCAUUUGGGUUGCCUUCACCAGGACAAUUUGAUAGAUUUUUGAGAAGAGCUUAUUAUGAUGUGUUAAUAUAUUAUAUGUUAUAAUAUAUUAAUAAUCAUAUAAUUUAAUUAGUAUUGAUCCAGAAUUAAUUUGGAAUUAAUUUUGUGAUCAAAAGAGACUAAUUAGAUAUAUGGGGAUUGAUUUGGUAAAUCAAUAAUUCUUAUAGUGUGGGCCAAUUGUUAUGGGCUAAACCAAUAUGGUGCUCCAUGGAUAGUCCAUGGAGGUUUAACCCAUGGAGCCUAAGGAAAUGAAAGGUCAUGGGCAUUAGGGUUUUGCAUGGAUGAAACCCCAGACCUUGUCACACUAUAAAAGGGACCCAUAGUCACCAAAAUUGGCACCUAUGCAUUCUAAGGAUGAGAUAGUCGAUUUUAUGUGACAAGAAGCUUCUGUCAAAAGUGAUAUUUUGUUCAUGGUGUUUGUGAACCAUUUGAGGUGAAACACUUGGGCCACUAAGUGCUUAAAGCCCAAAGUCUUUCAAGCAACACCAAAUACAUCAAGACUUCAAGCCACAAAAAAAUGUAUGUUACUCUAUCUAGUAUCUUGUAUUGUUUAUGACAAAUUGCAUGCUAGUUAUAGGUUUAAUGCCAUGGAAAACAUUUGCAUGUAUAAUUAGUGAAAACAUAGAUCCAAGGUAUUUAGGUUUGUAUGUGCACCAUAGGAUGUUGUAGUAUACCAAAACCCAUCAGUAUCUUGGUUCUCCAAGAUAGAUAUGAGGUCUGGGUAUCAUCAGGUGAGAGUGAGAGAGGAGGACGUGGAAAAGACCGCAUUUCGGACUCGUUAUGGGCAUUACGAGUUCGUAGUGAUCCCAUUUGGGUUCACCAAUGUGCCUGCUGUGUCUAUGAAUUUGAUGAUUCGGGUACGCAGGCUGAUUCUCGACUUAUCUGUCAUUGUGUUUAUUGAUGAUAUCUUGGUGUAUUCCAACACCAAAGAGAAGCAUGAGGAGCACCUUCUAGAGCUUCUGGGGGUUCUGAGGUGAGAAUGGAUUUAUGCCAAAAUCUCAAAGUGCGAGUUUUGGUUACGAGAAGUCCAGUUCCUGCGGACCUCAUUAAACAUGAUGGGAUUUUGGUCGAUCUGGCCAAGAUCGAGGCUAUGAUGCAGUGGGACGUUAUGAAAUCUCCCUCAGAUAUCAGGAGUUUCUUGGGUUUAGAAGGGUACUAUCGAAGAUUUAUUCAGGACUUCUCCAAGAUUGUUGUUGAGAAAAAAACUUGAGACACACUUGAACAAACGUUAGAACAAGUAUAGUUGCGGAAUUAGUUAAUCUCAAAGUAUCUAAAAGCUCAACAAUAAUAAGAUAAUAUAUUAGAUAGUUAGAUAGUUAGUUUCGGAAAUGUAAAGAAACAUAAAUGAUAGCAGGUGAUAUAUCAAGUAAACACAUAAGUUGAUUCAUAACAUGGAAUGCAUUCAAACCAAGUUAGUAAGUAAGAUCAGUCUUAGUGAUAGAGUCACGAGUGACUUGCUCCGAAGAGAAGUAUUAAUCAGUUGUGUUCGAGAGGAUUUUUAGAGAGUAAGAAAGAUAUGAGAUGCGUAAGGAUAACUUGAAGAUAAUUUAGAUUUAGAGAUGAGUGAAGUAAGAUCUGUAUAGAUUGAUAAAGAGUGAGCUCUAUUUAUAGAGACUCAAGAAAUACAAGUGAUUCAUUCCCUAAGAGUAGCCAUGCAAGGCAUACUGGACAAUAGAGAGUAUUACAGAGAUAGAUAAAAAUAGACUAAGUACAGAAAGAAGAUUGCGGUAUCUUAGACGACUUCGGAUGUGGCUGCUAAGGAAGCUUGACUGCGGAUGCUAGUAGACUGCGGUAGGCAAAAUUAAGAGGGUCACUUCAUGUAUCAACAAUUUCCCCUAAGUGACCUCUAAAUUUCUUCACUUAUCAAGUUUAAGGAACUUGAUCAGGGUCUACCAAAAAUUCCUGACAUUUUCCAACCAAGUGAUCCUCCUUAAAAUCUUGAACUUGACUUCGACAAUUGUAUGUUUCGAUUUUUCCAUUGCGGUUCGACAAAUUUCAAGUUGUUUCUUCGUGAGGCGGUUCAUGGAGGCGAUGGAAAUGAAGUACUUAACUUGAUCAGUUUUCCUUUUGAAGAUGACUCCAAGUUCAGGAAAGUUUGUUGCACCAAGGGAUCUUUCUUCAUAACCUUCGGUUGGCAUCGGUACGGGAUCAAGAGGAGGUAGAUCAAACUUUCUGGCCAUGAUUGGGUGUAUAUCCGCAUCGAUCUUUGCGAAGUCACAAACAAUUUCUUUAAGAUAAGUGCAUGCCCUUUCAUGUGCUAUCUUCAUCUUUGUAUGCUUUUCACACUUGUUCUAGAACACCUUUUCUAUAAGAAAAACUACUUAUGGGUUCAUGCAGGGGAAGUCAGCUUGGGUGCGGACAUAGUCCUGAUUCCUUCUAGUGAGUGUGUAUUGCACAAAGUCAGCCUUCAUAAAUUUGUGAGGUUUGUAGUUCUUGACUGCUGAUGGUCUGUCGUUGGACCAGAUCUUCUCAAUGGGAGAGGCAUGCUUGGCAUAGAAUCGGUUAAGUCUCUCGAACUCCAUUGGCAGUCUCUUGUGAUCAGGAAGGUUGCGGUCAAACUGCUCAAAUACUGUGAAGUAUUUAGCAUUUGGGGAGAUGGGAACAUCCCAGUAGCCAUCCGAAGGUGGUUCAACAUACGUUAGGUAUGUUUUAUAGUCAUCAUAUAGAAGUCUGCAGUGGGGAUUAAUCCAAGAAUUUAUCAAGGAUUCAUCCACCACAGUGUCAAAACCGCACUCUCUCCAUAUGAGCUCUACAAGUUUAGCUGAUUUCCAGUCAACUUUCUUCUGUUUAGUUACAGGGGAGUCAUUUGAGCUUGGAGAGGACAUGUGAUCCGCCGGAUUCUUGAAGUGUGGGGGAGUUUCAGGUAUUUCAGGGGAGGGAAUGAUUUUAUGUUGCGGUGGUGGAUAUUGAUGUGGAGGAGAUUGAUGAUACGGUGAGGGUUGCGGUGAAGGGAUUUUCUGAGAAGCACUGUUUGAAUGAUGAUCUUCUUCAUAGUCUUCUUCUCGAUGGUCUUCUUCACUUCCCCCUCUUGAGGAGUUUAGACUCGGAGACUCCUCAAGCCAUUGUUUGAGGCCAUCGACUUUAGCACACACCUCCUGGAAAUGGGCUUUGAGAACCUCAACCAGUUGCUAAUUGUCAGGAAUGGUGGUGCUGAAGAGCAGUCGAUGAAUCUCCUUUGUUAGUUGGAGAAUUUCGGGGCCAUGCAAGUUUGAUGAUAAUGACCGUUGGAUUUUGUUGAUGGUUGCAUGGAGGACUGAGAUAGUGGACUCAUAUGUAGUGUGAGUCUCAACUACCAGUUUCUGAGACAGAGUAGAUUGAUCCGCAAUGGCUGCCUGCAGGUUGUCUUUUAUUGCGGAUACCUCAGAUAUGAGGCGCUCCGCAGCAGCCAUAAAUUCCUUGUGAUCUGCUUGAUGGUUGUUAUCAAGGGAGCUAAUUCCCAUUUGAACCUUGAGAGAAAUUCUCUCAGCAGCCAGUCGUUCCCUAGUUUCAAUCAUUCAAUCCUUUCGAUCAAGGACUGCGGCACCGGAUUGUGUUCAGACUGUGGUUGUGUAGACUUGACUGCGGCCAGAAUUUGGUCAACCUUGGAUUGAAGAUUGAGAAAUUCUUUUCUUGAGACGACCAUCUUUUUCUUCUUUUUCUUCUCCUUUUUCUUAGAGGUUGAGUGCUGAGAGCCACUCGAUUCCUCUUCUUCAACGUACAUCAUAAGGUCAUCAUCCGAAGGAUUGGGCUGAUUGACCUCUUGAAGAUCAACAUCAUCAAAACCGAAGGUGGGAGCGGAGCUAUUCGGUGCUUGCAUCUUGGGAGUCUUUGGCAGUUGGAGAUGGAGGAGGCUUUGAAGGAGUCUGAUCAGCAGUCGCCUCUUGAGCCUUAUGGAUGGGAUCAGCCAUGUUAUCCAUCAGGGCAUGGACCUUGCAGAAAGUAGCUAUGGUAUUGGCAUUGUUGAUUGCGUCUGCCCAAUACCUAGCCACAGAUUAAAUUUCUUGUUGUUUCUGCUGAAGCUGCUUUGUUUGUCUUGCCUUUCUUGCUUGGAAUGCCCUAUGGAAAGCGGCAUUUUUUUGGCUUCGGAUUCAUUGGAUGGCUGAUACCUACUCCAUGAUUCAUUUAGAUCUAUAUCGUCAAUUCCAUAGUAUCGCACCGAGGUGUCCCUCAGGUUCACGGAUCCUUGCACAUUUGUGCUCACCGUGCCUAAACCACUUGUUACUGAUGUGAGCAGAGUAGGAUUUCCUGAGCUUCCUUGGUUUCCUUGACCUAAAGUCAAGUCUCGCCUCGGUUCAGUUCUGGCAAAGCCUGAAGAAUCGCCUUACGGUUGGGUUGGUGUUUGAAGUGUUUGGCUGACAGACAAAAGAAUGGAGUGCAACUCCUCAGGGGGAAAGAAAAGAAGACGGGAAGCCCUGGAGACCUUAGGGCGGGAGCCUGAUCCAUCCUAUUGGGAUUGACCUAGGGGGAGUCUCCACAUUACGGUGAAUCAGACUCACUGCUUGCGCCUGAGUGGUAUAGGAUGGUUGUUUCGAAUGGAUGUGCGGCCAUCCCAAGGACUACCAGAGCCUGUUGAGAGGCUGAGGUAUCAGUUCGGUCACACAUAUGGCUAGUGGGAUCGGUUUUGCGUUUCUUGAGGAUUGCAAUAGGUUGAUCAUCCUCAUCAGAGUCACUACCGGAGGGACGUUUGCUUGGUUCGACUAUAGUUACCACGGGUGGAGUGGUUUUUCUUUUCUUGGAGGGAUUGGUUUGCUUGGAAGCAUCCUUUUUGGGAGUUACUGGUUUCUUGGUGUUACGGGGACCUUGACGAGCAGAGACUAGUUGCUUGCGUCUUUGGGAUGAUGAAAUGUUUGAAAGAGUUAUGGAAGAUGGGACUGCGAUACUAACUGGGUCAAUGUUUGCAGAUGGGGUUAGAAGAGGCAGGGUAGAAAGGUAUGGGGCAAUACCUUCCGUAGCCUCAAUGUGAUCUGAGACAUCAAUAGUCUCAAGACCGAGGAUAAAAAGAAUGUGAGUUGGUAGUCUUCUAAUUGGUCCAAAAAUAAUCUGAUCAGAUGAGGGAUUAUACCUUUUAAGAUCCUUGGUGAUAAAGAAGUUGAUGUCGUUGCCCAUGCUGAUUCCUGCAUCCGCAUGGAGGUCUGAGAUGCAGAGAGACCAAAACCUUGCAAAGGUGAGUUCGGUAGGGUUCUCUCUUGGGCUUUCUUUUGGAAUGUACUGCAGAAAAUCACCCCAUAGGAACUGACCGUAGUUGACGUCAUGACCUGUGAAGAUGCUCCAUACGAGUUCUAAGAGCUUAAGUCCCAUGUUGUCUGUGUCUCCGGUUCUGCCGGAUAGACUACGGAUAUUGAAAUGACAAACGGAUUGCCGACCACAGGUAAUUGGUUUUUCUUGAAUUCCCCAAUUCCUUUGAUUUUCUUCCAGUAUCCCAUUUGGUAGAACACAGAAAGUAUUUCCACCAUUGAUGGUGUAAAAAUCUUGAUGGAUGGUUGAACAAGGAGGUUAAUGGCAGUGAGAAAUUUCUCCUUGGUGAAAAUGACCAAAGAAUCAUUGACUAGGUUAAGAUGCACUUCUUGAAGAUUCUCGAGUGGUCGAUAGGCUGAAAAAGCACACUUGAAGAGGGUUAAGAGAGGAACAACAUCUGUGAACGAAUCGAAGGGUCCAAACAAUGGGUGAUUGGACAGGAACUUGAUCAUCAGUUUUGUCAGGGCAUUGUAGAAGGAAUGUUCUUCGGACACUACUCUGAAAUUGCUUGAUGCAAUCAUCGGUGUGGGAUGUCUUGAGGCAGAGUCUGAACCAUUGGGGUUCACUGAUCCAGAUGCCUUGGAAGGUUUCUUGGAUACACCGGAUUUCACCAUUGUUGAGUUUUUGAAGAAGCUUUGAAGGAGAGAAAACAGAGUGCAAGAGAAAGGUUUAUGGUUUAGAAAGCUUAAACUUUUCUUUGGGAAGAAGAAAGGGGUUUUAUAGUGGCUUAAGGGAGCGGGAAACGUUUUUGCCCUAAGUGAAUUUGGGUAAAACGUUUGGGUGUUUAUUUUGAAUUAAAGGCAUUAAUCUCGGCCACAUAUUAAGAAAAAAAGGAUUAAAUCUGAAUUUUGGGAUUUACCAAAAAAGGUUUGCAUUUAAUGAAAUGUCAGAUUUAUGACCACGUCUGAAAAAUAUGUGGUGAGGGUGAGAUCAAUCCGUUGUGUAAAGGGAAGUUGUAACGGAUUUGAUGUUUUAGGGUAAUAGGAAGAGACAGAUUAAAAGGAUUUGAUUUUCGAAAAUCUUUCUUUUUGUCAUCAUACCUAAAAUAGGUCUGACACGAGGUUUAUUCAAAAGAAUGAGACAUAUGCACAAAGAAUGUUUUUUUUUUUUUAAAUAUUUUCUCUAUUUAAUGAAGGAUCAUUAAAUAGCACACCAUGUUUUUUUAUGGUUUUCAAAAGAAUGUAAUAGUCUAAAAAUCAAUUAAAGUGACUGCGGAUUGAAACUUCAUUGCGGAUGGAUCAAAUGCUGUCGGAUGGAUGACUGCGGUAGAUGAACUGAGAUGAACACUUGAACAAAGAUUAGAGUAACAAACAAUAAGGACCAUUGAAGUAUAAUUAUGAUAUAUGGUUACGGUACAUGGUAUAUAUCAAAACCAUCUAACAUAAAUAACUUCAACUAGGAACGCAAUGGAGACCAUGGAUGGUCUACGGUACCUAUCAAUUCAAAAAGAAUUGUGGGUCCGGAUUCAUCAUUCCUAACAUUUGUAAGAAAGUGUUGAGUUUUGUAGAGUCAAGUGCCUUUGUGAAUACAUCAGAAAUCUCUUCAUGAGUAUGGACAAAAAUUAGUUCAAUGUUACCUUUCAGGAUGUGGUCUUUGAUGAAGUGAUACUGUAGUUCAACAUGCUUGGUUUUGGAGUGAUGAAUAGGAUUGUGAGAAAUCGCUAUGGCACUUUCAGAGUCACAAUAGAUUGGUAUCCAUAGCAUUCUGUAUCCGUAGUCUAGUAGUUGUGUUUUCAUCCAUAAGACUUGAGAACAACAGCUGGCUGCGGCCCCAUAUUCAUCUUCUGCGGUAGACAAUGAUACACAAUUUUGUUUCCUUGAGGACCAGCUGACUAGUCUUCCACCCAGAAAUUGACAUCCACCUGAGGUGCUUUUGCAAUCAAGUUUGCAUCCGGCAUGAUCUGCAUCUGUAAAUGCUUGAAGACUGAAAUCAUUUCCUGCGAGGUACCAUAAUCCAUGAGUUUUGCUUCCUUUUAAGUACCGUAGACUUUGUUUGGCUGCGUUCAUAUGAGACACUUUUGGGUCAGCCUGGUACCUUGCGCAUAUACCCGUUGCAAAGACUAUAUUCGGUCGGCUUGAAGUGAGGUACAUUAGAGAACCAAUAAUACCUCUAUAAGACUUGUAAUCAACAAAUUCACCUGAGGGGUCAGCAGAUAUCUUAUAACCGAAGACCAUGGAGACCUUAGCCGAAGAACAAUUGUCCAUGGAACAUUUCUUCAACAGUUCUGAGGUGUAUUUUUCUUGAUGAAUGAAUAUCCCUUGAGGGACUUGUUUCACUUGAUGUCCUAGAAAGAAGUUAAUCUCUCUAUUCAUGCUUAUUUGGAACUUGUUGGUCAUGAGCUUAGCAAAUUCAUCCACCAUCUUUUGAUAAGUUGAGCCAAAAAUGAUAUCAUCCACAUAUAUUUGUAUAAGCAUUAGAUGAUCACCUUUUGCUUUUCGAAAUAAAGUGGGAUCACUCACUCCUCGUUUGUAACCGGAAGAGGCAAGAAAUUCAGAUAGAGUCUCAUACCAUGCUCUAGGGGCUUGUUUUAGACCGUAGACUACUUUUUCAAGUUUGUAGCAGUGGUCUGGGAAUUCAAUGCUUUCAAAACCGGGAGGUUGUUGAAGAUAAACCUCUUCUUUUAAUUCCCCAUUGAGAAAAAGCGCUUUUCACAUCCAUUUGACGAACUCUGAUGUUUUUGUGCGUUGCGUAUGCUAAGAAGAUCCGGACGGCUUCCAUUCGUGCUACCGGAGCAUACGUUUCAUCAUACUCAAUGCCUUCAAGUUGACUAUAUCCCUUGGCAACUAGUAUUGCCUUGUUUCUGACGACCGCACCAGACUCAUCUAACUUAUUCUUGUACACCCAUCUUGUGCCAACAAUGGUGUGGCCUUGCGGUUUAGGAACGAGUUGCCAUACCUUGUUCCUUUUGAAUUCUUCUAUUUCUUCUUGCAUUGUGGAAAUCCAGUCUAGUUAAAGUAAUGCUUCUUUGAUCGAUCGAGGUUCAACUGAGGACAAGAACGCUGCGUAGUGGCAGUGAUCAGAUAAGUCCUUGGAUGAUCGAGUCUAGAUUCCUGCAGAUGGGUUGCCAAUUAUUUCACCUGGUGGGUAAUCUCUCGUCCAUACGUGUAGACGAGGUUGCAUAUGAUCAACAACUGCGGUGGAGGGAAUAUCUUCAAUAUCAGAAAGCUCUGCGGUUGGAGAAGGCAGUUCCCAUGGACUUGAGAACAUCUUGCUGAAGUGUCUUAAACUGGGAAGGUAGGAUUAUAUUUGUCUUGGGCAGAUGGUGAAGGUUCCCCCUGGAGUUUAUAAGGGAGUUCGCCUUGAAUAUGUGAAGGUUCCCCCUGGAUUUGAGAACAUCCUGCUGAAGUGUCUUGAACUGGGAAGGCAGGAUUAGAUUUGUCUUGGGCAGAUGGCGAAGGUUCCCCCUAGAGUGUAGAAGGGAGUUCGCCUUGAACCUGCAAAGGUUCCCCCUGGAUUGCGGAUGGGAGAGAGAUAACCCGUGAGUCUGUUCUAGUGUCAAUGUGUUCUAUGUUUUCAUCAUCCGAAUCCGUAGAAACGUUUGAUGGUUGAAAUUCUCUGCGGAUUGGAACUUCGUCUUAUGGUACUGGAACCUCGAUGGUUGUUGUGUGGUCCAGAGUGGAGUUUUCCCCCCUCAACCGGCGAAGUGGAAGUAUUUAGCGAUACUUCUUCGGACGCUUUUGGACCAGAUACAUCUACAUGUUGUUGCUGAGCUUCUAAAGACACGAGAACUUCAGAUAACAACAAGAUCAAAGAGAUCAUCAUAGUUUACUUCAACUAGAUUUAAUGGACCCGAAGAGGCAGGGAUAUCACUUUCUAGAACUGUUGUGGUUUCAGUUGAUAGAGCGGAGUUGUGGUGUGAUAAUCAUCAAACUUCCCAUCGAAGCUUUCAAUUAUCAACCUUGUGCGUCUAAUGAGAACUCGAUAAGCAACCUUGUUAGUGGAGUAGCCAAGGAAGAUACCUUUAUCAGACUUAGGUGCGAAUUUAUUGAGGUGAUCACUAUUGUUGAUUACGAAGCAUCUACACCUAAAGAUAUGAAAGAAUCGAACAUUUGGCUUGCGGUUGUUAAGACCUUCAUAUGGUGUUUUGGUGAGACGUUUGCACAUAAUGCUUCAAUUUUGUACAAAACAAGCCGUGGCUAUUGCUUCGGCCUAGAAGUAGAGAGGAAGGUUUGUAUAAUUGAGCAUGGAUUUGGCAGCUUCUACUAGAGUGCGGUUCCUUCGUUCUACUACCCCAUUUUGUUGUGGUGUGUAAGGAGCUUAGAAGUUGUGUGAGAUCCCUUUAGAAACCAAGAAACUAUUUAGAAGAUGGUUAGUAAACUCAGUUCCAUUGUCACUUCGGAUACGUUUGACUGGUAACUUGAUCUGAAGUUCGAUUUCCUUGAUGAAGUUGAACAACACCUGCGGUGUUUUUGACUUGAGUCGAAGAAAGAAGACCCAUGUGAAACGAGUGAAGUCAUCCACAAUAACCAGUAUGUAUUUUUUGUGAUGAAGACUGGCAAUGGUAAAUGGACCGCAGAGAUCAAUGUGUAAAAGUUCUAAUGGUUUGGAGAUUGAGGAAUCAAUCACCGUGAGAUGAAUUGCCUUGAACUGCUUUCCACACUCACAUGCAGGACAGAGAGUAUCAUUGCUGAACUUGAGGAUUGGAACACCUCUGACUCAUUCUCCGGUGACCAAGUAGUUGAUGUAUCUGAAGUUAAGAUGAGCGAGCUUGCGGUGCCAUAGCCAGAUGACUUCGGAUACGACUUUGGAAAGAAAGCAUAAUUGCGGUUUACCUAUGAUCAAAGAUACAUCCAGAGGGUACAUGGUACCUUCGGAUCUGGACUUGAUCAGACAAUUGAUCCUAUCACUUGUCAUUACAUAGCAAAACUGGUCAUCAAAUUCAACAAGAUGGCCUGCUUUACAUAGUUGACCAACACUGAUGAGAUUGUGUUUAAGGCCUUCUACAUAAGCAACCUUUUGAAUGGAGAAGUUUCCUAUAGUGAGAACAUCGUAACCUCAGAUUAUCCCAUUAACAUUGUUCCCAAAAGUGACAUUUCCACCAUUACAAAUUGGCCUGAAAUCUCGAAGGUAUUCUAACCUUCCCGUCAUGUGCAAGGAGUAGGUACUAUCGAUUAAACAUUCUUCUUCUUGUUCCUACUUGCACAAGGCCUGAAAAUUACAUGGUUAGUUUAGGCAUCCAAACUACUAUGGAGCCUGGGACAAUAGAUGAGGUUCUGAUUGAUGCAUGAAAAGAGGUUGUAGGGACUGGUUUCAUGUCAACUUUUAAUCCUAGUCCUGGGUGUUUGUGAGUUUUUGGAACGUAGUCCCUUUUUGAAAAGGUACGAGGUUUCUGAAAAGUAUAUGUUUUGACAUGAGAAAACUUUUUCUGACAACUACAUUCACAUUGACCUGCUGAAAUUUAGUCUUUUGUUUUGGCACUUUGUUUGGUCAGCGGUCGGAAGGGUGUGGUUGAUUUGUGACUGGUCCGAGGUUGGUAAGAUUUGACAUGUGAACUGUUGGAUUUAGAAAAAGUUUGUCUCGAAGAAGAUGUUGCACGUGUAGACACCUUGGACCUUUUCUUGGGAUUUGGUAAAAUGCCUUUCCAUUUGUUGAAAUUUUGAUGUGAUUUUAAAAGUUUAGGAGUGGGUAAGAUACCCUUCCAUUUUGGGUCAUCCGAGGAAUAGAUUUGAAAACCAUUGUUUUGAAAAGACCUUUCUUUCUUUUGGGUUUUGUUGGAUGAGUUAGGAAUGGAUGUUGAAACGGCACAUUCCUUUUUGCAUGGCUUCUUGAUGGGAGAGUUUUUUGAAAAAUAUUGAGCAAAAACAAACUUUUCUGGACUCUUAGAUUUUGGAAAUCUGAUAUGUCUUUGGUUUUUAGAAAAAGUUUGUCGAUUUGUGCCUUGAGAAUGAAUAUCCUCUUUGAAAGCCUUUUUUGCUAAAGUUUUUGGAGAUCUACAGUCAUUAGUGUUUAACUGCGGUUUCCUGGAAGCCUUUGAAACAUUUUGACACCGAGGGCUUGACUCAUCAGAAUUUGAAAAUUCAGGAUUUUGAGAGCAUUGACCUACUUCAAAAUUUUCUAAGGGUAGUUCAUGGUGAAUGGCUUGAAGAGUCACAGAACCUUUGAUUGUGGAUUUUAGUAAGGAAAACUUAGCUACCGUAGCGUAAGUCUGGAUUGUGACUGGGAUGGAUUUUUUCUGAGAGUCAUGACUGCAGUGAGAGGCACUGCGGUCUGAGAACAAGGGUGGAAAGUCCUGUGAGACUUUGGGACUUUCUAUGACAAUUUAUUCAUUAACAACAGAUGAGGUCUGAGAAUUUGGAUUGAUUGUGCCACAGAUAAGAGGUAGAUCACAUUUUUGAUCCGAAGCCUCAAAUACAAUAUCCAUUGGACCAACCCCAAUUGUAUGUAUUGUCCACAGUUCCAUUAUUAACUAAAUUUUCAAUAGCUUCACUUUCAUUGAAUAAUUUUUCUAUUCAAAGAUUUAAACGUACAAUCUCACUAUGAGUUAAAUCUCUUUGGUUCAAAGCUAUUUCUAGUUGUGUUUCACUCAACAUUCUUGCAUCUUUUUCUAACUCUAAAUCUCUUUCUAACAUGGCUAUUUUGAGUCUUUUGUUGUCCAGUCGUCCUCUCACAUGGAACAUCUCUAAGGAUGCUAUGUUCUUCUCAUCUAAGGCAUUGUUGUAGUCUGAAAGGACGGUAGCACAUGUGUCAUUAAGAUUAUCUAUGAAAGGUUGACAGUCAUGCAUGUUAUAAUUCAUAGUUCAGAUCAUGAGUUUUACCUGUUCGACGAUGCUUAGAGUUCCAUCCUUUGCCAUGUAGCAGUAGUUCCUUUCCAGCUUUGUAGAUCCAUCGUCAUCAGCAGUUGCUAGCAUGCAGAUCUUGCCUUUUCCUUUGAUGUUGCUGAUGUUUUCUUCUUCGUCUCUGGAUGACCAAACUUGAUGGAAUCUUUUGACAUGAGUCACAUAUGCCCUAGCCUUUUCCUUUUCCUCCAGUUCUUGAGCCAUUCUAAGGUAGAAUGCUCUGUCUUUCACUACGUUGGCUUUGCAAUCCUUUGCAAAAUUAUUUUCUUUGUUGCACUUGUGGCAUAGUACAACAUCACUUUUGUCUUCUGAAGGGGUACCAAAGUCAGGUGUUUGAAUGGACUGCUAUGUCUCCUUUGGUUGAGUGUUUUGAGAUUGCAAUUGUGAUUUUGAACUUUUAGGAUAAUGAGAGUGAUUGUUUUGUGGAUUGAAGCUACGAUUGAAAGAUGGUUUGUUGAAUUGUUGAUUUUAUCGAAAAGAGUGAGGUGGUAGUCGGUUGAACUGUUUACUAACUAGAGCAAUAGCCUUCUGAAAUUCUUCAUCAUCAUCAUACUUUGAGUCAGCUUCAUAUGAUUGCGGUGUAGUGUCAUAUGAGGAAGAGUAAGACUGGUUGUUAGGAGAUUGUGCUACAAGAGCAAGUGGUCCUCCGAAGUCAAGACAGUCUUUGAGUACGGUGGAUUCUUGUGCCUGCAAUUCCCCAUAUAGCUUGUAGAGAGACAGGGAAUGAAUCUUUCUAUCUCCUUGAACUAUCAUCUUAGCAGUAGUCCAAUGUCUUCCUAACCCGUUGAGAAAUUGAAGGUUUGUUUCAUGGUUACUGCGGAUGGUUCCAGCAUUUGAUAGCUUAGUAACUAUCAGCUUGAACCUUUUGAAGGAGUCUUCUAAACUUUCACCAACAUGAGCUUUGAAGUUGUUGAAUUCAUUGAGUGCAGUUGUGAGCUUCUUAUCUUGAGCUUGUUCAGAGCCCUGAUACAAGUUCUUGAGAACAUCCCAGAUCUCUUUUGCUGAUUUACAGUUUAUGAUAAUGUCGAAGUUGUCAGGAGCAACUCCACAAGAGAUUUCAUAAAAAGCAACAACAUAAUUUUCAAUUUUAUCAAGAUCAUCCUUGGUGGGAUGGUUCAAGACUGGUUGUCCUCCUCAUAGUCUGGUUGUGGCACCAUCAGUUUGAACAGGUGUAAAAACAGGGACAUGUGGUCAUUCUUCAACAGAUCGCCAUUCAUCUCUACCAAGUCUCCUUAAGUAUCUUUCCACUCUUUGAGACCAGUGAUGGUAUUCAUUUGCAACCAGUAUUGGAGCUCGAUUUGAACCACCAACACUGUUGGAAACGUUUAGAGAAAAUGCUUGUGCCAUUUUUGUUUUUUUUUUUUAAAUGAGCUUCAGUGGUAUAGAAUGCCCUUUGAAAAAUCAGAGUUCCGUUUUUCAAAAAGCAACCACUAUGGCUCUGAUACCAAUUAUUGAGAGAAAAACUUGAGACACACUUGAACAAACGUUAGAACAAGUAUAGUUGCGGAAUUAGUUAAUCUCAAAGUAUCUAAAAGCUCAACAAUAAUAAGUUAAUAUAUUAGAUAGUUAGAUAGUUAAAUGCAGAAAUGUAAAGAAACAUAAAUGACAGCAGGUGAUAAAUCAAGUAAACACAUAAGUUGAUUCAUAACAUGGAAUGCAUUCAAACCAAGUUAGUAAGUAAGAUCAGUCUUAGUGAUGGAGUCACGAGUGACUUGCUCCGAAGAGAAGUAUUAAUUAGUUGUGUUCGACAGGAUUUUUAGAGAGUAAGAAAGAUAUGAGAUGCCUAAGGAUAACUUGAAGAUAAUUCAGAUUUAGAGAUGAGUGAAGUAAGAUCUGUAUAGAUUGAUAAAGAGUGAGCUCUAUUUAUAGAUACUCAAGAAAUACAAGCGAAUCAUUCUCUAAGAGUAGCCAUGCAAGGCAUACUGGACAAUAGAGAGUAUUACAUAGAUAGAUAAAAAUAGACUAAGUACAAAAAGAAGACUGCGGUAGCUUAGACGACUUCGGAUGUGGCUGCUGAGGAAGCUUGACUGCAGUAGGAAGAAUUAAGAGGGUCACUUCAUGUAUCAACAAUUGUGGUACCCCUCACUCGUAUGAAGAGGAAUGGGUGGAUUUCCGAUGGGGCCUUGAGCAACAGUCGGCGUUUGAGACUCUUCGGUAGAGGUUAUGUGAGGCACCGAUAUUGACCCACCCGGAGGGGGUUGAGGAUUUUGUAGUAUUCUGUGAUGUAUCCAUCAAUGGUUUCGGGGUGGUCCUUAUGUAGAGAGGACGAGUGCUUGUUUAUGCUUCGUGGCAGCUGAAGAUACAAGAGACAUGAUAUCUCUCACAUGACCUGGAUUUAAGGGAAUGGUGUUUUCCCUAAAGAUUUGGAGACAUUUAUAUGUAUGAGGUUCGUUGUACUUUCUACAUGGAUCACAAGAGUUUGAGAUAUCUGAUGGAUCAGCUUAACCUGAACUUGAGGCAACGUAGGUGGUUGGACGUGGUCAUGGAUUAUGACUGCAAGAUCCUUUAUCAUCCAGAUAAAGCGACUGUAGUAGCGGAUGCUUUGAGGCACAAGUCAGAUGGGUCUUCGGAUGGGGAGAUGUGUAUGAGGAUAUUCGUUUAUUCUUUGCUUUUGGGAUUGAUAAGAGAGGAUUAGGUAGAGGGAGUUUAGAAAGAAAACUGAAAAAGGAAAGGAUCAUGGGUGAGAUUGACAUAUUUUUCAUGGAUAGUCGAGGGUUAUUGACCGGUGUAGUUGGGUUUGGGUUACAGUUUCUAGUGGGAUCAGGCAGAUUGUGUUAGAGGAGGCUCAUAAGUCUCGUUUUUUCUAUACACCCAGGAACCACUAAGAUGUAUUGGGAUUUGAGAUUGAGUUAGUGGUGGCCAUGUAUUAAGAAGGAGAUAGCCUGGUAUAUCUAGAGAUGCUUGACUUGCUGGAUGGUCAAGUCUGAGCAUCAGAGACCGCAUGGCAAGCUGCAGCCUCUGGAGGUUCCAAUGUAGAAAUGGAAGCAGAUCAUCAUGGACUUUAUCACCAAGUUGCCAAAGAAGGCAAAGGCUUUUGAUGGUAUAUGGGUCAUCGUGGAUCGAUUGACCAAGAGUGCCCACUUUUUGGCUAUUUAGUAGAGUUCCUUGUCCGAAACAUUGGUCGAUGUUUAUGUCUAGGAGAUAGCUACUCAUCAUGGGGUUCCGGUUUCCGUUGUUUUUCACCGAGAUGUUCGGUUCACCUCCCGUUUCUGGCAGAAGUUCAACGAGGAACUGGGCACGAGGUUACCUUUUAGCACUACAUAUCAUCCGCAGACUGACGACUAGAGUGAGCGGAUUAUAUAGACCCUUGAGGAUAUAUCGCGGGCCUGUGUUAUUUAUUUUGGUUGGAGUUGGGAUUCCUCCCUACCUCUUGCAGAGUUUUCCUAUAACAAUAGUUAUCACUCCAGCAUUGGUGCUCUACCUUUUGAGCUCUUGUAUGGUUAGAGAUGUCGUACCCUGGUUUGUUAGGGAGAGGUUGGUCAUAGGUUUAUGGGAAUGACUGAAGUAGUAAUUCAGACCAUGGAGCUUAUUCAGCUGAUCAGGAAGAGACUGCAGACUGCUUAGAGUCAAAAAAAGAGCUAUGUCGACCAAUGUCGAUCAAAGUUGGAGUUUCAGGUUGGCGAUAUGGUACUCCUGAAGGUCUCACCUUGGAAGUGUGUGAUACGCUUUAGGAAGAGGGGGAAACUAGGUCCCCGAUUCAUUGGACCUUUCUGGGUGAUUGCCAAGGUUGGCCAGGUAGCUUACAUGUUGGAAUUGUUGAGCGAGCUUAGUCAGAUCCACAACACUUUCCAUGUCUCUUAGUUGCGGAAGUGUGUGUUGGAUAAUGAGGCAGUGAUUCCUUUGGAUGAUAUUCAAGUCGAUGAGCGCCUAGGUUAUGUUGAGAGGCCGUGGAUAUUCUAGAAAGGAAGAUGAAGGUUGUGCACAACAAGGAGAUACCUUUGGUAAAGGUACAUUGGCAGCAUCAGAGAGGCUCUGAGUGGACCUGGGAGCCGGAGGCUGAGAUGUGGGAACAUUAUCUUGAGUUAUUUAUCGCAAUAGACUUUGAGGACGAAUUCUAGUUCAAAUGGAGAGAAUUGUAACAUCCCGAUGAUAAGGUACUUCUAAUUUUAAUCUGAUAAUUUAAUUAUGUUGCAUUUUGGUCCCUAAAUUCAAGAAAGUGUGCAAAAGAGCCUUAGUGGCAUUUUCAUAAAUAUGCUUAGGGGAGUACGCUUUACGUACGUGUGUACGCUGAGCGUACUAGGGCGCGCCCUAGUAUGCUGGGCAUAAAUGUUGUACGUUGGGCAUACUUUCUAGAUUUGGAAACCCUAAUUUUUAGGGUUUAGCUCGUGUUUAAACACCCUUAUGCAGUGGCGAGUCUAGAACGUAAAACCAGGUGGCUCACUAUUUAAGUGAAACUGAUAGAAAAAACGUAAAAAAUACUAGUUACGUGUCCGGGUUGGGUCGUAAGACUACCGUGUGUUAAGCGGGAGAAGAAACGACAUGGUGAAACACCUUUUUUUGCCUUGUUUUCCUUUAUUUAUCUUUAACUUGUAUUGAGCUAUUUUUUUAUUGGAUUAUAUUUUAAAUGAAUUAGGUAUUUGAAAUAUAAAGUGUUGGCUUUAAAAAUCUUUAUUUAUACAUAAUUUUUUUUGCCAAGAACAUUAAAAAUUUUAAGGUAGUUCACUUCAAAUAUUUAAGAUAUGUCACAAUUUAUAUAUAUAUAUAUAUAUAUAUAUAUANNNNNNNNNNNNNNNNNNNNNNNNNNNNNNNNNNNNNNNNNNNNAUAUAAACUCUUAUAGGAAAAAUUAAGUGGGUAAAGUGACCCACUUUCAAUACAUACAAACUCGCCCCUGCCCUUAUGGUUUCAUUUCCCCUCACCUCAUCAGCCUUCAUCCCUCUUGAUACGUUUUACAACCCUAGUUCACCAUAAGAAUCUAUUUCAAACCAAAGAGUAUGUGUUUUGUGCUUAGAAGAAGAAGGAAGGAGGCCAAGCUCAUCUUGGAAGGGUGAAACACUUUGGAUAUGGGGUUUCUACGUCAUUUGCUACCUUUUUAAGGUAUAAAGCUUGCAACUUUACCCCUUUAUCAUAUAGAUGUAGAUUUGGAUGUUUUAAUGAUGCUUUUUGGUCCCAACAAUGUUAGAUCUUGAACAUGGCUUGUUCUUGACAAUUAAGUUGUCCUUUCCAAUGCUAGGAGGGGUCUUAAGUCAUAAAAAUGGAGUCCAAAUGGUCGGUUUUGUCCCAUGCAUGUUAUGGAGAGUCUUAAGGCGUUAAGAUGUUGGGUUUUUAUGGAUUAAGCAUUUAUUGAGCAUGCAAGGUCAUAAAGUUGGAAAAUUUAUGACUCCUAAUUACAGUUUGACAUUGGAUUUGCAUUUAGACGUGUUAAUACGUUGUAUUAAGCACUUAAUGGAGAAAAAGGAUAGUAUGGGGUUACGUUGAGCGUACCUGGGCUACGCCCAAAAUACACGGUCAACGAACCUAUUUUUGGACAGCGGCGGAGUACGACUAGCGUACAUCUAGAGUACCCCCUGCGUACGCAUACUGAGUUGACUCGGCAGAGUUGACUCGGUGGGAUUGAAUCAGUUGAUUUAUGGAGUUUGACCUCGACUGUAACAACCCAAAUUUUCAAUAAAAUUUUUCAUUUUAAAAUAAUGAAAUCAUUUCCAUAAGUUAUAAAAUCCCAAUCAUAAUUGUUUUGAAAAUCCAUAAGAUCAGAUGAAUUAUUCAUAAAAUCAAAGUGUCCCCAAACAAAACGCCAAAGAGUGCAUGCCACGCCAUCACGCCGGACCCUUGCCCUUAGAUCCUGAAGUACCUGAAACAACCAACAAACUAUAAGCUAAUGCUUAGUGAGUUCCCCAUAGCUAUCCCACAUAAUCCAUAUAAUCACAAAAGCCAUAUCAGUCACAUAAGCAACAUAAUCCAUGCAUACAAAGAUAUAAGGAUGCCCUGGAAACCCUCCAGGGUCUUACUCUGGGUGCCAUGGGAACCCCCACAUGGUCUUAGCUCAAUGCCUCGGGAGCCCCCUAAGGUCUUGACUAGAGAUACUAUGGAAAAACCCUCCAAGGUCUUAUACCCUAGUGCCUCGAGAACACCCCGAGGUAUUUACUUAGGAUACCAUGGAAACCCUCCAAGGUCUUACACCCAAGUGUUUCGGUAACCCCCCGAGGUCUUCCAUUCAAGUAUCACAAACUAGCCUACCAUAUAGCAUAUAAACAACUAGUAUACCACAUAUCAUUACAUCACUAGUGUACCACAUAUCACAACAUGGGCUGGCCUUGGUGCCUUUGACCCAUUGGUAUGGUGAGGAGACUCACCACUGUCUACUGAACUCGAAAGCUGCUCGCCUAACAAUCUGAAACCACCUGUGUUGAACAAUAAUGCCAUUCACCCAAAAUUAGGAUUAAGUACAAUCUAAUUUAAAGAGCCCAAUUUCCUAAAACCAAGCCCUUCCAUAAUGGCCUAAAAGUCUUUCCUUUGCUAAUGGGCUUAAAGUCCAUGUCCAAAGCUAUUAAUGGGCCACAUGGCCCAAUAAGGCCCAACCAUAGCAACCAUGGCCCAAAAUAGAUAAAUUGGACCACUAACUCAAAACCUGACCAUGCCCAAUAACUGAUUAAGGCCCAAAGCGCUUACAAGCCCAAACCCAUCUGAGUGCGUACGCCUUGCGUAGCACUCCUAUACACUCAGUUUACUUGCUCUUUUUUCCGUAUGUGCUGUGUACAUGCUUCUACGCGCGGCAUACUGGUCUGACAUGCAUAAAUGAGCAUUAAGUUCUUAAUGCUUGGGAUAUAAAAUCAAGCUUCAGAUCUGGGUCCAAUAGACGUUCUAAGGCAUAAAGUUGGAAACUUUAUGCCCUUGCAUGCUCCAUAUACUCCUAACAACCCCUUAUAACCCAUUAAGACCUUUCCAAGGGUCUUAACUCAUGUAGGAGGUCAAAACACCCAUCACAAUUGCAUUUUUAUGGUAUGAAUGAACUAAGGGACCUCAGAUCUACUCUUCCUAAGCUCUGGAGUUGCUCAAACUCCCGUGAGAUGAUCUACGAACACAAAUGGGACAAUAAAGCAAACCCUAGCUCAAUCUAAUGAAUAAGAUGGCAAGAUUAAAACUUUAUACCUCCAUAAGCUCCUCAAAGUGAACUAGAUGCAUGAUCUUGAAGCUCAACACCACACCAAGCUUGCUCACUAACUUCUUCUUCUUGAAUAAACUCUAAAAUGGCCACAAAUACACUCCUUAAGCUCAAGUCUCACAAGGAAACUCUGGUGUAAAAGGGCGAAUUGAAGCUAUGGAGGCCGAUUAGGGUUUGAUCCAAGAGGCUUAAGGAUUUUUAAAUAGGUGUCAAGUCCAAUAAUUAGGGUUUUGCUCCUCUAUCGCGUACGCCCCACAUACCUCUAGGUACGCCCCGCGUACACGGCCACCCUCCACAAUCAUUCAUCUUUAGUACACUAAGCGUACUCCUGGAGUAAGCCCCACGUACUAAGGGGUUAUUAUGUUACAUAAUUUCAAUUCAAGGGUUCAAAUGGUAAUACCUGAUUUGGAGUGUUACAUUGACUUUGACCAAGUUUGACCUUAAGCAUAUUUUAGGAUUUUGAUGGAGAUUGUGUUGGAUUAGGUGUCUAAGCCCAUAACUAUAAUUGGUAUGUACUUGAUCCGAUAGUAGCAUGGUCCAUUUUGGGUUGUAUUCACCAGAACAAUUUGAUAGAAUGGAUAUUUGAGAAAGAGGCUAUUUGUGAUUUAUUUAUAUAUUAUAAGUAUAAUAUAUUAACUGAGAAAUCAUAUUAUUUAAUUAGUAUUGAUCAAGAAUUAAUUUGGAAUUAAUUUAGUUAUAAAAAGAGACUGAUUAAAUUAACGGGGACUGAUUAUGUAAAUCAGUGAUACAUAUGGUUUGGGCUAAUGAUCCAUGAUUGAUUUGUGAGGGACUAAACUUAUGAGACAGUCCAUGAAGUUUUAGUACAAAUCAAUUGUUCGAUCAUAAUCCUAAGUGUAAGAAUUAGGGUUUACAAGGGACUUUUGGAAUUCUACACUAUAUAUGUAACCUCUAAGCCCCUAAAAUUGACACCAAGAGUAUUGUAAUAGGAUAUAGCCAAUUUUUUGGCGCUCCAAGCUCUCUCUCAUUGUCAUCUAAUUGUUGGUGGUGUUUUGUGAAACAUUUGAGGCACCACACUUGAGGUGUUAAGCUCUUGAAAGGACAACUUCUACAAGCUACAACAAGGGGUAAUUAUCUAACUUGUUUUUAUGAUUCCAAUAUCAAAUUUUUAUGCGAGUUAGGCUUCAUGCUUUGGAAAAAGAAUAUUAUAUGUAUAACUAGAGAAAACUUAGAUACAAAGCAUUAGGGUUGUAUGUGCACAAUAGGGAUGUUAUAGUGCUCAAAACUCAUCAGUCGUAUCAGAGCUUAGGCUGUUUUCUGUUAUAUUGAUGCAUGGCUAAUUGUUCAAAGUUGAAGCAAAAAUGAAUACUGUUUUCUGCCAAACUGAACUCGACGAGUCCCAUGAGGAACUCGACGAUUUCAUGAUGAUCUCGACGAGUCCAUUACUUGACUCGACGAGUUGGACAAUCUGUUGGCAGUUUUUCGGGGUUUUUUUUGGCCUGAAUUGGAUUAGGAUCAUUACCACAAACCGUUUUGUAUCAUAAAAUCUGUUUUUUAUAUGGUAGUGAUUAUCCUCAUCCAAUUAAUAGAUAAUUGUCAAAAUUUUAAGAUAAUUGUUAGUUUAUAUGAUAAGCUAAUCAUUUGUAAUUUUUUGAUUUGAAAUUAUCUUGCCUUAUGAGUUAAAUUAGGUCAAUUUGGUAAAUAAUAAAUUAUAUGAUAAUUUUAUUAGUUAAAUUUGAUCUAAAUGUUUCUAGAAGAGUUUCAUAACUUGUCCUUAUGUUAUGGAAUAUGAAAAGUCUCAUUCAUGAAACAUUAACUCCUUAAGUUAUGGAAUUCAAUAGGUUUUGAAGAGUUUCGAAACUUGCCCUCAAGUUUUGUAACUUGAAAAGUCUCAUCUAUAAAACAUUAAAUUCCAAAACCCUAGUAAUUUGAAAAGGUUCAAAAAUGAACCUCUUGGUUUUGUAACUUAAAAUUUAAUUAAGUAGCCUUAAUUGUGAAAUCUUAAAUUUAGAACCUUGAUAUUUUGAAUACUUCAAAUUACACCCUUAUGGUUUUAUUAAAUUAAUUAAGUGGUUAAUUAAAAAAGAGAAUUAAUAAAUCUAUAAUGACAUGGUUUAAGUUUAAUUAAAUUAAAAGUCUAAUUUAUUAAUAGAUUAAACCACUUAGUAUUUUAAAUGUGUAAAAUACAUCCUUAUACUAUAUAAAACUAAAAGUCUAAUAUAUUAUAUAUGUAUAAGUUGAAAGUCAUUCAUACCGUUAGUAGGCCUCAUUCACGAAGCUGAUCUAUAAGGAGUGUUAAGCGGCCUAUAACAUGACCACCAUUGUGUAACACCCCAUUUAUUAAAUAAAUAAACAGAUUAAUUUAAUGGAUGAAUAGUAGCCAUAAAGUCCAUAAUAUUUAUCAGGGUGUUGGUUUCGGGGAGUCGAAUGACAUGAUUUAGAGUUUUGGGGAUUGAAGUGUAAAAUCUGGACUUAAUUUGUAAGUAUUAUUGAAGGCAGGGACUAAGUGGUGAAUUAUUGGGACUCAAAUUGAAGAGAUUUUGGAAGCUUAGGCGUUGAAUGGUAACAUAUAGACUUCAUUUGAGAACAAUUUGUAGAAGAGAGGCUGAUUGGUAAAUUUUGAACUUUAUUUGUAAGGGAUUUAUGGCAAGGGGUUAAAUCGUAUUUUCCAAAACUUGUUUUGUCAUACGAAUCUUAAAUCAGGGUAGAAAUCGCCACAUUAUCAAAUCCUUAGGACCAAUUUUGCCAAUUUCAGAAUUUGGCUUGUCUCAUUCUCCCCAAUCGGAUGCAGCUCCUGCUGGGAAUAUUUCUUACUCAUUUUCGGACCAAUAAUCUCAAUUGCUUCAAAAGAUCCCAACACCCUUCUUCCACUUAUAUAUUCAUACUUUUCAUGGAUUAGGGUUAAGAAUGAGUGAGGGUCGCUUGAGAGGCUGCAUCAUGUAGUUGUGUUUGUGAACUUUGACUCACUCCCUUAACAGUCGAUGACUGCUAUCAUCUCUGGUGGAGUGAGCAAGUGUGAUUUAUUUCAUUCAUAAAAUUAAGGUAUGAGAGACGAAGUGCAUCGCUAGGAAUGGGUGGCAGGGGAUAUGAAGCCCGACGACUUGGGAGGAUGUUUAACGAGAAGUUGACUUCCGACAGCAGGUUUCCGGUGGGUUUUAGAAGCUAUGUUGAGUAUCGUAUUCACUCUAGGCGUUCACACUAAGUUUCUUGAUGAGAUUUUGUUCCAGUCGAAGGGAGGCUCAAGCGAAUAUGUGGAGAGUUAAUGCGAUAACCGGUUGUGACUAGUGAUCUGUUAACAUUCCAAUUUCUAAGCAACUCCAAUGGCGAGGUUUAAGCACCUUUUCAGCUAGAAAGGAGAGUGGGGAGAGAAAACUGAGAAGGCAACUCUAGUAGGUCGGUUCUUGCAUUCAACGAUCGUCGUAUUAGACGGUGCUAGAGGGGUUGUCGUCGGAGAAGCUUAAAUUGUCGGAAUUGAAGAAGGGCGUCGAUUGCCGAAUGAAUAGGUGUCCUUCUCGUAUCUAUGUGAGAGUUCGGGAAUCUGUCAGCCAGCAGCUGGGGUCGAGUAUGUGGGACUUCAGCAAGUGUGUGAUUAUGUCUUCGGGACUUCAACAGUGUGAGGUGAGUUACCUUCCAAUAGCGGUGGGUCUAAGGCCACAAUGUCGGCCCACCAGUAGGAGUUGUAUGUUAGAUGAUUGUCUUUGUGAUAUCAUCUAGGUUUGCUACUACCUGAAAUGUUAUAUGCUGGCAUGAUAUGUUAUAUGUGAUAGUAGUAGAGUUCGGUUGUUAGGACCGAAAGGUAGGUCAAACACCCCAGAUAUGUCUGACAGUAUGUGAUGAUAGGUUUAUAUGCUGGCAUGAUAUGUUAUAUGUGAUAGUGGUAGUAGGAUGAGAAUAGUCCCCAAGUUCGGUUGUUAGGACCGAAGGGUCCCCAGAUAUGUUUGAUAGUAUGUUUAUGUUAUGAUAUAUGUGAUAGUAGCAGUAGGGGGUGGAAUAGUCCCCGAGGGUCGGUUGUUAGGACCGGCGGGUAGGUCAGCACCCUAGAAUUGCUUGACAUGGGUCCCAGAAUGGCUUGACACAGGUAGGUCGGCACCCCAGAACGGUUGUACCGGGUAGGUCAGCACCCCGGAAUGGCCGUACCGGGUAGGUCGGGCACCCCAGAAUUGCCCGGCAGUAUGUAUGCUUUGUGAUUGUAUGGUAUGUGGUAUGAUUGGGGAACUCACUAAGCUUCGUGCUUAUGUUUUUCAGCUUGGGUUUUUAGCUUUGGUUUCAGGUAUUUCGUGUUUAAAGGAAAGGAGUCGGCUUGAUCGCAGCGCAUCAGACUAUGUUUUUUCGCACACGAGAUCUUGGGUAUUACACUCUGAUAUUGUUUUACGAUAACAUGUUUUGAUUAUUCUACUUUGGUUUUGACAUGACAUGAUGUUAUGGAUGUUUUCUUAUACUGUUGGUUUUAUAAUAAUAUAUUUAAAAAUAAAAAUUUUGGCCUGUAAUUUUGGGAUAUUACAAGUUGGUAUCAGAUCUUUGGUUUGAGGGAUUCGGGAACACUCUCAGGUGUGUCUGAACUCAAACUAAGGACUUGGUAUGAAAAUUUUCAAAAGUAAAAUGAUUUUAUAAAAAGAAGUUUGGAAAGAGAAAAUGACUUUGAAAAGAACAAGGUGUGUGAUGCGUGCAAUCAGCCGAGCUCAUGUAAGUUUUCCCCAAGAUACCCAUUCAUGUUAUGAUAUUUUAUGAUAUGAAAUGGUUAUGAGAACUGAAUGCUAGAUUAGGGUUGAGGAUCUUGGAGGAUGCCUUAUAUGCCUAUUGUAUGUGCUUGUAGACUUGCAUGCUAGUACUGAUCAGUCAAUGAUAGGACAGCCUGUUUAGGUUACGCCUGAUUGUAUGAGCCUUUGAAUUGUAUGUACAGAUUCUUGACUAGAGGAUAGAAUGGUUUGACUGGAAUAUGAUGGUUAGAUUUUCCUUUUUGUCCGAAUGUUGCUUGCUCUAUGCUUUGGGGGACUCUGAGUAAUGGGAGUUAGCUAUUAGGUGAAUACGUUAAGUCACAUGUAAUCAGGGUUGAAUAAUCUUAGAGUAUUGGAUUUGACCCUAUUGCGUAGCUCUCGUUUGAGUCUUAACCGUUGUAGGGAUGAGUUCCUUACUUAAAGGAUUAUCCGAGUCUCGUUACAUGUGAUGGUAUUCAGGUGAUGGCUAAUUGGCAUUACGAGGAGGCCUUCAGCAGCUGAGGACUGCUUUGGGGUCGGAGAUUUCCCUAGGGUAAGCCUAGGAUAUGUAUCAGUGGGUUAGUAGUGAGGCUUAGUGAGACUUGGAUGUACCAGUUUGAGGAAGUGACUUGGAGGAUUCAGGAGGAUUGCUGAGGAAAGUAUGGAUAGGUGUGGAAGGCAGUAUUGGGCCCGUACUACUGAAAGCACAGGAUCCAUACUCGAAUCAGUGAGAGUCUUGGAGAAUCUGAGAAGCUUCAAGGAAGAGUUUGUGACCCAGUUUAGGGACAAAGGAUGUUCCAGUUGUUGCAGCUUAGCCAUUGGCAAGUGAGUUGGUGAGCAUGGCAGGGUGUCAGACCCUGGAGGAUAUGAUUUCCAAGAAGCUGCAGAUGCGAGAUCAAUUUGGAGCACCCUGGAAAGAGAGGGUUCUGCCAGGUGCGUAUAGUAGAGGGUCCAAUGAAGAGACCCAUGACUUCUGAUCAUCGGGUGAAAGGCCAGCAGGGCCUGAGUCCGUGCAGCACGUACAUGACAGUGCACAAGGGAGUUUGUCGCUCUGAGGGUUUAGGCUACUACAGGGUAGUAGGGUUGAUCAUGUCAGCAUAAGGUGAUUAGUAUUCCUCCAGAUCUUGCGGGUAUGUCAUCGUCUAUUGCUACUAGAUGGAUGUUAGGGAUACGUAUCGCGUUGGAGUUAUGAGUAAGUUUGGAUAAGAUAGAUCUCGAGACGGUUUCCUGCUAGUGUUUAGGUUAUCAAGGAUCAUAUAUGCCAUCCUGCAUGCCGAAAGGUCCUUGACGAACCCACAGUUGGACGCAUCUUGUAGAGUGGGUUCUGCGUGUACCGUUAUCAUUCCGGACCUUUGUGGAGAAUUAUUUAGAGGAUACUCGGUCAGGGUUAGAGUGAUAGUUCUCCAAUGGAGUCAGCGUUUAGGGUUCUAUCAUUGUUCAAGUGUGGUCGGUAAUUGUCUAUGGAUGAACUUUGGAGUUCAAGGCACUACCGUUGCUAGGACAGAGCUAGUGACAUGAAAAGGGUGGUGUCAGUCGCGGGUGUUAGAUGCACAAGUGGUUGGUCAUCGCAUGUUCAAGAGAAUUGUAUUUUCGCAUUGGAUAUGUUCGGCUAGAGUUCAGUGGUACUGCAAGAUUGGAAGUAGGAACGAGGAUUCGUCAGCCAGAGUGAAGCUUGAGACUUUCAAUUGACAGCAUGGGAGAUGGAUUGAGGUGUCAGAUUGGACCAGAUUUCAAGAGUACUCUUCAAGAUUUCAGAGGAUGAGCGAUCUUAAGGUUUGAUUGGUGAUGGAUCGCUAGCACUGGUAAGUACAGGUUAUCGUCAGUGAAGACUUAGUCGAAUCUAAGUGGGGGAGAGACUUUAUAUAAAGUUCUCCAAAUGUGAGUUCUGGUUGCGCGAGGUGCAAUCUCUUGGGCACCUUGUCAACCAGAAGGGUAUUCUAGUUGAUCCGGCCAAGAUAGAGGCCGUGAUGCAGUGGGAGAUUCCGAGGUCUACAUCCGAGAUUCGGAGUUCCUGGGUCUAGCGGGUUAUUACUGGAGAUUUAUUCGAUACUUCUCCAAGAUUGAGGUUCCCUUUGACCCGACUGACCAAGAAGUCGGUGGCCAUUUGUUGGGGGCCUGAGCAGCAGGCAGCCUUCGAGACUCUCAGACAGCGGCUGUACGAGACACUUAUUCUCACCAUGCCAGAGGUUUUAGAUGAUUUCGUGGGUUAUUGUGACGCUUUGAUCAUGGGUAUGGGUGCGGUACUAAUACAGUGGGGUCACGUGAUAGCAGGUUUCGGGAACCAGGUUAGAGUUCCAGUUAGGAUUCAAGCUUAGUUGUGUGUUAGGUCGAGUGCGUGUUCGACCGGUAUGGAAAGUGUUGUAAGACUACACAGGUAGCCAUAGCAUUCAUUAGCGAUCAGAUNUUCAAGCUUAGUUGUGUGUUAGGUCGAGUGCGUGUUCGACCGGUAUGGAAAGUGUUGUAAGACUACACAGGUAGCCAUAGCAUUCACUAGCGAUCAGAUGGUAUGGAAACUGUUGUAAGACUACAGGGGUAGCCGUAGCAUUCACUAGCGAUCAGAUAUUAUGGAAAGUGUUGUAAGACUACGGGGGUAGCCGUAGCAUUCACUAGCAGUCAGAUAGUAUGGAAGUGUUGUAAGACUACGGGGGUCGCCGUAGCGUUCACUAGUGGUUAGUUAGCAUGGGAAGUGUUGUAAGACUGUGGGUAUAGCCGUAGCAUUCACUAGCGGUCAGAUAGUGAUAGAGUGUUGUGAGACUGUGGGUGUAACCGCAGCAUUCACUAGGUUAGUAGAUAAGUUUGAGCGCGUUGUUAGGACGCAAAAGGAAUAAUAGUACCCACCAAUUCGGGUGUAGCAUUAAGGAUAAGGAAAUCCACGAAUUGGAUUUCGGAAUUACCCAGAUGGAUUAGUUAUGGUUGAGCCAGUGAUAGGACUGUAGGAGCGCCACUACAGUUAUGGGAUCAGGAAAGCAAUGGACUGUAUAAGAUUGUGUGUGAGAUAAGGCUACCGUUGGUCAUGGAGCCAUCACUUUUAGCCUUGGAUUCGGUAACGUUAGGAUUCGACGCAUGGACCCGAUCAGUUGGAUCAGGAGAUUGUUAGAACCACAGUGGCAUGAUAACUAGUGGCAACUAGUUCUAGAGAAGGAUUUCAUUCAGAAGUCGACUAAGUGUGGAGCCCUUUGGCUCCGCAGCCGACCCGGAACCUGGUGUUCAGAUGAUUGGGAACGGAUUGAGACCAGAAGAGGUCUCGUUAGAUUUUGGAAAGCAGCCAUGUGGCAACAUUCUGCUUGAGGCAGUUUCAGCACUUGGGCAGGGUUAGUAUUUGUGUUUUAGGUUGCAAAUACAGACGUAAUAGCCGGUUGAUUAGGAAGUGACAAGUCACUCACAACGGGAUUAUCUGUGCCUUGGUCAAGUAAUAGUGGUCUGCAAGGAUAAUUGGGUCUGUGACCUUGUUUUAUAGUGUGAACCUCGAGCUAUCAGAAGUUGAGUAGUCAGUUGAGGGAUAAACAUGCUAGAUUCAACGAUAUUGAUUCAGUAUAAGUGGCCUAUUAGGGAUUCAGACCAUCCCGAGACAACAAAUUUCAGAUGAAGUAGAUGUGAUCUUGUUGCAAGGAAUUCGUUCAUCUGCGGAUUUUAGAGCUUUGCGAAGAUUGGUCACGGCUACCCUGGGAAGGCUAGGGUGUGCCCAGGAUGCUGACCAUGUUUAUAGGGUGGUUCGGCGUGUAUGGAAUUGUAAGAAAUGAUUUCGAGGACGAAAUCUAAUCUAAGUGGGGGAGAGUUGUAACACCCCGUUUAUUAAAUAAAUAAACAGAUAAAAUUAAUGGAUGAAUGGUAGCCAUAAGGUCCAUAAUAUUUAUCAGGGUGUUGGUUUCGGGGAGUCGAAUGACAUGAUUUAGAGUUUCGUGGAUUGAAGUGUAAAAUUCAGACUUAAUUUGUAAGUAUUAUUGAAGGCAGGGACUAAGUGGUGAAUUAUUGGGACUCAAAUUGAAGAGAUUUUGGAAGCUUAGGCGCUGAAUGGUAGCAUAUAAACUUCAUUUGAGAACAAUUUGUAGAAGAGGGGCUGAUUGGUAAAUUUUGGACUUUAUUUGCAAGGGAUUUCUGGCCAGGGGUUAAAUCGUAUUUUCCAAAAACUGUUUUGUCAUAAUAAUCUUAAAUCAUGGUAGAAAUAACCACCUGAUCAAACCCUCAGGACCAAUUAUGCCAAUUUCAGAAUUUGGCUUGUCUCAUUCUCCCCAAUCGGAUGCAGAUCCUGCUGGGAGUAUUUCUUACUCAUUUUAGGACCAAUAAUCUCAAUUGCUUCAAAAGACCCCAACACCCUUCUUCCACUUAUAUAUUCAUACUUUUCAUGGAUUAGGGUUAAGAAUGAGUGAGUGUCGCUUGAGAGGCUGCAUCAUGUAGUUGUGUUUGUGAACUUUGACUCACUCCCUUAACAGUCGAUGACUGCUAUCAUCUCUGGUGGAGUGAGCAAGUGUGAUUUAUUUCAUUCAUAAAAUUAAGGUAUGAGAGACGAAGUGCAUCGCUAGGAAUGGGUGGCAGGGGAUAUGAAGCCCGACGACUUGGGAGGAUGUUUAACGAGAAGUUGACUUCCGACAGCAGGUUUCCGGUGGGUUUUAGAAGCUAUGUUGAGUAUCGUAUUCACUCUAGGCGUUCACACUAAGUUUCUUGAUGAGAUUUUGUUCCAGUCGAAGGGAGGCUCAAGCGAAUAUGUGGAGAGUUAAUGCGAUAACCGGUUGUGACUAGUGAUCUGUUAACAUUCCAAUUUCUAAGCAACUCCAAUGGCGAGGUUUAAGCACCUUUUCAGCUAGAAAGGAGAGUGGGGAGAGAAAACUGAGAAGGCAACUCUAGUAGGUCGGUUCUUGCAUUCAACGAUCGUCGUAUUAGACGGUGCUAGAGGGGUUGUCGCCGGAGAAGCUUAAAUUGUCGGAAUUGAAGAAGGGCGUCGAUUGCCGAAUGAAUAGGUGUCCUUCUCGUAUCUAUGUGAGAGUUCGGGAAUCUGUCAGCCAGCAGCUGGGGUCGAGUAUGUGGGACUUCAGCAAGUGUGUGAUUAUGUCUUCGGGACUUCAACAGUGUGAGGUGAGUUACCUUCCAAUAGCGGUGGGUCUAAGGCCACAAUGUCGGCCCACCAGUAGGAGUUGUAUGUUAGAUGAUUGUCUUUGUGAUAUCAUCUAGGUUUGCUACUACCUGAAAUGUUAUAUGCUGGCAUGAUAUGUUAUAUGUGAUAGUAGUAGAGUUCGGUUGUUAGGACCGAAAGGUAGGUCAAACACCCCAUAUAUGUCUAACAGUAUGUGAUGAUAUGUUUAUAUGAUGGCAUGAUAUGUUAUAUGUGAUAGUAGUAGAGUUCGGUUGUUAGGACCGAAAGGUAGGUCAAACACCCCAUAUAUGUCUAACAGUAUGUGAUGAUAUGUUUAUAUGAUGGCAUGAUAUGUUAUAUGUGAUAGUGGUAGUAGGAGGGGAAUAGUCCCCAAGUUCGGUUGUUAGGACCGAAGGGUAGGUCAGCACCCCAGAAUGGCUUGACAUGGGUCCCAGAAUGGCUUGACAUGGGUCCCAGAAUGGCUUGACACGGGUAGGUCAGCACCCCAGAACGGUCGUACCGGGUAGGUCGGCACCCCAGAAUGGUCGUACCGGGUAGGUCGGGCACCCCAGAAUUGCCCAGCAGUAUGUAUGCUUUGUGAUUGUAUGGUAUGUGGUAUGAUUGGGGAACUCACUAAGCUUCGUGCUUAUGGUUUUCAGCUUUGGUUUCAGGUACUUCGUGUUUAAAGGAAAGGAGCCAGCUUGAUCGCAGUGCAUCACACUAUGGUUUUCCGCACACGAGAUCUUGGGGAUUACAUUCUGAUAUUGUUUUACGAUAACAUGUUUUGAUUAUUCUACUUUGGUUUUGACAUGACAUGAUGUUAUGGAUGUUUUCUUAUACUGUUGGUUUUAUAAUAAUAUAUUUAAAAAUGAAAUUUUUGGCCUGUAAUUUUGGGAUAUUACACAUUGGGUAUCCACUCUUACCCACCACACCCUUGACUAACGGAGGGUCGUUAGCCGAACGGGUUUGAUAGGACACUUAAAUCCUCAUUAAAAGUAUAAUGAAAUACCAAGUAACUAAAUAUUUUAUAAAUUCCCAAUCUUAGUUACUUUAGGAAAGAUAUGAAUUUAAUGCUAACCUAUGAAAUUGCACAUUGCACCUUAUUGGUCGUUAGUGGAGCGUGUGCGAUAAAUCAGCACACUAAUAUGGGACUAUUGAAAGAUGGAAAUGGGUAGCUCAUGAAUUAUCAUCGAUCAAUGAAGCGUGUGUGGUUAACCGACACAUUGAUUAGGUGAUUAAUGACAUUGAGAGUGCCAAGCUGAUUUGCAUGGUUAUUCACACCUUGUUUGUGAUCCUCGGUAUCCCAGUCACAAACUUGAAGGCCAUAAUCGAAAUUAAACAUGCCAUUGAAAAAUUCAAUGAAUCUCAAAAGAUCUAGGAGUUUCAUUUAAAAACCUAAUUCAUUUAAAAAAUUUCGUUUUCGUGGUGGAAUUGGUAAAUCGUCAUUUACCUACCGAUAAAUAGUUUGCAAUUGGAUUACGACAUCCCUCUUCCGAAUUAUAAAUUAUUGUGUCGGGUCGUAGACUUAAUAUUUCAUUUGGGUUUUAUAUUAAGGAUUGAAUCAACUAUCUUGAAUUCCACCCCCCCCCCCCCUUUANCCCCCCCUCUUGUAGAUGUCUAGUUUUCACAACUAUGGUCUACCUUAUCCUUUUGGAAAAAACUUUCCACAUGAAGAUAUCGUUCCACGUUUCGAUCGAGGAACUAGAAAUCAUUCUUCACUUCCUCCACCUCCUCAAAUAAUUCUCCCCGACCCACAUGUUCGUCGACUUGAAAAGUUCAUGGUCACUCAAGCCCUAUUGGUCAGUAAACACGAAGAUGGAAAGUCUUUCUGUGCUCACGUCUUGGAGAUGAAGUUGCAUAUUGAUAGUCUGCUGGGAAUGUUGGGUGUCGCUUUUUCGAGGAAGUUGGCUGUUGACUUGGCUCUUCAGCCACUUCCCAAGUUGUAUGGUCAAUUUUUUAGAGACUACUAUAUGACAGAUCACGAUGGGACCCUUAUUGAUCUUACAUAUUUGCUAAUUGCUACUGAAUAUCAACAAUGAUUUGGCGCACUAGUCAAGCGAAUUUGAUUAGAAGAUCUACAUCCCAAAUUGCCAUGGACAUACUCAAUGACAUAGACAUCCCAAAAAUGAUUCCUUCUCCUAAGCGAAAGGAAUUAGAUAUGGUCAAAAGAAUUUACCAUAAGAGAAAAGCCAGUUCUGAGAUAGUUUCAUAUGCGAAUGCAAAAGAGUCCACUUGUUUCUACUGCCAUUUAAAGGGACAUUGGAAGCGAAGCUUCCCUGACUACCUGAGAGAAGAGAGGGUAAAAUCAAGUUGUAUGGUUCUACUCCAGGUAAUUCUACUAUCUAACUAUAUUAAGUUCCUAUUUAUAGAUUCUUAAUACAUGAUGUGAUAAGAUUGCAUUUUGAUGUUCUGUAGGAUCGAAGAAAAGAAAGGAAGCUUAAAGGAAAAGUGAGUUGAGUCUGGUCGCGAAGAGAUGGAUUUCGAUCGCAUGGUUCGAUGAUUAGAUUUUUGAGCUGCUAUUUAGAAGUUAUGAUAGAUUGCUUAAGAAUAUUUAGAAACAUAGUUUUCAUACGUAUUUGCUUUGUAAGGACAAGUUUUCCGCAUUUUUUAUAAAUAAAGAAAAAUCUUGAUUUUGUCUUAUUUUAUAUUAUCCUUGCAAUGACAUUGGUGAAAAUUGGUGUUCAUAUAUUAAUAGCAAAGAUGGAAAUGUUUGAUUCUUAGACAUAUCAAGUGUGGUAGUGUCGUGAUUUUCUAAGUAAGGAAAGAUUCUCAUCGCCCAAGCUUCAAUUGGAAAGAAACUUGGAAUAAUAUGAUUUGAAUCAUGUGAUGCAUGAAAAUCUUGGUACUUGGGAAAUUGAAACUGAUUCCUUGUUUACAUAUGUAUGUAAGUCAAGUGAAAGAUGAAAGGAUCUAGCACACAUUGAUGUGCACUGGUCAGAUCCACCACAAAGUACGAUAAAGUCUAUUCGUCAUGAUUUACGGGAAGUCCAGUGAAUAUGGUUAUGCUUACAAGAUUAAGUGUAAUUCUGAAUCAUUAAAAUUUUUUCAAUGUAUAGCAUAACAAAUAAGAAGAAUCAAAUAAGGCAGAAAGAGAAAUGUUUCUCCAAUCUGAAAGGAAAGGAGAGUACUUUAGUAUCGCUUUUUUUAUCAUCCUAAUGAUUAUGGAACCAUGUGACAAUUGAUCCUCAAAGUACACCUUAGUGAAUUUGCAUGACUAAGAAGAGGUAUCGUAAAUUGUUGAAAUGGUUAAAUGAAAAAAAUGUGAGUCAUACUUCGUUCCAAAAUCGAGUCUUAGAAUCACACUCCAAGAUUGUGACUUGACUGGCGUAUCUUAAGUAGGUUUAUAACACAUCGUGAAAUGUGGAGUAGAAAUGUUUUCUAAUCUUUCAUAUUUCAAAUUGAUAGUUGUGAUGUUUGGCUAAAACAAAGACCAAUCAUAUGACGUGUCAUUCUUGAUAAGAAUCCAUACUAACUCUUGAAUAAUUGUUUAUCAAGAAAUGCUUCUUGAGAAGAGAAUCUUUUAUGUCAAGUAUAUAUAUAUAUAUAUAUAUAUAUAUAUAUAUAUAUAUAUAUAUAUUUAUCAACCAUUAUAUCCGUCAUCACAAUCCUUCAUGAAAUGGUGCCUAUUUUUUCAACUAAAACAACAUUUCAUGUUGUAUGAUGGAUUGUAGAUUACAACUCAAAAUCUUGUCUUAACCCAAACAUGCGUAAUACAAAGUUUUACCUUAUCUUUGAUUUUUCUUUCAUACACCAAAUUUUACUUUGCUUUGUUGUCAUAUAAUGCUUACACAUAUCAUUUUUACCAUCCAAACUAAUUCCCUACACAUGUGUUUAUAAGAGAAAACAUCAUUCUUACCAAAAUCUUUUUGACUGGUGAUCAUUAUUCUUUUCUUCAGAGCCUUAAGCAUUUAAGUCAUUAUCGUAUAAUACCUAAUAGGAUGUAGCAUCCUAAAAAUACAGGCCAAAAAUUUCAUUUUUAAAUACGCCAUUAUAAAACCAACAGUGUAAUAAAACAUCUGUAAUAUCAUGUCAUGUCAAAACCAAGUAGAAAUAAUCAAACAUGUUAUCAUAAAACAACAUCAGAGUGUAAUCCCAAAGAUCUCGUGUGCGGAAAACCAUAGUGUGAUGCGCUGCGAUCAAGCCGACUCCUUUCCUUUAAACACGGAGUACCUGAAACCAAAACUGAAAACCGUAAGCACGAAGCUUAGUGAGUUCCCCCAUCAUACCACAUACCAUAUAAUCACAUAACAUACAUAUAUUGUUAAGCAUAUCUUGGUGCCCGACCUACCCCUUCGGUCCUCUCGACCGAAUACUGGCUAGCAUAUAUGGGUGUUGGCCUCCCAAUCGGUCCUCUCGACCGGAUACUGACUAGCAUAUCUGGGUGCUAGCCUCCCCUUCGGUCCUCUCAACCGGAUACUAACUAGCAUAUCUGGGUGCUGGUCUCCCCUUCGGUCCUCUCGACCGGAUACUGACUAGCAUAUCUGGGUGCUAGCCUCCCCUUCGGUCCUCUCAACCGGAUACUAACUAGCAUAUCUGGGUGCUGGUCUCCCCUUCGGUCCUCUCGACCGGAUACUGGGGACUAUUUCACCCCUAUUACUACCACAUAACACAUAUCACAUAAUCUAUCUAGCAUGGCUGGGCAUGACUACCCCUUCGGCCCUAUCGAUCAGUAAUCUGGGGACUAUCUCCCCUACUGUCACUAACACAUAGCAUCAUAUCAUAAUAGCACAUAAACAUAUUAGGUAGUAGCAAACCUAGAUGAAUAUCACAGAGACAAUCAUCUAAUCAUACAACUCCUACUGGUAAGCCGACAUUGNCCGUAGACCCACCGCUACUGGAAGGUAACUCACCUCACACUGCUGAAGUCCCGAAGACACAAUCCCACACUUGCUGAAGUCCCGCAGACUCGACCCCAGCUGCUUGCUGACAGAUUCCCGAACUGUCAACACCAAAAUAACACCCAAUUAAUAAUUGGGUCCCAAUACGUAACCAUACAUACAUUCUUUGGGUAAAUACAUUACCCCUAGCUUGGCUUAUUCAAGCCUAAGGCCCAAUCCGUAAGCCCAAAGUCAAUUAGGAAUCAAAGCCCAACACAUGGCCCAGUUUUCCAAAUUGGGCCUGGGCCUAGGCCUAUACAUGGUCUCAUUCUAAGGCCCAACAUCAUAUAAUCAUUAAGGCCCAAACUAUGGCUUAUCUAUGGCCCAAUUUUCCAAAUUGGGCCAAACCCCUUACAUGGGCCUUACCCUAGGUCCAUUAAAUUACUCUAGACUAUUUGCUUGAUCUUGGAUAGCCCAUUUAAUAACCCAAUCAUCAAGGCCCAAUAGAAAGACGCAACAAUAAACCCAAGUGAAAUUAGGGUUUCACAUAAAAUGAUGAUUAGGGUUAAGUUUCCUACUUAACCCAUUAAGGACUUAAUUCAUUAAGUCCAAUAUUGCUUAGAUUAAUUCCUGCCAAUGAUUAUUAUUUAAUAUAUCAAGUUAUUAAAUAAUUCUCGUGUGUGUGACCCGAUUAAUUCUUAAAGUUAGGUUUUCACUGGCAUUAGGGUUUUCCAGUCCAAAUAUUAGCCCAUUUAUCAAUUUGUUGGCCUUUUAUGUCAAUUAGGGCUUUCUUGGGCCUAUUAAGCCCACUAAAAUCUUAAUAAGCCCAUUAGGGUUUUAUUGGGUCCAUUAGAGUCCAUUAAGCUUCAUUGGGCCCAUUAGAGCUCCUUUAAGCCCAUUAGAGUUUCACUAAGCCCAUUAGGCUUCAUUAGGCCCAUUAGGGUUUCUAGCACCCCAAACGAAUCAAUCACAAGAUUAGCACACCGCCACCUGACACGNGGCGGCAGCCACCACCCUAAGGUGGUGGUUUUCAAGUUCCUUUCAUUAUUCCAUUUUUUGUUACAAUUACAAUGAAAAUACCAAAGUAACACACCCACUAACUAAGCUAAACAUACACACACAUAACCACCUUGGUUGCCGGCGGUGGUGAGUGGUGGCUGUGGUGGCUUUUCUUGUAAAUUCCAACUAAGCAAAACACACAAACACACCUGCUGCUAACAAAACUACAACCACACCCACCCAUGCUUCGUUUUUCAAGCAUCCAGCCACCCCUUCCGGUGGCGCACGACGGCGAUAUCAAUAUCUUGCCAUAACAGCCACCACCUCAUGGUGGUGGCGGAGGAGUUUUCUUCCAAUCUUCAACCAUGAAACGAUCCUCUAGACCUCACUAGCGAAACACACACAUACAAAAAUUGGAUCCCACUCACAGCUGCCCAUACACGGCGGUAUGCGGCGCUUGGACGACAUGGAGGCAUCGGAACAACGGCUGGAGUGGCAGUGGCGGCGUAGCAGCAACACAGAAUGGAGCGGAGAGGAGAGGAGAUCCGUCGCUGGGAGCAGUGGAGGAAGAACCAAAUGACGGCGACAGUGGCCUCCGGCUUUGUCAUCUGCGGCGACGGUUGAGAAAACGACAUCAGCCCUGAUGUCGAGCUUCGAUCCCUUCGUCGAAGUCGUAAUGGCAGUCGCUCUUGGCUCACUGGAGUGUUACGGAGGCGACGUCGGAGGUGAGUGAAGGAGGGGUGACGGCUGGAGGGAGGGGGGGUGAUGGGUGCACAUAAGGGGGGGGGGUUAGGGUUUGCUAACCGGUGAAGCAAGGUUUUAUACUUGAGGCUAGUAAACAUUAUGCCAUAACGACAUAAACAGUCCCUCCUUCCCAAUCUCUUUUCAAACUCGGUCCUUAUUUUACCAUUUCAACCCCAAUCCUGGAAAUCCCUUACAAGUGAAGUCCCAUACUUUACUAAUCAGCCCCUCCUUCCAUAAAUCUUUCCAUAAUAAAUCCCAAAACUUACCGACUAGUCCCUGCCCUUAGAAAACUUUACAAAUUGAAUCUGGAAUUUACCAUUUCGCCCUUGUUUCCCAAAAUCUAUUCAAAUUAAAUCCCGAUAAUGGUAUUUUAGCCCCUUAAACUUUCAAUUAUGAUUUUUUAACCCCCGAAACUAACUUCUUGCCACACUAUUCCGCUUUUAGGGAUAUUAUGUAUUUAUUACUUUACUUAUUUAUUAAAUAAAUAAAUAGGGUAUUACAUAGGAUGUCAUCAUACAACAUUCUAAUUAUCACAAUAAAUGACUACUUUAAUCUAAUCACAUAAUCUUACACUAACAUCACACAAACAUCCUGCUAUAAAAAGGACAUAUAUUUUCACACACAACAUAAUGAGAAAACUCACUUGAAGCUAGAAAUCUAAGUCUCACACACAAGAAUCCUCAAAUGAUUCAACUAGCACGAACCACUAAAAUUUACCAAUCAGGGGUCAAACCUUAGCCCGAAAAUUCAUGUUCCUGAAUGUUUGACCAAAAUUCAAAUUUGUCAAAUGUCAACGGUCAACAUAAAACACAUUGCAACCAACAUUUGGUCACAUCAUGACCAUUAUAAUCCAAAAUAGUGUUGAACCAUACCACGCUUCGCACUGCAACUAAGGGUUGGGCGUGUGUCACUUCUUGGGCAGAACACCCACGUCUAUGAAGUGCUUAAUCCAUUAAGCCAGGGGCUAUAACUAUACAAACACUAUCUUGGAAAGUGUAUAAUGGAGAAAAAUCCAAAGUUUAUCAACAUGCAAACCCCUACCAUCCCAAACACUAACCCUGGGUCAAAACAAGGUCAAAAAAGGCUAAGACUUUUUUCCAUGGUUCAAUGAAAGCUUAGCAUGCACUCUUUUUCAUCUUAUUGAGUCCAAAAAGCCAUCUAAGACAACCCACAAACCUAGAGUUUUCCAAACUCCAAGGACCACAUAGCAAAAAGGACCAAACAUACUUAAACACUAGAUCUAGAUGCCAAAAAAACAUAAAGAUGCAAACUUUAACACUUACAGAGAAAAAAUAGAUGACAAUAAGUUUGAUACUCUUCGAAUCUAAACUCCUUUGCACCAAAGCCGCCUUCCUUCUUCUUAGAACUUCACUCAAAUUGCACUAAAUCUCAUUAAUCCAUGAAGGAAGCUAGGUUUCCUACUCUAGUGUUUAUGGAGGAUGGAGACUGAGAAGAAAGAAAACCCUAGGAGUUUGUGCCUUUAAAUAUGGUUCAAAACUCGAGACCUAAGAUUUUUGGUUGUGGAUGCUACACAAUGUGAACCGUUAUAGAACACAUCAAUCGUCAUGACUUAUCGAGUUGGCAAGUGUUGCGACCAUCAUUUGGCUGCGUCACAAAGUUAAUUCCUUCCUAAACCAUCAUUCUUAUUUCCUUUAAAUCAAUAAAUAAACACACACAAAAAAUAAGUGUUAUAGAGUGAUUCCCUUGAGUUAUCAGGAAGUAGUUCCCUAAACUCUAAAGAAUGGAGGGAGUGAUUCCCUUGAGUUAGAGGAAGUUAUUUUGUAAACUCUAAAACUUUGGAGGGGGUGAUUAUAAUGAGUUAUAAGGAAGAUAUUUCCUAAACUCUUAAGCUAUAUUCUUAGCGAUGGAAUUUUCUACAACCUUCCAUGAGUAUAAUGGUAAUAGUCACAUGAUUAUCUACAUGUUCCAGUAGAUUAGUUUCUCUUACAUGAACUUUGUUGUCCUAAUUGACUUACUUAUUUUGUUAAUGGCAACAUGUUAUCCGUGGGUAGCUUCAACUUAGGAGAAGCCAUAGAUCAUUUAGACCCUAGAGUGUGAGGGGGCUUAUUUAAGAGUAGAGAACUCUGGUUAGGGUUUAGGGGUAUAUGCAUUUUCAUAGUAUAAAAUUUUAUGGUCGUUUACUUAUAUUUCUUGAAAAUCUUUUAUAAAAUGUUUUGAGAAUUAAGACAUAGGAAUUGGGUCAUUUCAUUACCUAAUUUCAUUCAAAGAUCUGAUUCUGAUAUUGCUCACUGGGCUCCCUAAACCUUAACUAUUUUGAUAUGUACUUGAAAAUAAGGAUGAUAUAUUUGAAUGUUUAGAAGGCCAUAACUUGUUAUAAUUCAUUAAAAUUUUGUAAUGAUAUUUGAUUGAUCAACCUCAUAUUUGAAAUUAUGAUUUUUCAAACAUUAAUCGUUAAAUUGAGCUUUUAGGAUCAAAUUCUGACACGUUGGUUUCACAAAUAUAUUAAAGUUUUAAAAGAACAAAUUAAAUCUUUUAUACCAUACGAGGCGUAUUUAAAAUGCACACUAGGCCAAACGUCUCACAUGUUGGUAUUGUAGAUUUUGAAUUGCCAAACAUCUCACAUGUUGUUGGUAUUGCAAAUUUUGAAUUGCCAAACAUCUCACAUGUUGUUGGUAUAUACAAGGGCAAGAAAGAAGUUGAUGUUACUAGUUAUUUACAUGAUAAUCUGGCUAGAUAUGCGAUGGACAUACGAAGUACAUGAGCUAUGGUAUCUAUUUGUGUGAUAAUUUGGUUAUUUGUGUGUUUGUAAAACAAAAAUAUGUGGCAGUCUCUUCAUGUGGGGCUGAUUUUAUGGCUGCCACAACGACUUGUUAAGCAAUGUGGAUUCAUCGUCUUCUCAGUGAAAUAACAUGUAAAUGUGGAUUCAUCGUCUUCUCAGUGAAAUAACAUGUAAAUGUGGAUUCAUCAUCUUCUCAGUGAAAUAACAUGUAAAUGUAGUGGACAUGUUAGCAUUUAUUUCGACAAGUAAAGUAUAAAUCUUGUAAAACACACGGUGUUCGAGGAUAAGAGUAACCAUACGAUAGAAGAUUUCACUCCAUUGGCACAUAUGAAGUUCAUGAAAGUGUAAGAGUUGUUGGCCAUGAAGAAUAUAUCAAAUUCUAAAUUAGGGGGAGGGGGGGGGGUAUUGUAAUAAUUCACAAAUAUGGAAAGUUUCCUUAUUUUGUUUUUAGUCUUUAUUCUUUCCUCAGUGUUUGUAUUAGAUUAGAUAUCAAUUCCUUUACUAUACCAGAGUAAAUCUUUGAUGUUUCUCAUUAAGUCUUUCAUUUUUCAUGAGUAAAAACUUAGAGAACAAGUUUAAUAUUUAUGAAGGUUCUAAAUAACGUUAAGUGAGGACUUGACGACAAUGUCAAGCCUUAAGUUUUUACAAGAAAUGACGAGCCACGUCAUUUAUAAGGCAUGACUUAAGAUGACAAAUUUAUAUAUAAUUCAUAAUUCCAUUUGUAUUUUCUAGUUUUAUUCAUUUUUAUAUAAAUAUAUGACUUAAGGUGACAUUUUAUUAAAAUUUGACGAUAAGUACAAGCCUUGGAGUCAUGACAAGCUCAGGGCCGGUCCAGACGGUGGGCAACCCGGGCGACCGUCCAGGGCCCACGUCUCCAGGGGACCAAAUUAUUUUUAGGGUCUAAAGUUGGUUCAAACUCAAACUAGCUCAAAAAAUAAACAAUUUGACUUGCUUGUUAUUGCUAAUUAUACGCGUUUAUAGGGAAUAAUAAAUGAUAUUUUUUUAAUCUUUAUGAUAUUUGUCUUUAAGGGUCCUUUCUUUCUUUUCGCCCGAGGCCCCAUAUACGUUUGGAGCGGCUUGGACAAACUUUUUAAAACCUUAUAUUUACCGGUGUUCCUCUGUUAUAUUUCUCGUGUUAACUCCACCAUUCUUUUGUUCUUUUGUUCCUCUAUUACAAGUUUUUCUUAUGUCCAAAGGCAUAAGCAGAUGAAUACAAUAGGUUUGUUUGUUUUAGUUCUUUUGUUAAAAUUUUCUAUUUUGUCUGUUUUUUUUUAUUUUAUUUAUAAUAAAAAAAAUCAAGGCUGAAGGUCAUUAAUUGGCUUUCUUACAACUCGCGGUUUGUUGAUGAAAAGACGUUUUGUUUAGUAAAGUUAUAGCAUAAGAUGAGCAAGCAAUUCUUCCGUAAAUUAGAAGUUACCCAAGAUCACCAAGUUAAUAAUUUCAGUCACGAAAAUGAACCUUUCAUGCAAGUCACGCGUUUCAGACAGUGCCACCUUGCUUUCGUCCUUAUAUAUGGAUCUGAAUUUUUGCAAUUAAAUUUAAAAUAUGAUGCAAAAUCAUUGUAUACAUAAUACAUAUAUCAUAAAUGUACAUGAAUAUUUUCUUAUUAGAAACUAAUGCAGCUAACUAUGAGUAAAAGGAUAAAUCCUAUCAAUGGCGGCUAUGUUACAAACCAUCCCGGCCAAUUCACACCCAGUGGUUAUCUCCUGACCUAAAAUAUGAUCACUGAAGCAACAACUAGUCCAAGGCUGGUCACAACCCAUAACACAUUGAUCUACCUCUUAAUUAACAAAAUCGUUUAACGGAUGUAAUUAGUUAACCAGCUGGAUAUGGAGAAAAUUGUCCACAUACGUGUAAGAUUUUAAUGUAAUUCAUCGAACAAAAUUGAUGCCGUUAAAAGAUCUGAUAUGAAGUGCUUAAAAACCACAAUAAAUGAACAAUUUGAGAACACAAAUUACAUUGGCUAUAUAUGCAAAUCGGUCCAUACAUUAAUUAGACUUGUUUGCAUGAUUAAUUAAAUACUUAAAAUUAAAAAAUAUGUCAUAAGUUACUCGCUAAUUUUCAUAAGCGGCCAUAACGGUGUACCGUAUAUGAUUCGAAUCUUUGUUAUAUACAGAGACUAUUCAUUUGCGAGAUAUAGAUUUGUUUAUUGAUAAAACGAAAAGAGAUAAAUAGAUGUAUUAAUCAUAAUAUUAGAACCAUAAAAUAUUGGAAUCGCAAUAGAGACGUAGAACAAGUAAACCACAAGUAACAACUCCCCAUAACCCUGCACCUAACAACCAUACCUUAAACUUAAACGGCCAAAAAGACAAACGGAUGACAUCGUACUAGAAAAGUAGAGUAAAAACUGACAUGCAAUAAUAUGUGGUACGUACGUCCACUCCAAAAUAACGGUAAAAUCUAAAACAAUUAAGGAACUAUGAUACCGCCUCCGAUUCCACCACCUUUAACUAAGCCAACACCGCCGCCAAGACCACCAAGCCCAGCACCACCGACGCCACCUGCACCACCACCAAUACCACUUGCACCGCCAAGACCGCCAAGUCCACUUGCACCACCAAGUCCACCGGUACCGCCGAGCCCACCAACACCACCAAGUGUUGGAAUUACACCUCCACCUACACCAGCAAAGCCACCAACACCACCGAAUGCGAUGAAGUUCUUCUCGUCUUUAACACCAGCUCCUCCACUUGGUACAGUGGCAGUAGCGACAUCAACGGUGGUGGGAGUCUUGUCACUCAGGGUGGUCGUGGGCAUGUCUCUUGCAUUGCUUUGCACAAAAAGUACAAGUGCACAGACUGCUACGAAGUACAACUUCACCAUCUCUAUCUCUCUCUCACACACACACUCUCUAUCUCUCUCUCAGACACACACACUCACUAACACAGAAAAACCGAGGGGAUGUUUGAGGUGAUGGAAGGUGGUGGUGGAGGUGGCUAUUUAUGGAGAAAAGAAACGGUGGUGGACAGUUGUAAUGGCUGAAAGAGUAAAUUAACGAGGUGCAUGGAAUUAAUGUACUUUGUUUUGGUUGUGUGAGGAAUUAAAUAGUGUUGCAUGGAAUCAGAGUUAGGUGGCGGGAGAAGUGUAUGAAAAGAAGAGAAAAUUUAAGAUGGUGAGAGUCAUAAGUCAACACCUUGUUCUUUACGAUAGCACCAGGGUGAGUUCAUUGGGUAGUUUGAUAUGUCUUUUUCAUAUAAUCUUAAGAAAAUUCGAGUUCGAUUUGAAAUUUCAAAAUUUCUUAUUAAGAUUAGGGUUGACCACACAUUUUUUUUUAAGGGAAAACAAAUUAUAAGACGAACGAAGUUUCAAAAUCAUUAAAAAAACACCAAUUAUGUUUUGUCUAUUCAAGAAAACCCAACGAACUUAACAUUUUGUCUAAAAAACCCAACUAACUUAUAUUUCUUAUUUAGGGUCAACCGGCUAAUGAAAGUCAACGAAUGACAUGACUUAUGACGUGUAAUUAAAUAUCGGAAAAUGGCUUGUAAGACCAACGUAGUUUCAAAACCGUUCAAAAACCCCCAAUCAUGUUGAAUGAUUGGGGGUUUUUGAACGGUUUUGAAACUACGUUGGUCUUACAAGCCAUUUUCCGAUAUUUAAUUACACGUCAUAAGUCAUGUCAUUCGUUGACUUUAAUUAGCAUGUUGACCCUAAAUGGGAAGUGAACGAGAGUGUAAGUUGAGUUUUUUUAUACAAAAUGUUAGUUUGUUGGGUUUUCUUGAACAGACAAAACAUAAUUGAUUUUUUGAAUGGUUUGAAAACUUCGAUAAGCUUUUAAGUCAUUUUCCCUUUUUUUUUUAUCAAUCAGACACCUUGAUUAUUAUUUUUUCAUGAAAAUCAACAUUAAUAGAUAGAUAACCGAGAAACCGACACUACAAGAAAAAUAACCAUUACCGGCGACAUCAAAAGCAGCGACAUGGUCCUUUAGCGGCGACAUAUCAAUUUGUCACCGCUAAAGGUCAAUGACACGGAUCUGCGUUUUCAUAUUUUGUUAAACUACGUUUGUUGGAUCGUGUUUCUAAUCCAAUGGUUGGGGUACUCGUGGAACGCACAAAACCAAUACCGGCGAGACAGGUGCCCGCUAAAAACCUAAUCAUGUCGCCGCUAAAUAUGGAAUAAAUGCCGCGUUAAAUAUAAAAAAAUGGCGCAACAAUAAUUCUCUCCUAAGUGUCGACUCUAUUGAUAACUGUCGCCACUAAAGCCCAUUGCGAUGCCGACAAAGGUAUCGCCGGUAAAGGUUGACGUAGUUAACAAAAAAAAAAUCGACCCCUUUUCCUUUUUUGCUUCUAUUUACUUGCAUCCGCCUCUGCGUAUUGUUCUUUCCCUCUUCUUUGUCGAUUCGAAAACAUUCAGACACCAUCAUUAGGGCUGUAAACGAAUUGAAUGUUUGGCGAACAGUUCGUGAACCGUUCGGCGGGAAGUUCGUUUAGAUAAUAAACGAACGAACAUGAACAAGAUAGCUGACUCGUUUAGUUAAACGAACGAACACGAACAAUGCUCUUGUUCGUUCGUUUACGUUUGUUUACAUUCAUUUAUGUUUGUUUAUGUUCGUUCGUUUAUAUUCGUUUGUUUAUUUAUGAUUAUUCGAUUAUAUAUAUAUAUAUAUAUAUAUAUAUAUAUAUAUAUAUAUAUAUAUAUAUAUAUAUAUAUAUAUAUGUAUAUAUAAUCAAAAUAUUGAUUAUGUAGAUUUGUUUAUGCGCAAUAAUUAGUGAUUAGGUUUAAAAAAGAUAAAUGGAUUUUUUUUUGUAAAAGUGCCUAAGUUAAGGGACCAUCGGUUACAAGUUUUUAAAAGUAACGUGGCCAAUUUUCAUUAAAUGAAUCAGGUCAAAAUAUUCAUUACGUUCUUUUUGUCGUCGUCCAAUUAGUCAGGGUUUGCUUCCUUACACGCCAUCUCCACCACAUACGAGACAAUUGAAUUUGUGUUCAAGCCGUCUCCACCUCAAACGAUAGAACUUCAUCACAAGACCAUCAGACUUCAGGUCACGCCGCUUCUGGACUUCUUAUCAAGCUUGAGCAUCGAUCAUAGACCACCGUAUCAUACUCUGUUUUCGACUCCAGCAUAGACACACAAGAGGUUUCAUCAGCAGGUAAACAUCUACCGAAGCUUUUUAAGCUCUAUAAUUAUGUUGGUUAUUUUCUUAACACUUUCUUGAUAAGAUUUGAUUAUUAUUGCAUGGUAGAUGUCCGAUGUUUCUUGUAAUCGACCGCCUCUUUUUGAUUAUGAUCAAUAUUUAGACUCACACUCACCAUUUGAAUCGACAUAAUUUGAAUCAAGUACAACCACUCCAGUGAUGGAAGACAUUUCAUUGCCCUGAUGUUAUUGUUAUUACAGCUGAUGAUGGAGAUGUCAAUAUAGCUACAACAAUGGAUGACCUUGGUGGUGGUACAGAACAAGCAAAUGUAGCUAACAAUGAAGAACAAAUUCCAUUUACUAAAAGAAAACGAAAAAAGACUUCAGAAGUUUAGGAACAUUUUCGUGAUAUUAAGUUGGAGGACAGAACUAAAAUGUGUGAAUGUAUCCACUGUAAAGAAAAAAUAAAGAAACUUAAAGAAGAAACAACCACACCAUUGCUUAGGCAUGUUUCAAAAGAUUGCCCGAUUUUAAAACAAAAACGAAAAGUACAAGGUCAAUUAAAUUUAAUGAUGUUUCCAGGAAAGUUGGAUGCUUUGUCAAUGGUUAGAACUUGGAAAUUUGAUAAUGCUCGGAUGAGAGAUGUUAUUUCUCAUAUGCUUAUGGUCCACGAGUUGCCUUUUGACUUUGUUGAGUAUGAUUUGUUUAAUGUGGUAAUGAAAGAAGCUAAUCCCCCGUUUAACAAGAUAUCACGUGCAACAAUUAGAGAAGAUUGUAUUUCUAGUUAUGGAAUUGAAAAAAAAGAGUUCAAAAGUUCUUCAAUAAUGUCAACCGAGUGAGCAUUACUACGGAUAUAUGGACAUCAGGUCAAAAUAUUCAUUAUAUGGUAGUGACAUGUCAUUUUGUAGAUUCUGAUUUUAAGCUUUAUGAAAAUAUCUUGAGUUUUGUUGAUGUGCCUCCACCAUAUUCGGGAGUACAUAUUUUUUAUUCUCUCUUUAAGCUAAAAGAGUGGAAUAUUGAAACAAACGUUGCUACGUUAACGGUGGAUAAUGCUAGAACUAAUGAUGUAGUGGCUAAGAAGUUGAGGGUAAACUUGAAUCUUCAAGAAAAACUCGUUCUUGGUGGAACGUUAUUCCAUGUACGAUGUUGUGCGCAUAUACUCAAUUUGCUUGUUCAAGAUGGUCUAGCAGAAAUUGAACCUAUUAUUCACAAUGUUCGUGAAAGUGUGAAACAUGUGAAUGCAUCCCCGGGGUCGAUCAUAUCUUUAGUGAGCUAGCGAAACAACUUUUAAUGUCAAAGAAGCAUUUAAUUCAAGAUGUUUCUACUCCAUGGAAUGCUACAUAUGCUAUGUUGUCUAAUGCUUUGGAGUUCAAAGAAGUGUUUGUAAAUUAUGCCGAUCGAGAGUCCACAUAUAAAUUUUUCCAAGUGACGAAGAUUGGAAGAAAUUUGAAGAUGUUUGCUCUUUUCUAGCACUUUUUGAGGAAACUACAAAAAUCAUUUCAGGUAUUAUUUAUUUUUGUUGUUUUAGUUUAAUAAUCACUUUUAGAUUAAAAACUAAUAUGAUGCCUAUAUCAUACAUCUAUGUUUAUUUUGACUAAAUAGCAAUAUGAUGGAUAUAUGUAAGUUUAUUUUUUAUAGGUUCUGAAUAUCCUACAUCCAACUUAUUUCUUAGCGAGUUGUUUGGUAUAAAGGAAGCUUUGGAUGCAAUAGCUUUAGAUGGAAGUGAAUAUAUGAAAUCAAUGGCCAUUAAAAUGAAGACAAAAUUUGACAAAUAUUAGGGUGAUUGUAAUUUGUUGAUCUCAAUUGGUGCGGAUUUGGAUCCAAGGUAUAAAAUGAAUUUAGUUGAGUUAUUUGGUUUUAUUAGAUUUUUUUUUAAUUUUAAUUGUUACUCUUUUUGUACUAGGUAUAAAAAUGAAAUUGAUCGACUUCUCUUUCAAGGCCAUAUAUUCUGACAACGAGGCUCCUCGACAAAUGCAAGUAGUUUGUGAUACUUUGUAUCUAUUAUUCGAAGAGUAUGUUAUGACCAUAAAACAUCGGUUGUUCCUUCAUCAAGUAGUGGAACAAACGGUGGCGUUGAUGCUUCCAAGAGUAGUUUUGCUUUGUUAACCGAACGGUUGGGUAAAGAUCUUAAAACUGGGACAACUAAAUAUGAUCAACAUAUUACAAGUGUCAAUAGUUUUACUACUUCAAAGUCAGAACUUGAUACUUAUUUGGAAGAUGGAGUUUACAUUGGUGAACCAGGUGCAUAUUUUGAUGCAUUGGCAUGGUGGAAAGAGAACAACUUGAAGUUUAGAAUUCUAUCCAAAAUGGUUGCUGAUGUCUUGGUAAUUCCGGUCACUAUUGUGGCGUCUGAGUCUGCUUUUAGUGUUGGUGGGAGGGUUAUUGAUCCACAUCACUGUUCUUUAGGAACAAACAUGGUAGAUAUGCUUAUUUGUGGAGCUUAUUGGUAUAGACCUUAUUAUGGGUUAGAGAGAAAAAAACAAGGUAUAUUUUUUAUUAUUAAUUUUUUAAUAUUAUGGAUUUCUUGAGCUAAUAACUUUUUGGUGUGUAAUAGAAAAAUGAGGAUAUUGUAGUUAUUGAACUACCUUCAGGACGAAGAUGAUAAUUGAUGUUCUUUAUGGUAAAGGUAACUAAAUUGUUUAUACUUUAACCCUCAUUACUUUUUUUUUAUAUAGCUUCAAUAAUUUUGAUAUGUUUUAUGUUUUUUUUGUUAGUAGAUUGGUUGUUGAAUUGAAAGAAUGGAUGUUGGAUUGAAGGAUCGGAUAGAAGGGAAAUGGUUUUUGUCUUUUUGAAGUAUUAUUUUGUUAUUUUUGUAUGGAAUGAGAAAGAACUAAGUAAAACUUUAUUGUGGUGUUAUGUUUUUCUCGAACAAUUAAGUAGAACAUUAUUAUUGUAUGGAAAUGUUGAACACGUGUUUGUUUUCAUUUGAGUUAAUGGUUGUUUAUUUAUGUUCAUUUAAGUUUGUUUGUGUUCGUUCAUAUAUGUUCGUUUAAGUUUGUUUGACUUUGUGUUCGUUUAUGUUUGAUUGUAUUCGUUUAUGUUUGUUUGUGUUCGUUUAUGUUUGUUUGUGUUCGUUUGUGUUCAUUUAUGUUUGUUUAUCAACUACACGAACAAACAUAAACGAACACGAGCAUAGUAAAUUUCUUAACGAACGAACACGAACAUAAAAAGUUAGUUCAUUUAGUUGUUAUUAUUCUUUUUUUGUUCGGUUAAAGUAAAAAAAAACGAACAUGAACAAGCCUCUGUUUAUGUUUGUUUAGUUCGUUUACAGCCCUAACCAUCACUGUCGAAAUUGAGGAAUUCCGGCCACGGUGAAGUAGAUACUGGCGGGCAGUUUCACCGGCGAAUGAGGACGAAUUUUUAGCGACUGAAGACGAUACUACGAUGAAGGUAGGUAUUUCCAGGUUAGUUCCCUUUCCCUUUUCUCUUGUAACAUUGUUUUUGAGUUGAUUUUAGUGAUUAAUUGCAAUAGGAACCCAAGACAAAGAUGUGGGAGCAUUACCCUGAGUUGUUCACAACAACGGACAUUGAGGAUGGAGUCUAGUUCUAAUGGGAUAGAGUUGUAACAUCUUUAAACCCUAAGUAUGAGAAUUAAUUGCAUUUUAUCCCUUGUAUGUGAAUUAAUUGCAAAAUUGACCCAUAGUGGCAUUUUCGUAAUUUUGGGCAGAGCAUGUGUAUUGUUGGGCAUACAGAUUGGUACACUGGGUGUACAUGUGUAAAUCUUAAGCCAUAAAAUUUAGUGUUUGGAUCCUAUUUAAACAUCCUUAACUCCCAUAUCCUCUUCUUUUCAUCAGCCUCUGGCCCCAUUUCUACCAAUUUGCAAACCCUAAUCCAUUUUAGAGCAUUCGUGAGCCUUUAAGUGCAUUUUGGUGACCUUGAAGUAGGAAGGAUGAAUAGAAUAUCCUCUUGGAUAAAUGGAACACUUUAGAUCUAGAAUCAUAUCAUCUUUUGGCAUCUUUUAGAGGUAAAAAGUUGUGAACUUGAUUAAGUGUUAAUUAGAUCUUGUUUAGCCAUGAAAUGGUGUUCUUUUGGUCCCAUAAGCUUCGUAUUAUGGGUAUCGAUUACUCUUAUCCAUAUAAGUUGUCCUUUUAGAUUUUUUGAAGCAUUUGGAAGCACAAAAAGGUAAUAUAGACUUUUAGUUUCCUUCCAUACAUGAGUUACAAGGUCUUAAUGGGCUAAGUAGUUAGGGUUUUUGUUACUGGCACUUAUUAGCCAUGCAAGACCAUAAAGUUGGAAACUUUAUGGCUAAGGAUGUUAGUUUAGGAUUAGAUCUGGACUAUUGGCAAAAAAGCUUAAGGAUUAAGCUCUUAACAAGAAGAAAAGGACUCAACCGCGUACGCUGGGCGUAUUGAGUCAACACAUCACGUUUUGGUCAAGCCUCGUGUACGCCAUGCGUACCAAAUGAGUGCAUUGGACAUACUCAGCUCGGUUGACCAAGUUUGACUUUUGACUUUUUGAUUUGGACCAAGAUUUGACCAAGUUUGACCUAAGGGUAUUUUGGGUAUUUUGAGUUGUAUUUGAGAUUAGUCGCUAUUGGAUGAAUAGGUGUUGGGUAAAUUUGAUAUUCAGAGCAGAGACCUAUUCAACUAUUCGUUGGGACUGAAAGGUGAGUCUUCCCACUGUCCUUAUGGGUCAAAGGCACAAAGGUCAGCCCAUUGGAUUAGAUAUCAUGUUUUGUUGUGUGUUGUUAUGCCAAGAUAUGUGUUCACUGGUAAUGUGAUUAGACUCGUAGAUCUGUAGGACUACCUAUGUUUGUUUGUUAUUGUUUAUUAUUGCAUAUGUCAACAUGUUACAGUUUAUGUUGGGUUGAGGCGAUCCUGCUUUAUGCUGAAGGUAAAUACACCCAGGGUGGCCCAGAUAGACUGAAGGCCUUUAAUAUGGUCCGGUCAGGAUGAAGGCCCUGAGAGUGGCCCAGAUAGUCUGUAGGCUUGCGAGGCGGUCUAAUCAUGAUGAAGGCCUAAGUAUGCAUGUUAUUGUUUGUUAUGUUGUGUGGUGGUGCGUUGGGGGAACUCAUUAAGCAUUGGCUUACAAUUUCAUCUUGUUAUUUCAGGUACUUCAUAGGAUCGCAGGAAAGCGAAGACGUGAUGUCACACCCCGCUAAAGCGAAAACACGGGACGCGACAGUAUAAAAGGUCUCAUAGAAAAGUUAAAAGACAACACCAACCGUAAUACUAAAAAGUAUUAAAAUUUACAAUGUGUUUGAACAUAUUUUAAAAGAAAUUACAAUGCAAUUAAAAUACAACCCAUGUGAAUGCUCCUAAAAGUGAUGUGUCCCUAAGUGCCAUCUUAUAGACGAGUUCCUGAAAAAGCAUGUAAAAUGAGUGGUCAACUACUGAAAUAGUUGGUGAGUACUCACAGGUUAAAAAUAAUACUAGUUGAGUGAAUCGUAAUCAAAGUUUUAAUAGAGGUUUCCAUAAAUAAAAGUACAUUGCUAAAAUGAGUAAAUAAGUUUGCAUAAACAAAGUUCGUUGUCAUCAUGAGAAAUAAAGUAUGUUGCCAAAGUGUGAUGCAAAGUUCAUAUUCUCCUGGGAAAUAAAGUUCGUUGCUAAAACGAGUAAACAUGUUUCGUUGUAAAAUGAGUAUACAAGUUUCGUUGAUAAAAUGAUUAUACAAGUUUCAUUGCUAAAAUGAGUAUACAAGUUUCGUUGACAAAAUGAGUAUACAAGUUUCAUCGCUAAAAUGAGUAUACAAGUUUCGUUGCUAAAAUGUGAUGUAAGAUUUGUAUGUGCAUCAAGUUUCCAUUCAUGCGUUCACAACCCCAGCCUAAUGACAGAAUCGUGCCAUAUUGACUACAAUGUGUAUCGCAAACAUAGAUAAUAAAAUCGCAAAAUUCACUCAAGAGAAUCGUGCGAGUGAGGAGUUGUCUACCUCUUGAUAGCGUUAUCCAUAAUAACCAUGGGCUCAAAAGAGUUAACGAGUUGUGUCAAAUGAUUCCAGGGAAUUAACCGCGAUACAGUCCUCAUGAAUUAGAGUAACAUACACAUACAUACAAAAUAUACCAACCAAGUUUGAUACGGUUCAAAAUAAAUACAACGAACAUAAAUAGUUUAGGACAUGUUUUUCCACCCCAAAACAUUUAAAACCGAAAAUAAGGGGAGUCAUGAAUACUCACAAUCUUUUGAGAUCUGCAAAUGGUGCCUUUAACUACGCUUCACUCGUACAUACCACUAUCGAUUCCUACAAUGAUGUUACACACUAAUGAGUCUCUAAUUGAAAUCUAAUACUUGUAUACUUACGACUACAAUAGAAUUAUGUCACUAAUGUGUCAAAAUUUUGAUAUUGAUAAGUUAUAAACAUUUUUCUAUGAAAUUUAAAUUUCUAUGAACUAAUUUGUUGUAUUACAAAUUCAAGUGGAAUUUCCCAUUAUUGAAAUGUUAAAUUUUAACAUUUUAGGAGGUCUUCCAAAGAUUAAAUAUUUAAAAACUAAGUCAAUUUAGUUCUAAAAGUUCUAAAACUUUGCAUUUCAGUUUUAGAUAAAGUCAAAGACCUUAAGAUAAGUUUUCUUGCAUUUUUUAUUUGUCUAGCUAUUUUUCACCAUUUUAAUUUCUUGAAUAAUCAUAAAAUCAUGAAAAAUACUAAAUAGUUAAAAAAAUUACCAAACUUUUGAUUUUGGUUCAAAAUAUAUUGAGAAACUUCCAGAUACAUUUUCAUGGAUUAUAGAUAUGUAUAGCCAUUUUUCUUAUAUUUAAUUCUCUAAAUAAAUAAAAAUUCUUGAAAAAUAGUAGUCAGUUAAGAAAAUUCCCCAAACUUUGUGCACUACUCUUAUAAAACAUAUUCAAUCUGGAAAAAAAUAUAAAAACUGAUUUUCAAAUAGUUUAACAUGAUUUGUCAGAUUUUUGUUUAUUUAUUCUAUCAAAAUAGAGAUAAAUAGAAAACAGUUUUAAAUAUUCUCCAAACUUUUUUUACUAGUGUGAUUAGACAUAUAAAAGCUGCGAAAAAUAUAAAAGUUGGUUUAUAAAUAGUUUAGAUAAUUUUCUUUGUUUUAUUUUCUUAAAUAAGAAUUAAUUCGUGAAUAAUUAUUAAUCGGUUUAUGAAAAUUACAAAAUAUUUUUUAGAAUUCAUACAUAGUGCAUAUAAGGUGGGAAAAAUAUGAAAAUGGAUUUCUAAAUAGUUUAACCUGAUUUUAUUAUUUUUUUGUGCAUUUAUUUUAACAAAAAUGGAGAUAAAUGGAAAACAGCUUCCAAAAUUCCUCAAGCUUUUUUUUACCAAUGUUAUUAAGCAUAUAUAAGCUGUGAAAAAUAUAAAAGUUAUUUUUCAAUCAAUUUUGCUAUUUUUCUUUGGUUUAUUCACUUAAAUAAUCAUUAAUUCGUGAAUAAUUAUUAAACACUUAAGGUAAAUUACAAAACUUUUUUUAAAUUUCAUACACAUUGUAUAUAAUCUGGGAAAAAUUUCAAAGGUGAUUUUUAUAUACUGGAGUAUGUUUUGUGGAUUUAAGUAUAUUUAAUCUUAGGAAGAUAGAAGAAAAACAGCUUACUGAAGAGAAAAUUAUACAACUUUUUAUGUGGCAUCCUAAUAUAUUAUAAAGUUUUCUGGUAAAUUGUCAUGAAUUUUGGAUAAGUAAAUCUAUUUUUCCCAUUUUUAAUCCAUUAUAAACACAAAAGUCAUUGAAAAAUAAGAUAUGCAUUAUAAAAAAUUCCCAAAAUAUUGUUCUGUGUAUGAAACAUGACCUAGAAGAAGCUAAAAUUAUUAAAUGCUCUUUUAAUAUCUCGGAACUUGGUUUUAUGUUUUAUUUGACUUAAUCAUAAAGAAAAUUAAAAAUCAUAGAAAACAGUAACAAAAAUUGAUGAUACUUCAUGAGGGAUGUUUAUUCAUGUAAUGGGCAAUCCACUAAUUUUUAUAGGGUUUAUUGACCUUAGUAAGUAUUCUAUGUGAUAUAUGGCCUCAUUUCUUGCCAACACUUACAAUAAAUCAAGAAAAAUUAAUAAAUACAUGAAACUUUCAAGAUCAUCUUAUUAUAUCACUGGGUUUCUAGGAAAAAUUAUUUUUGUACAUAAUCGAAGUAUUAUCUAUUUAUUUGGAUUAAAAUCUUUUAUGAACUUAUUUAAAUGUCUUUUAGCAAUGAACUUUGAACAUCAAGCAUUUAAGCUUGAUUUCAUCGCAUGCAUUAUGGUUUGAAGAUCAUGCAUUAACUUGAUUUGUUCAAAAUUGUGUUUUUAAGAAGAAAAAUCGGAUGCAUGUGAUUGAUGAACAUCAAAACUUAUAGAAAUGUUCAUUUCCUUGGUUUGACAUAGGUUUAGGUCAUGGAUGUUUACCAUUUCGUAGCAUGCAAGAUGUUUUUUGUGAAAAUCUACUACCAUCAUCAUCAAAUCCGAAAGGUAAAAAAAACAGGCAUAAGAUUUUUCUCAUGAAGAAGAUACAAAAAAAUAUGUCGAAAAUAAAGAGGAAUAACAAGAAAACUUAUAAAAAUUAUUAGGGAUCUUCAAAAGAUGUAUAUGCUUUGCCUUUUAUAUGAUUUGUGGCUUCAAAAGCACCAUCUAAACAUGUAAAUUCCAUGGCUUUAUGGAUGAUUAAUGGAGAAAGAAAAUGGGGUUUUUAGAGAGAAGAAAAGUGAGAAAAGAGAGAGUAUAUCUCUCUGGAUAACUCAUCUCUCUCGUCAUCUUUUUAGGGUUAUACUCCACCAAAACCGUAAACUAAAAUACAGAAAAGUAGUUACUCUCCUAUAUAAUCGAGUGACAAAAUCUCUCCCAUUGAUUCUACUUCAAACUUCGUCACUUCUAGAGAGAAGAAAAGGAGGAGAUUUUUUAGAGAGAAGUAUAGAUGUGGAGUGUAGGAAAAUGAAAAAUGAAUAAUGGUUUGGGGAAAUGGUGUAUUGGAGAGAGGGGGCCGAAUUUUGAGGGUGUAAUGACCUCCCUCUCUUUUACUUUUAUAAAAAAAAUCAAUUCUUUUAUAUAAAUAUCAAACUUUUUAUAAAAUAUACACCCUAACCUAAUUUUUAUUCAUGAAACCUUGAUUUUUGACUUAUAAAUUAAGGGUAAUUGUUAAUGACUUAAAUUUUAUUUUCCUUGAUUAUAUUUCCCUAAAUUUAGUUAUUUUAAAUUGAUAUUGUAAGGUUCAUAAUUAUUUUAAUUGAAUUUUAGAGGUCAAAUUUUAUAAAUUUAGGUUUUUAGGGCAUUUAGGGUUUUUAAGAGUUUUUAAAUCUUUGGACAUCAAAAUUACUUGAAUUUUGAGACUUCAAACUAUUUUAGAGUUUCAUAACUCUUAUUAAAAUUAGAAAUAAUGUUUUAAUUUACUUUUAUUGGUUUAUUGGCAUUCUAUGUAGUGAUUCUAAGAUUAAGCGAAAUUGAGAAAUCAAGUAUACUAGUCCUAGUUUUCAACUUUGACUUAAGAUACUAUGAGACUCUGACCUAAUUUCUACUUAUAGGUCGAGUGCAUGAUGUGUGUAUAUGAUUCAUGAAAAGGUGUUCAAGUCAAGGAAUAACCUGAAUUUGAAUAGUCGUUACAGUUAAGUAGUGGUAGAAUUCGCAUAUCAAUGUGAAAUCUAAGUACACUAUCCUUCAAUUCUACUUGUUUCCAAGUUUCUAGUAGGUUAUAACUUAGCUUCUAGUUACGAAGUCUAGAAUGUGUCGUGCCUAUACGUGUAACUAAUUUUAUUCAAAUCUAGAGCUAUCUUGAAUUUUAACGGUUGUCACACGUGAUCAUACACAUCUUCAUGUUUCAUGAUAUUGGAUCUUGGGAUACUCUAAUUAUGAUUAUACUUUUAAAAUAAUGGGUUUUUUUAAACACUUUAUGGUUAACGGGUUGUUUUUGAAAAAUUUAAAUUUCUAUGUUUUUUAGGAUGUUACACAAGGACAAUAUACAGGUAAAACCCGAAAUGCAACUCGUGUCACUUCCAUCACUCCAACAACUGCAUGCAUUGUACCAGGUGCAAUCACAUAGGGCAUACUAUAAACUAAUGUCGACAACACGUGACUACUCCUACUGCCAUAACCAACCCGUUGGUGGAUGCCUUGCUAGACAAUCGAGUCUGUUUUGAGUGUGGGAUUAUUUGGUACAUCAGGAGAAACUUCCCAAAGCUGAGGAACGAGGGAAGACACGCUCGGGGAAGAGCAUUUGUAAUUAGCAUAAUGGAAAUGGUGUAUUGGAGAGAGGGAGGACACGCUCGAGGAAGAGCAUUUGUGAUUAGGACCCCACUGUAGUAACAGAUAUAUCUCCUGUUAACGGUUUAUAUGCAUCUAUACUCUUUGAUUCUGGUGCUGAAAGAAGUUUCAUUACACCUAAGUUUAGAGAACUUUUAAUCCAUAAGUUUAGGAACUUAGAUGAGCCUUAUAUAGUAGAAAUGGCUAACAAAGAAUCUGGUAGUACUCAAGAAAUGCUACAAACCUGCCUUCUAACUCUCAAUAACCACACCUUUCAUGUGAACCCCAUGCCUAUGAUCAUCGGUAGCUUCGAUGUCGUAAUUGGCAUGGAUUGGUUAUCACCACACCGAGAUGAGAUCUUAUGCUACGGCAAGGCAGUAUGAAUACCUUUACCCAACCGGGGAGUCCUUAGUAAUCUACAGAGAUAAGACCAAAAAAGUCUUAGAAUCAUCUCUUGCAUGAAGGCACAAAAAUACCUUUAGUUACAAAAUCUCCUUUCCGAUUAGCCCCUUUGGAAAUUCAAGAGUGUCAUAUCAACUUCAGAAGCUUUUGGAUAAAGGCUUUAUAAUACAUGUGGUCAAAGAAAAAGGUAUUCACAGAGACCCUUCCAAGAUAAAGGCCAUAAAGAAUUGGGAAGCACCCAUAAUGCCAACAAAGGUGCAUUAAUUUCUAGGAUUGGCAGGCUAUUGCAGGAGAUUUAUAGAAAAAUUUCAAAGAUAGCCAAACCCCUCACAAAACUCACACAUAUGGAUACGAAUUUUGAAUGGAAAGAACAACAAAGAAUUUGUGUUUCAGAAAUUGAAACACAUGUUGUCUAGAGCACCAAUUCUUUCACAUCUGGACGGAACUGAAGACUAUGUUGUCUAUUGCGACACAUCACACCAGGGCAUGGGAUGUGUACUUAUGCAAAGUGACAAAGUGAUCGCUUAUGCUUCACACCAACUCAAGACUCACGAGAAUAAUUACAUCACCCUUGACCUAGAAUUAGGAGCUUUAAUUUUCACCUUAAAGAUCUAGCAACACUACUUGUGUGGCACGAAGUGUGUCAUAUACACCAACCUUAAAAGCCUUCAGCACAUGUUCAACCAAAAAGAACUCAAUAUGAGACAACUAAACUACUAAAUGACUACAAGUGCGAGAUUUGAUACCACUUGGGCAAGCACUCACUCUAACCAUUCAAUCAAACCUCCCUAUCCAAAUCUGAGAAGCACAAGUAGAGGCACUUAAAGAAGAAAAUAAUGUAGAGGAAUGCUUAUGAGGUAUGGAGAAACACUUCGAUUUCAAGGAAUGUGGAACCUUACGUUUCAUGGACCGAAUUCGGGUACCAAAUUCGGCAAUAUCAGGAGCCUAGUAUUAGACGAAGCUCACAACACGAGAUAUUCAGCUCACCCAGGAACUGAUAAGAUGUAUCUUAACUUAAAGAAAAGGUAUUGGUGGACGAACAUGAAGGCAGAAAUUGCCACCUACAUGAGUGAAUGCUUGACCUAUGCUAAGAUCAAGGAAAAAUACCAAAAAUUGUCGGGUUUACUUCAACAACCCAAAAUACGCAAGUGGAAGUAGGUGCAAGUCGCCAUGGAGUUUUUCAAAAAACUACCCAAGAAGCCUAGCGUUUAUGACACGAUUUGGGUAGUAAUCGAUCAUCUAAUUGAGUAUGCCAAUUUCAUACCCAUUGAGGAGACAGAAAAAAUGGAAAAGUUACCCAGGACAUACGUUAAGGAGAUAGUCCGGCUCCACAGCGUACCCACAUCUAUUAUCUCAGAUAGAUAUAGCCGAUUUACAUCCCGGUUUUAGCAAGCAAUGCGGCGAGCAUUGGAAACCCGACUCGAUAUAAGCAUAGCCAAUCACUCGCAGACAUAUGGUCCAAGCGAAAGGACCAUACUAACCUUGGAGGAUAUGUUCAGAGCAUGUAUGAUAGACUUUAGAGAUGCUUGGGAUACUCACCUACCAUUGGUUGAGUUCUCCUAUAACAAUAGUUAUUGAACAAGCAUAAAGGUUGCACCAUUUGAAGCACUUUAUGGUAGAAAGUGUCGUUCACUGUUAUGUUGUGUAGAAGUCGGAGCUACCCAACUAGCAAAGAAACAUUCAGGGAACAAUUUGCUAACCGAACCAAAGAUUAAUCACGAAACCACCGAGAAGAUCACGAUAAUUAAGGAACGGUUAAGAACAACUUGUGAUCGUCAAAAGAAAUAUGUCAACUUUCGACGAAAAGCACUUGAAUUUCAAGUUGGAGAUAGAGUCAUGCUAAGAGUAACUCCUUGGAAAGGAGUUAUAAGAUUUGGAAAGAGGGGCAAACUUAACCUGAGAUACAUAGAACCUUUUGAGAUCCUUUCUAAAAUAGGCCUAGUAGCCUACCAGCCCACUCAAUCCCAAGAGCUCAACUACGUGCACAAUGUUUUCCAUGUGUCCAACCAUAAGAAAUGUCUCUAUGAAGACAUGCUAGUUGUACCUCUCAACGAAAUCCUAAUUUAUACAACACUCAAAUUCAUCAAGGAACCAAUCAAGAUUAUGGAUCGUGGAGUCAAGAGGAUUAAACAAAGCCACAUUCCUAUAGUCAAGGUACGAUGGAACUCUAAGCGAUGAGCAGAAUACACAUGGAAAUGCGAAGAUCAAAUGAGGAACAAGGAUUCCUAUUUAUUUGAAAGCUCCCCAACUACACGUUAAAUUUCGGGAUGAAUUUUUUUUAAUAGUAAGAGGAUGUGACAACCCAGAGAAUACGUCAUCAACCGCCAUUAGUAUUUACCGAUAGAUUGUGAAAAUUUAAUAAGGACAACCCUAUAAUCAUCUGGUAUAUUUUAAUAUAUUCGAAUUUUCCGUCCUUAAUUACGUCAACCUCUAGGCUUAUAAAUGAGUGCGCAAAACUCGUGUCACUUUGAGUGAGUGUGCAAAAAAUCGUGUCACUUUGAGAACAAGUUAGCAUAUUUAGAAUCAUUAACCCACCACGAUUCUAGAAAUAUAAAUUUCAUAAGAAUCCAACUAAGUAUAGGUGAGAUAUGACUUUUAUAGUAAAUAAAUAUUUGUCGUUAUUAAAAAGUUACAACAACGAAAACUAUAAGGAGAAUGGUUGAUCUUUGGAAAAAACUCACCAACUAGGAAAUCGUGGUACUACGUAAAUUAGGAAAUAUGAGACAAAAAAACUUCUAAAAUAGAAUCUGUAUGAGAGAGUUAUGAUUUUUAUAAAAUCAGAACUGUAAUAAAACUUGUUGAAAAAAAAGUUAAAACUAGCCAAAACGACCAAAAGGAAAGUUGUAUAGGACGACGAGAAGUACACGGAUAUAUAAGAUUCGUUUAAAAUGGAGUUCGUAAGCGAGAGUUAUGGAAUUUCAAAUUUGGAUUUUUAUCGUCACGCGCGUCGUGCAGUCCGCCGCGCGCAUUCUGACAGUCGAUCCGUCUGGAUAUGAGAUGACAUGUCACAUAGAGAUGACGAGACAUGGCAGCCCUACGGCUCAUGCGCAAAAGUGCAGCGCGUAAUCCAAACUUGUUAUAAAGAGCAAGCUUCGACAUAUUAUUUUCCUCACCCCUCACACUCUUUCUCUCUUUGUAUCGAUCCGCUUGUCAUUGCCUCAAGCACCUCUCAAAGUGUUGACUUGUGGUUUCUACACUACAUCAACUUUUUCAUAACUCACAUGUGAGUUCACAACCCUAUUUUCCAAACCUUUUCUGGGGGGAGGGAAUACAUGUUAAAAUACAAUUAUAUGUAGUUAUUAAUAACUGUAGUUAGAUAAUUAUACUCAAAAUAUUAGGAUGAUAUUAUGCCUGGUAGAUACUCUACCCAAACUCUUUAGCUAAUAUUGUGCCUAGUUGUUAUACUAAAUCACAAUGAUAGAUAAGAUCAUACCUAGUGUUACGUUGACCAAUUGCCAGGAAAUACUGCUACUUUAUCACUACUAAAAAAACACAUCUUUUUCCGAGGCACAAUUUCCUCGGAAAUUCCUAGGAAACCGGUGUUUCUGUGGAAAUACCGAGGAAAAGUUGUGCGUAGCUAAAACCCUCCUAGGAAAGUUUUUGUGAGGUAUUUCCAAGGAAAUUUUCAAGGAAUUUCCGAAAAGAUAUUUUUGGUUGGAAGUCCCGAGGCAUUUUCGAGGCUAUUUUUUCCCGAGAAGUUUCCAAGGGAAUAUAUUUCCGAGGAAUUUCUUAGGAAACGUUUUUCCGAAGAAUUUCCUAGGAAAUAUAUUUCCGAGGAAUUUCUUAGGAAAUAUUUUUCCGAGGAAUUUCCUAGGAUAUAUUUCCUAGAAACUUCCUUGUACCAUUCACUUUUGACAGUUUUUGUGACACUUUUGUUUCCAAUAAAUUUCCUAGGACCAUAAAUUGUUGACACUUUUGGUGACAGAAUGUUCCUAGGAAAUAUGCAACACAAAAAUAAAAAAAAUUGAAAUUUUAAUGCCCAAAAUGCAGAAAUAUUUUAAUACAAAUUACCAACACAAAAACAAUAAAUCUAAAUCCAAAAAUUAUACAUUACAACACAAGUUUUAACAAUCUUCUGAACUACAAAACAUAAUAAAAAUGUACAAAUAUUUACAAAAAUAAUCUAAGGAGCAAUCGGUGAAUUAGUUGGAUUGUCGGGAGGGUUAUUCCUGUUGCAUCUCAUGAUUUAGAGCAUUUGUCCUUCCAUUUGUGCUUAUCUUUCGACCAUUUUGGCAUGUCUUUUGGUAUUUCUUGAUGAACUAUAUUUGUACAUUACAAUCGCUACAUACAACCCAAUUCAUGAUAAAUAAUCAUAUUCUCUUAAAAUCAUCUCCCAUUUUUGCUUGUAUUCUCUCUUCUUUCCUGUCCAUAAUAGACCCAAUAUUAUCAAAAAAGUUUUUUGUUCAUAAAAAAGACCAAAAGUUAUCAAAAAGUUUCAAAUCAUUUUUUGAUAUUGAGAAUUAAACAUCAUUAUCAUUACAUCAUAAUGAGAUCCUAUUUAAAACCUAUUUCAAAAGUUGCAUCUUAAUGAUGAAGCUAUAUAAUGAACAUGGUCCCUCAAACAUAUGACAUUAAAGGUGAACCUAAUAUAUAUGUUAAUCAACAAUACCUUAUGUGAGCAAAUAAGCAAACUUUUGCAAGAAAAGCAAAAGACAAAAUACACAUACAUAAGGCAAGUUGCAUAGAUGUUCUUCUCACCAUUCAACUAUAAAACAAUGCUUUCAAGUAGUACAAGUGAAAACAAUGAUAUUGAAUAGUUUUACUAACAUCAUACUCAUAUUUGGAAGGCAAGAUGACUUUUAAUAGCCUAGUUGUGGAACUUAUAGGAUUUCUUUAUAGAAUCCUUAGAUAAUUUAUACUACAAGUAACUAGAUCAACUCUAAUUAUCUAUUAGAACAAACUUCAAUGAUUUGAAUUCCAAAAUAUUAAAAAACUAAUCAAAAUUUUACCUUAAGUCUCAAAACAUAGAAUGUUGGAACUUUGAACUUGGAUUUUUCUGGUUCUGAACAUAUGGUUCAACAAUCACUCAUUUGAUUUAUCAAUUAUACCUAAAUAGUAAAGACUAAGUAAGGACCGAGAAAUCAAAAAGACGAAAAAGGAUUAGAAAAAAUCCAUUUUCUUACCCACCUGCUACCAUCUUAAUCACUACUAAAGAAUUAACAUAAACCACCACAAUCGGAGCCACUUACCUUCUUGCAGAAACCCUUGUCAUCACCGAAAAUCACAACAAAGAACCAUCACUACCUUCAACUUUAAACACACCUAGAACCACCAAAAAACCACAUCUCGCCACCCUAAUAUCGCCAUACCAUAAUCCGAAACCACCAUCGAGAACCACCAAACACCACCCCCUUAAAACCACAACCACCUGUUCAUCAUCUUUCUAAACACCCACAUAAACCUUCGCCACCAUCCAUUUCAGCCUUUGUCCUUGGUCGUUUUCUGCCAUUCUCGAACCACCAUAAAAACGCAACACUGAACACUAGAUGUUACUACCGGAAACAACCAUCUUUAUACCACCAACAACCACCGCCGCUUCCAUCUCCAAUCAUUGAACCACCUCCAUCACCGAUAAUCUCAUUGCCACCUUCGAGUGCCCUUAUAAUAAUCAGAAAUAACCACGUAAACCACCUGCAAGUUAGAAGAAAAGAAGAAGAAGAAGAAAAGAGGAGGCGGUUGUUUGGAUCGAUGUUUGCUGUUGUGAAAAUGCAAGGAAAGAAAAAGAAAAAUUAGGCCAAACGAUAUUUAAUGGGCUAACACAAACAAUUGGGCUAAGCUAAGGUUUUAAUUGGGCUAUGAGUGGAAAAAUAAUAAAUAAUAUUCAAUUUUCUCGGAAAUGCAUAGGAAUUUCCGAGGGAUUUCCUAGGAACAUAAUUCUUUUUUUUCAUCUUCCAGGUUUCAAAGGCCACGGUUGUACAAAAUACAUAAUAUUAAAAAAACAACGUUUUAACUCCAAAAAAACAAAAAAUGAGUUUUGAUCCUUGGAAAUACCUACGUAGUUCCAAGGGAUUAGUGAUAAAUUUUGUAUUGCGUAGGAAAUCCCUCGGUAUUUCCUAUACAUUUCCUAGGAACAUAAUUCGUUUUUUAUUUUUUGAUGUUCAAAUGAUGUUUUUUUUCAUUCUAUAUUUUCUUCGAGUUCAUUAUACAUCAAUUACUUUUAUUUGAUCAAGUUAUACACAAUAUAUACAUACAUACAUCCAUCUGCGCCAUCAGAAUCCAUUACUUAUAUAAAACAUUUGUUUACCAUUGUAAAUAUAUAUGUAUGUGUACAUAUAUGUGGUUGUGUAUGUGUAUAAUAUGUAUAAAUUUGUAAGAUAAAAGUAUUUAAUGUAUAACAAAGUUAUACAAAAUAUGAAACACAAAAACAACGUUUAAAACCUGAAAAACCAAAAAACGAGUUUUGGUCCUAGGAAAUCCCUAGGAAAUACCUACGUAUUUCUAAGGGAUUAGUGACAAAUUUUGUAUUGCAUAGGAAAUCCCUCGGUAUUUCCUACGCAUUUCUAAGUGAUUUCCUAGAAACAUAAUCUGUUUUUCAUUUUUUUAUGUUCAAACGUCGUUUUUUCGUUUUAUAUUUUGUUCAUCUUCAUUAUACACGAAUUACUUUUAUUUCAACAAGUUAUACACGAUAUAUACAUAUAUACAUGCAUGUAUACCAUCACAACCCAUUACUUAAAACAUUCAUUUGUCAUUAUAAAUCUAUAUGUAUGUGUAUGUGUAUAAUAUGUAUAACUUGGUAAGAUAAAAAUAUUUAAUGUAUAACAAAUUUGUAAAAAAUAUGAAACGAAAAUAAAAACGUUUGAACCUUGAAAAAAAUAAAAAAACGGGUUUUGGUCAUAGGAAAUCCCUUGGAAUUACCUACCUAUUUCUAAUGGAUUAGUGACAAAUUUUGCAUUGUGAAGGAAAUCCCUCGGUAUUCCCUACAUAUUUCCAAGAGAUUUCCUAGGAACAUCAUAUGUUUUCCAUUUUUUUAAUGUUCAAAUGACAAUUUUUGGUUCUAUAUUUUCUUCGACUUCAUUAUGCAUGAAUUACUUUUGUUUCACCAAGUUGUAUCUGGUAUAUACAUACAUACAUGUGUGUACACUAUAAUAACCAAUUACUCAAAAAAACUAAACGGUACCAUAUCAUUAAACUAUAAUAGUAAUACUCUAUAUUGUAUUAACUAUAAUCUUGUUAAUAAUAACAAUAAUAAUAAUAGUAAUAGUAAUAAUGAUAUGAAUGUUCAUGAUAAGAACUAGUAAUAACAUGAUAAUAAGAAUUAAUUUUUUGUGUUUCCUAGGAAAAUCGUAGGAAACUUUCAAGAAACUUCCUAGGAACCACUUAAGCAAAACACUUCCAACAUAAACGUGAAGCUCUUUGGCAUGCUAAACAAAUGAUAUGACUUGUUUAAUAUUUAAAUGUUAGUAAAAAAACUACCGAGAAACUACCUAGGAAUGUUAAAAAUAUAUUAUUUCGUAGGAAAAGCAUAGGAACUUCUGAGUGAAUUCCUAGGAACAUUAAAUGUAUAUUUAUUUCCUAGGGAAAGUUUAGAAACUUCUGAGGGACUUCCUAGGACAAUUGCUAAAUGUUUGACAUGUUCGGUGGGAAACCUUCGUUCGAAAAUUUCCUAGGAAAUCCCUCAGAAGUUCCGAGAAACUUCCUAGGAACUACUUAAGCAAAUCACUUUUAACGUAAAUUUGAAUCUCUUUGGCAUAAUUGAAAAAAAUGAUAUGAUUUGUUUAUAAUAAUAACUUGGUAAUAAAAAAAACUACCGAGGAACUUCUAAGGAAAUGCCAAAAAGACGUUUUCCUCGGAAAUUCCUCGGUAAUGCGUAGGAAGUAGCGAGAAAUUUUUGGUCCUAGGAAAUUUUUGUAGGAAACUCCACCUUUUUCUAGUAGUGUAUUCGUUAUUAUAGCCACCGUUUGGAUAAGCUUAGUACCUAGUGGUUACUCUGCCCAAAUACUUGGCUAUGCAAAACACGAUAAUUAUAUAUACGUAUAAGAUACAUAAUAUAUAUAUAUAUAUUAUGUAUCUUAUACAUAUAUAUAAUAUAUAGUCAUCACAUAUGAACAAAACGAGAUAAAAAACAAGACUGACUGGGGGAGGCCCGCAUAAUAAGAGCUAGAUGAGACAUGAUUCAUCAACACGCUGAAAGAUUUUCAGCUAGCUCCCGGCCUAUAAUCAUUAAAUAUUAAGUGAGCGGGGAAGAUAUGUAUAGAUUUAUACUGGAUUCACACUCCCACCUGUGAUUUCUAGGUACAACCUGACGGCAAGUCGAAGCAGGAAUAACAUUCUAAACACAUAUGUGACGUCCGAUAAAGCGUCGCAGUUUUCAUGAUCAACAAUUAUAGCUCGAUUAUAGGAACUCAUCGUAAAUUUGUUAAACUAAAACUAAGUAUCUUAGAAUACUACUAUGAAUCAACCUAAGAAAGUAGUGAUAGUACAUAAAAACUCAAGGAAGUGAGUUUAGGAUAAAUAAGAUAGCUAAAAUACCCACACAACAUUUCAAAAUAAUAAAACUUAUGGACUCACCAACAUUAUGUUGACCUUUCAAAAACCACAUGUAUUCUCAGCAGAAUGAACUCGGGUGAAGGAGGAGGUAACCCCGGUGAUGUAACUCGAAGUCUUUGUGCUUUACUAUUGUACUUUUCUUUCGUAACUUUUCUGUACCUCGAACAAUUGUGUAACAUAUUUUAUUUAAUGAAUCAAUAACAACGUUGUUUAAUAUAUCAGUGUAUUAUUCAAUAUAUGUCUUUGGCCUAAAAUCCAACAUCCUAACGUCACACAACCUACGUUUCCACCGUCAAGUAGGGGUAUGACAAAUUCUGUGGCUUGAGUUUGGAUAAUGAAAUGGUGUGGGCUUUCUCAUCAACAAUUUUUUGGGUUAUACGAUUUCCUUGAUUUCGUUGCAUGUUGGAGAAACUGCCCUAGGAAAGGGGAAAUUUUAAUUUAGUAUUUUACUCUUUUAUAUGGAGUAUAUGGAUGGCGGGUAAUAACAAGGUCUUUAAAAAAUCAUCUCAUCCCUUACUAUGGUGGCUGACAAUUGUAUCUCAUUAUCUUUCACUUGGUGUAAAUAUAGUGGUGAGGAUGGGGUCAUAAGUUGGGUGCAAUACUGUUGUAAUCCCUUAUCAUCUGGCUUCUAGUAUUUCUAAAUAUUGUACCUUGUUUUCCCACGUUGUAGUGGGAAAACAAAUUUAAGGCAAACUAUGAAUCUAUCUAAUUUGAUUAAUUUAACACCAUCAUCACUCAAUCAUAUGUAUUUUCGACUACCAAUUAGAAAUUCAUGGAGAUUAGAUUCACAAAUAAAUUCAUCAAAGAUAUUUGAGCUAGACGAAUUGAACAUGUUAUACGAUUCACGCAUCUCACUAAAGUGUACUAUGAAUAUGCAAAUACUGGUAAAGAACAUUUCAAUAUGAGGAGAUUAUCUUGGAGUAUUAUUUUUUCAUCUAUGUGAUAAGUUGUGUAUAUGUUUACCACUAUGAAAUCGUUAUCAAUCCCAACAACUAAGCCUACUUUUUUAACCAAAGAAAGUUUUCCCUUUAAUGCCUUUCAUUUUCUUGAAAAUUUUUGUUAUUCCACAAGUUAAUCAAACCACCGAAUCUCCAAUUAGCAUCCAUAAAAUCGAAGUUGUAAGAACUUUGUGUUCUUAAGUCAUUUUUUACGAUGAAAAUGAAUAGAAGUGGAAAAUAAUGUGUAAAGAGUCAUGUACCUCAUUUCUAGCAUCGAUAAAUUCGAAGUUGUAUGAAUGUUGUGUUCUUAAGUCAUUUUUUUAGAAAGGAAAUGAAUAGAAGUGGAAAGUAGAGUGGAAACAAUCAUGUUUCUUAUUUUUUAGAAAGAAGUGGAAAGAAGAGAAAUAAAUAUUUUUUUUAACAUUAUUCAUUCCUAUGUUUCCUCCAAAAAUUGAGAAUUUGAAUAGAAAAUAAUAUUCUACAAAUAGAAGAUUUUGCCAUUUACCAAUUUUUAACCUUCAAUCUAAAUAUAAAAAGAUAACAAUGCCUCCAUAACCAUGAUUUUUUCAACGCCUCUUAUGUAUGAUGUGUUCUCCAUCGUUAGACAACUACAACAUCUCCCGAUUCACUUUUUUAUUUAAUGUGGGAAAAAGAUAAAAACAUUAUAUAUUUCUGUUCCCCUACUUUCCUUUUCACUCUUAUUUUCCUUCACCAUCUUUUUCCUUUCAUUGGUUAAACUAAGGAAAACAACAAAAGACAAAGGAAAAUGAUUCGUACACAACAAUUUUUUUCAUACACAUCAAUUUAUGCUUUAAAUGAUUGUAUAAUACAACAUUUCAAAACAUAAAUAGUAGUAUAUAAAGAAAAACUAUUGUGUAUCGAUCAACUCCUAAAAACAAAAGAGUAGUCCCAUAAUUUUCAAAGAUCGGUUUUACUCAAGUCCGAUAAAGGUGUGUCCUAGAUACCACAAAAGUUAAUUUGGCGGGAUCAUUUAAUUCUCUUUAGUGAAUCUGUAUAUCUUUUCUCACCAACACCAUUGUGCCCUUGAUAUUAAUAGUAAAAAAAAAAUCAUUAAUUAUUCCUCUACAUAGCUUCUUCAAUCACUAACUUCUUAAUCUGAUUCGGCCCAUGUUAGUUGAAAACCAAGCCUUUCACCAAUUUUUAUUGUUUCAUUAACUUCAUUUGAAAUUAUGUCCCUUGAAUCAAAUUUUUCGACGAUUGAAAUCUAAGUCUUUUCACCAAGUAUCAUUUGUUCCACAAUUGUUUAUCAUAUUGUUCGAAUUGAUUAAGUGUCAGGAUGAAUUAGAAAUCAAUGGUCUUGGAAAAGAAUUAUAUUGGGAAAAUCCAUUUUAAGGUCUGAUGUGGGCAUUUAGAGGGUGUUUGGGAGUGUGUCUCAAAUUGACUCAUUAACUUAUUGGCUUUUGAAAAAUCCAAUAAGCUAAAAAAGUGUUUGGAUUGUUCAAAUGACUUUUUGGCUUGGCAACAAAGGGGAGUUUCAAAAAGUCAUAAAAUCUUGGCUUUUUUGUGACUUAUUGGCUUUUUGAGCAUUUUACUCCUAAAAAGGUGAGACAAAUACUUUUUAAAAUUAACUUAUUGACGUUUUAGUUUUUCUCUCCACAAAAACUAAUCCACACACUUUUUAAAAACUCUUUUUCCAAGAAGCUAGAUGUCAAUAAGGAUUUUUCUCUAAAGCACUUUUGAGAUUAAAAAACACUCCCAAACACCCCAUUAGUGGACCAUCAUCUUUUCCCAAUCCAUUUUAAUCUGAAAGAUAGGAGAAAUCGGAUGGAGAAGGUGUAAACAAAAUGAGCAAAUUCGAAUUGUAUUUAUAGGUUGCAAGAUUGGGAGGCGUGUUGCACCAUUGCUUAGGCAGUAACGGUGGCUUGUGGUGCUGACACGUGUCGCAUGAUGGUUGGGGCUAAUUCGCAAUUAGUAAGUAAAAUUCGUAAUCUUCGAAAAAACAUAAAUCUUGUAUAUGAGCUCCAUUUUCAACAUUAUUUAUGUCCCCGAUUUCUUAUCGAUGAGUACUAUAACUUUACUUUAGACCUCAACAACUAAAUCACAUUUUAUUUUCAAUUUUACAAUCUACCAAAAUUACAUUGUAAAAGGAUUUGCGAAAUUCAUAACUUCUUCAUAUGACCUUCGUUCGACCUUCUAUAUACUAAAGGAUUCAUAUGUAAAAGUACUUCGAUUCUUCUUUACAUUUUUUUGGCUAAAAAGCAAUUGAUCUUCAUUUCACUUUUUAUGACACACAUUGAUGUGGACACGAAACUUCGAAAGAUCAUAACCUCCUAAUACGAAGUCGGAUUCAGGCGUUCAUUAUGUACACGGGUUCGUAAUUACGAUUACUACAACUUUUGUUUAGAUUAGUUAUCCUAAUUACACUUAUGUUUUUAAUUUUUUAUUUAAGCCAAUUUUGUUAUGCUUUAGAAUAAGCUUAUAUACACAUAUUAUAUGCACAUAAUAUAUGUCCAACUCAAUACACAUAAUAUNNNNNNNNNNNNNNNNNNNNNNNNNNNNNNAUAUUGAAUAAUUCUUUAUUCAAUUAUUCAUAAGAAAAUCUACAUUUGUCAACUGACAUAGAUAUAGAUUUUCUAAGAAAUGUUUAGAAAGAAAUGCGGGUGUUACAAUUAUCUCCUCUUAAGUUGACUUCGUCCAGGAAUCAUGCAUUAACAAACAGAUUUGGAUAGCGACUCCUCAUUUCACAUUCUGUUUCCUAAGUGAGGUUUGAUCAUGUUGUAUGUUUUCAUCAUACAAACACUAAUUCGACUAUCUUACGUCGUAACUUCUUCCUUUUAAAGUCAACAAUUUCUUCAAGCCCUUAAUCCAUCUAUUGAUCUCAUCGAUUCUUAAUUCCGAAAGUAGUGUCAUAUUGGGAACUUUUCCCAAGAAUUUUCUCAAGUAACAAACAAGAAAGUUGUUAUGGAUACCUUCCAGUUCAACUUACAACUCCAGCUUGUAAUCUUGGUUCCCAAUUUUCUAAAUCACUUUAAACAGUCCAAUAAACCUUGGACUUAGCUUUCCACGUUUUCCAAAUCUUAUAAGUCUCUUCCAAUGAGAGACUUUGAGCAAUACCAAGUCUUUGAAUUUAUGUCAGCAUCGCUUACACUUAGCCAAUCCAUUCCCAGCACUACGUCGAAACCAUUUAACUGAAUGGGAAAUAAUUCCUCAUGGAACUUAUUUAUAUUCAAGUCAAUGACGAUGUUUCUCAUACAAUCACUAACAUGUACAAUCUUACCACAAGUAACUUCUACUGACAAGGCAAUAUCAAGUUUGUGUAGAGGCAUUGCAAGAUUUCUACCAAAUUUAUGAGAAAUAAAGGAGUAGUUUGCUCCCAAAUCAAAUAAAAUAUUGGCAGGCAAAUCAUUUACUAGAAAUAUACAAUAAGCGACAUAUGCUUCGUCUUUUGUUACCUUGAGAGUCAUCUGGAAAUGCUCGUACCUUUGGUGUGAGUUGUAUGGCAGGCAUUGCAACUCUUUUCUUCAUUGGACAAUCAUUCUUAAAAUGCCCUUCUCCUCAACACUCAAAACACACUUUCUUAUUGGAUGUACACUCGUUAGCAUAGUGACCCAUUUUUCCACACUUGAAGCAUGUCACCACCUCAUCACAUCUCCUAAAAUGCUUCUUCUUGAACUUGUCACAGCACUUCACCUCAUUGUUACCUCCAUACUUCUUAUCAUUAGGGCUAAGCUUAGAAAACACACUCUUCUUAUUUGAUUUGGAAGAUCCCUCAGACUUCCUUUUAUCUCUAGUCCUAGUCUUUUUUGGAUUCUUCUCCCUAAUAUGGAGUUCCACAUUCUUAGCUGCCCAGAUGGCUACUUUCAAAGUAGUUGCUAACUUCACCGUUGGACCAUACUCUGAUGGUAAUCCAUUACCGAAUUUCUUAAUCUUGGAUAGCUCGGUAUGGACCAAAUAAGAGACCAAUUUCAUCUUCUCAGAAAAAAGCGACAUCAUACUCAACAACGCUCCUUGAUUAGUUAUUAGGAUGAAUUAGAAAUCGACAAUCUUGGAAAAGAAUUAUAUUUGAGUAAUCAAUUGUAAGGUCUGAUACCGCCAUUUAGUGGAUGUUUGAGAAUGCGUUUCAAACUGACUUAUUAGCUUAUUGGCCUUUCAAAAAACCAAUAAGCUAAAAAAGUGUUAAGGUUGUUGAAAAUACAUUUUCAAAUACCUUUUGGCUAGGACAAAAUUGACAGUUUCAAACCCUUUCAAAAGAUCAUAAAAUCUUGGUUUUUUGUUGACUUAUUGGCUUUUUGAUAUUUCACCCUAAAAACUAAGUAAAACAUUUCUUAAAAGGACAAAUUACACGAAUGGUCCCUAUGGUUUGGUGUUUGUUACGCGCCUAGUCCCUAACUCCAGUUAAUAACCCUGCCAAUCCUUAAUAGUUUGGUUUAGUGCACGCCUGGUCCCUCAUCAAACCUUCCGUUUGAUUUUGGAGUUAAAACCCCCACGUGCCUUGCACGUUGAGGGUUAUUUCCAUUAUUUUACUUAUUCAUCCUUCAAAAACCCUGGAUCGGUGCAUCCCUCUUUUCUUCCUCUACGUUUGUUCUCUCAUUUCAUCUCUCGUUUCUUAAUGGACAAAAAAUCAACAAUGGUGAAAUGUAAUUGCGGGCAACCAAGUGUUAUACUGACAUCAUGUACCGAUGACAACCCCGGAAGAAAGUUUUAUGGCUGCACAAUGAAGGUAAGAUCGUUUUGAUUCUAACUCAAGCUUUUGUGAGACAAUGACCGUAUAUCUGUUGGAUUUGAACUUGAUGAAGAGUCCAGUUAAUGGUUUGGUCUAGGCUUUUAGUGUAUUUUUGUUUGGCACGAGUCUGUAAUACAGUUUAUGGGUUGUUUAUUUCUUUUUAGUCAUUUUGUGUGUUCACAACCGUAAACAGAGUUUACGGUCGUAAACAUGUUUACGACCGUAAACCUUGUUUACGGUCGCAAACACAGUUUGCGGUCUAAUCGAGUAUAAAUAGUGGAGGAGUUGGUCUUUUGUGGUUGUUGAUACCAUAGAGUUUAUAGAUCAGUCCAUCGAGUUGUACUUAACGAUUUAUUGAAUAUAAUCGUGUGCAAGCUUGGUUUCUUUUCAUCUUGUUCUUAUUCUGUGAUUGUUUAUUGCUUGAUUGCUGGUAAAGAUCCUUAUUUGGACCUUACAAUUGGUAUCAGAGCAGUAACUGGUGUCAAGCUUCAUUCAAUCGAGAUUUCGGGUGCUUAAAACUGAUAUUCUUAUUGUUCGAACAUUGGUUUUGGUAUUCUAAGUGGUUAAAAGAUCUGCAUCUAUUGCAAAAACGUGUGUUUGAGAGCUUUCUGGGAGUUUACUGCCAACCGUAAAUACCUUUUACGGUUCUAAACUCAAGAUCUUCAUCAACCGUAAACUGUGAAUAUUCAAAAACCACAAACAAGGCUUCAAGAACUUUAAGAUCUGUAAACUUAGAAACCGUAAACUCAGAAACUGUAAACCCUGUUUACGGUCGUAAACUCAUCAACUGCAAACACCUUUGUGAUUUUAAAUUGCUUUAAUUUCAAAUGGAUUCUCAAAGUCAAAAUCAUUUUCACUAACUUGAUACUGUCAUGGGCACUACUACACGUAUUCCAAGAUUGAUGUCUGCAGAUGAUUUUCCCGAGUGGAAGUAUAGAAUUGAAAAUACAUUAAGAUGAAAGAUUUCAAAGUCUAGAGAAUCAUUCUUAGAGGCCCUGUUAGAAUCACUAUGACAGUUGGAGGCCAAGUGAUUGACAAGGCUGUUGAAAACUACACUGAUGAGGAGUUUGAGAAAAUUGAGGAGCAAGAAAGGGCUUUAGCCACUUUAACCAUGGCAUUAUCUUCCGAUAUUGAUCAAGGUUUUCGUGAGUACACUUCUACUAAAGAUCUAUGGGAAGCCCUAAUUGAGGUUUAUGAGGGCAAUGCAGAUAUGAAGGAAAGUCGACAUGACAUGUUGAGACAAAAGUUUAAUAUGUUCAACUACAUUCCAGGAGAGACUCUUGAGGCUCAGCUACAACGAUUCACAACUCUCACGACUGACAUGAACAUAUUUGGGAUUUUCUUAACCAAGUCAGAAAUCAACAAGAAGCUUCUGAAUGCUCUUCCUAGAUCAUGGGAUAUGAAUGUUGCUGUAAUUAAGAAAACCAAGGAUUUAAAUCGCCUCACUCUUGCUGAAAUUAUGGCGAUCAUCAAAACUUGUGACAUUGAUGAAAAACAGAGAGAAGUUAAUCAUGUGAACUCAUACUCUACUACAAAUCUUGGAAUCUCAUCCAACAAUGCUUUCUCAUCCAUCAUGUCCUCCUCAGGUCAAUCCUUUGCAGCUCAACAACCUCGGAUUCAGAUAUUCGCUGCUGCAUCAUCCAUCCCUCACCAUCAAACUCAGCCAUAUGUCACUCCACAAGCUGUCCCUGCUCCAAAUGUGUCAGCUGUAGCUUCUUCUUCAAACUCAAAAGACUCUAAUGAAAAUCUGACUCUGGCUACUGGCUAGUUAAUUGCUACAAUGCUUUUGUAGCUGGAGAUCUUCCACCUUAGCUGUCAUUUGCUUAUUAGGAUCAGAUUCAUCCUGAAGACGUAGAAGAGAUGGACAUUACAUGGCAGAUUGCUACGGCUGUUUUCAGGGCCAAAUAGUUUGCUAAGAAGAUAGGGAAGAGCAACUGGGGCAUGAAUGUUGAUAAGAAGGUGGGAUUUAACAAGGGCAUGCUGAGAUGUUUCAACUGCCAUGAGUCGGGUCAUUUUGCUCAUGAAUGCGCUAAGCCAGAUCGUAGGAUCAACAACAACAGGCAAAUGGUAGUAGUGGGAAACAACCGUGCAGAUGCUGCAGCUAAUGGUGAGAAUGCUAUGGUCGCUCAAUCCUUUGACUGGGAGGACCAGAUUAAGGCUUUCAAUAUCUCUGGGCCAGAAAAUGAUCACCUAGCUCAAAUUGAUGAUGUUACCUUGAAGAACGAUGAUGUUGAUCCCGAAGCAGAAAUGAUGGAGCUGCAGUUUGCCCUAAUAGUGUCUACUUCUUCCGAGCCCAAGAAUAGCAAGGUAAACCUACCAUCUUGUUCUCAUGCAUGUAAAGAAUAUGUUAAAGUUCUUCGUGAUGAAAUCCAAUUAUUACGUAGAGAAGUAGAGGACCUUAGAUAUGAGGGCUACCAACUUAGGAAAGGACAAAAACCACUUAAGGCCUAGUUAGAAACUAAAAUAAAAGAUUUUAGAAGAAUUCAAACAUAAUACAGUGAAAAAUGUGAAUUGUAUGAUUAUAUUAAGAGACAAAAUGAUGAGUUAAUUACUAAGCUUGAUACAUUAAAAGGGGAGUUUGAUUCUGCAAACUUUUCAUUUCAAAAAUUUGAUGGAUCAAGCGAGGUAGUUAACACCAUGAUGUAUCAUUGCAUGCAAUUUAAACGAAAUCAGUCUAAGGGUUUAGGAUAUGAUAGUGUACCUCCUGCUUAUAAUCAUACAUAUCUGUAUCAACCUCUAUCCAAGGAGGAGAUUGCCAACAAACCAUUUAUGGCUUAUGGAAAGCCAUCUGGUUUUAUUUCAGGCGGAUUUAUUAACAUUGAAAGUACUAACAUUUCUACUACCCCUGCAAAUCAACCCUUAGACCAGGCAAAGCAUGGAGUCAGAGGACCUGUUUCUGUUUUUGUUUCUAAUUCUGAAUUUUCUGUUUCAAAUGAAAACGAUUAUGUUUCUGAUGUUAAUACUGAUAAUGUUUCUUGUGAUGCUUCCACAUCUGAUUCGGUUGCAUUUAAUUUCUUUGAUAUGUUUGAUGAACUGUUUGGUAAUUCUGAUGCUUGUGAUACUCAUGAAACACCAUCAAUUCCACAAGUCACAACAACUGAGACACCCUCACUUAUCUCCCAAUCUAUUCCUCAACCAUGUUCUUUUGAGAAAAGUGAGAGUGUCUGUCAAGAAAAUAAAUCUGAAAAAUAUAGUACAAGUUCAAAUAAUAAACGAAUUUGUUUUAAUUGUGGUGUUGGUGGUCAUAUAGCUAGGAAUUGUCAAAACAGGAUCUUUGUAAACUACUUGUCACCAAGAGGAGAGAACAAAUCUCGAGGAAGGUCUUUAAUUAGAAAAUCCUCAAGAACUCGUUCUCAAAAUGAUGAUUGGAAAGAUGAUCGAAGCAGAAAAGGGCUAAUUUUCAAAAGAAUAAAAAGGUUUUUACUAAAAAAGCUCAAAAUAGUUUGCCAAAACCGAACAAGGCUCCACCAAGAUCAGUUUCAUCAAAAAGCAAUUUUGGAUCUUCCACCACUUCUGGUAGAAAAUCCAGAGGCUCUGUGCAAACUCCUAAGAAACAUAUUUCAAAACCACCUGAGAAUGUUGUAAACCAAAUUACCAAUGGAAGCCCAAAUCACUUUCUAGUCCAUCAUUAACAUCUUCUGAAGUGAUUAAGAAUGAGAAUUCCAAUUUGAAAAUAUUGAAGGAUAAAUCAGAGAAAGCGAAAAGGAAACCCAAUACAGUGAUGACCUGGGUUUCUAAAUCUAAAUGAUUCCGCUCAUUUUGCAGGGACAGUUGCGGAGGAUUGUCGUUCGUCCUUGGUACGUCGACAGUGGCUGCUCCCGGCAUAUGACAGGAGACAUCUCCCAACUGAGCGAAAUUCAAUCUUUUAAUGGGGGUUAUGUUUCCUUCGCGGUCGUAGAUGGUGGCAAGAUCACACAAAGAGGAACCGUUACAAAUGGAGUGCUAAGCUUUGAGAAUGUCAACUUCGCUCCCGAGUUAAAGCAUAGCUUUUUGACUGUUUCUCAAAUCUGCGACAAAGGCUACUCUACCCAUUUUACCGAUAAAGAAUGUAUGAUUCUCAAGCCAGGCAUUGUCAUCCCGGAAGAGUGGAUUCUAGUCAAAUCUAAGCGGGAUGGGAAUGCUUACAUUAUUGAUAUGAAUAGUAACCUACUUGAACAAGUCACUUGCCUAUUCUCAAAAGUUUCCGAACAAAAUGCAAUGUUGUGGCACCGAAGGCUCGGUCAUGCUAACGCGAAAAAUGUGAAUCACCUUGCUAAGAAUGAGAUGGUCCGAGGCCUACCCGUCAGAGAUUUUAUUACAUUUGAGAAGUGUGUUUCCUGUGCUCAAGGCAAACAUCAUCGGAAACCGCACCUGCCCAAGCAAGUCAACUCAAUCAGUCAAGUGCUCCAAGUAUUGCAUAUGGACUUAUUUGGUCCGGUCAACGUCCUGAGCAUCAACAGAAGCUCGUACUGUCUCGUUGUGAUUGAUGAUUUCUCUCGGUUUACAUGGGUCUUCUUCUUAUCCAACAAAGCGGGGGUUGCUGAUCUGAUAAAGAAGUUCAUUGUGAUGAUUGAGAAGCAAACCAACAACCAAGUGAAGGCGCUUCGUACUGACAAUGGAACUGAGUUCAAGAAUGCAGUUCUUGACCAUUUUUGCGUAGAAAAGGGGAUAGUGCGUCAAUAUAGCUCUGCUCACACGCCUCAACAAAAUGGUGUUGUUGAAAGGAGAAAUAGAAAUUUGAAAGACGCCGCAAGGACAAUGCUUUGUGAUUCCAAACUACCUGUUUUCUUUUGGGCUGAGGCGAUUAACACUUCUUGCUACCUGCAGAAUCGUGUUCUAAUCAACAAAGCACAGAUGAAGACACCGUGCGAGAUUCUCUAUGGACACAAGCCUUCUGUCAGCCAUUUCCGUGUAUUUGGAUUCCCUUGCAGCCUUCUUCACUUGGAAUCAAACCCUAAAUUCAAUGCCAAAGCCUAUGAUUGUUACUUUGUAGGGUAUGCUGCGCGUACCAUGUAUAGGGUUUACAACAAAAAGACUAAGCAGAUAGUAGAAUCCUAUGAUGUGAGCUGGUUGGAGGAGAAUGAAAUAGCCACUCGAGUGGGUCCCGACUAGUUAUUUGAUUAAACAUCACUUUUCAAAUCUUUAAAUGUGUCUACGGAUAGUUCAAGUGGAUCCUCUUCUGGUUCGAAGAUUGUUUCUGAAGACGAAGAUGAAGAAGUUGUCUACAGACCUCCAACGGUUGAGGGGGAGUCCUCUGCUUCAUCUGAGGGGGGGGGGGGUUUCUGCUCCACCUGAGGGGGAGUCAUCUUAUCAACCAAAUAGUCCAGAGUCUAAGGUUACAAAUGAAACUCCUGAUGUUGAUGUUACACCUCUUACACCUGUUGAGAGAGAGUUCAUGUCUAGACAUGCUUCCGCUGUUAAUCCAACUUUUAUGGAACUACUCUUUCCUAAAGAAAUUGCUAAUGAGUUUGUAGCAGAUUCAUCUAAUGUGAAUCAAUCAGUAAAUGAUGGAAGUUUCAACAUACACCAUCUUCCUGUUUCACUCAAUGAUAUCAGCCAAGACAUACCUUCAAGAAUUCAACGCGAUCAUCCGAUCGAUAACAUCAUUGGUCAGCUGGGUGAUGGAGUUAAAACCAGAAGUCGGAGUGGAGAUGUUAAUGCAUGUCUCUACUCUUUCUUUAUAUCUCAAAUAGAGCCCAAGAACAUUGAAAUGGAUUUGAAUGAGCCCAGAUGGGUAGAUGCAAUGCAUGAAGAGCUAAAUCAGUUUGAAAAGCUCGGGGUUUGGAAGUUGGUCGAGUUACCAAAGGGCAAAAGGUCUCUUGACACGCGUUGGGUCUAUCGUAAUAAGCAGGAUGAUUCUGGUGUAAUAGUGCGUAAUAAAGCAAGGUUGGUGGUUCGCAGGUUUCGAAAAAUUGAGGGUCUUGAUUAUACUGAGGUGUAUGCUCCCGCGGCUCAUUUGGAGGCUAUUCGUAUCUUUCUCGUAUACACUUCCUACAUGAAAUUCACAGUCUUCCAAAUGGAUGUCAAGACUGCCUUCUUGUAUGGCAAGGUGAAGGAAGAAAUUUAUGUUGAUCAACACCCUAGGUUUGUUAACUCAAAGUUCCUUAAUCAUGUCUACAUGUUGGACAAGGCAUUGUAUGGGUUACAUCAAGCUCCUCGAGCAUGGUAUGCGACCCUAACAAAGCACUUGCUCGAGCAUGGAUACUCUCGCGACACUAUUGAUCAAACUUUAUUCAUCAAGCAUGUGGGUAAUGAUCAGAUACUAGUUCAGAUCUAUGUUGACGACAUUAUCUUCGGGUCUACUUGUCCAAAGCUUUGCAAAGAGUUUGAAGGCGUGAUGAAGAAGCGAUUCGAGAUGAGUUCUCUAGGUGAAAUGACCAUGUUUCUGGGGCUUCAGGUCAAACAAAGUUCAACCGGAAUCCUGCUACAUCAAGCUAAGUAUGUGGAGGAUAUUCUUGAGAAGUUCGGGUUUGAAGACGCAAAGCCUGCAUCGACACCAAUGGCAGAAAGGCCCCUGCUGAAUCCAGAUAUUGGUGGCAAAUCCGUAGAUCAGACUCACUAUAGAUCGAUGAUCGGUUCCCUGAUGUAUCUCACUGCAAGCCGUCUUGAUAUCAUGUUUGCAUUGUGUUAAUGCGCUCGCUAUCAGGCUAAUCCUAAACUUUCACAUCUUAUUGUUGUCAAAAGGAUUUUUCGGUAUAUCAAAGGAAGCCCAAAAUUGGGUCUUUGGUAUCCGAAGAAUUCUGAAAUUAAUUUAUAUGCUUUUUCUGACAGUAAUUAUGGAGGUUGUGAGCUUAACAGGAAAUCCACAUCAGGAGGGUGCCAAUUCCUUGGUGAUAGGCUAGUAUCAUGGCAGUGCAAGAAACAACAUACUGUCUCUACCUCAACAACAGAAGUGAAAUACAUUGUUGCAUCAACUUGUUGUUCUCAAGUUAUCUGGAUCCAACAUCAGCUGUUGGACUAUAGUUUGAAUUAUCUAGACACCCAAUUCAUUGUGAUAAUGAGGCUGCUAUUCAAAUCACUAAAAAUCCGGUCCAACAUUCCAAAACCAAGCACAUUGACAUCAAAAUUCACUUUAUCAGAGAUUGUUAUGAGCGUUCAAUCAUCUGGCUAGAACAAGUUCCCACUGCCAAUAAUGUGGUGGAUCUAUUUACUAAGCCUUUUAACAAAGCUCGAUUCGAUGUGCUUGUGGGAUUUUUGAAAAUGAUUCGUUUUGAGGAUUAAUUUUUGUUAUUAUUUAGGUUAGUUUAAAUUUGAGCAUUUCAGUCAUUUCUUUCUCUUCCAUGCACAAAUUUAGGGGGAGAAACAAACAAAACCAAACAAAAAUUAAAAAAAUAAUAAUAAAAAAAAUUUAAAAUUAAAAAAAAUUAAAAAAAUCCAAAAAACAUUCUGCUUCUGUUUUUUUUUUUUCAGAAAACAUUCAAAAAUCCAAAAGCAUUAAAAUUCAGAAAAAUUAAAAAAAAAUUGUUGCAUAAAGUUUUGCUUGUUGAUAAAGGACUGGGAAGUGAUAUUAUCAAGUGAUAACAGGCGGUGUAAAUCUACGUAACGUACCCAAAGUUGAAGGGUCUAUGCUCUGGGUUUGAUGCGUCGGUAGGCACGAAAGAUUUUAAAUGGACUUGACUAGGCACAGAUGAACUUAAGAAAUCAAAUUACUUAGCAAAUCUUGACCUAGAUAUAUAUCCGUUUAGCCUGACAAUACAACGCUUGGAUAGGUUGAGCAGGGAGAUAUACAUGAGAAUCCACCAGUUACAUUAAAGAACCCGUAUCUAGAACUGUGGUUUUACUUUUCCUCGAUGUACGGAUUCUGUCCUUAAUUCCGGUAUUGACGGAGCGACUGGGGAAUUCCAAUAAAGUAGGUCUAUAGAAAAUUGUUUUCUUUCUUUCUUACUGUUAGUCAUAUGUUGCCUCCUUUACGUGAUUGGAAGAUAUCCGACCUGGACUGCAACAUAUGCAAAUCUAUUUCUCUGCAUAUUAUAUCUAUGAAAUUCUUCCUAUCUGUUAGCCAUAUGAUGUCUCCUUUAUGUGAUUAACAAUCCGACAUGGUACACAGCAUAUGCAACCUUCUACUUCUCAAUCCCUCUAAAACUAUAAUUAAUAAUAAUCUGAUCUAUCCUCUCUAUGAAUAAUAGUCUGUUCACCUAAAGUAAGGAGUAUCUCGGAAGUUCUUGAUUAUUGGGGUAUAUCUGGAAGCGGGAAACACGUUCUAGUACAUCUAAAAUUGAACAAUUCAAGAUUGUUUGUAGAUCUCGCUGCUCAAUUUAGGUGGACAACAAUAUUCUUGGUCGUCGUUAGAUAAAUGGACCUUAGGAAUUUUAUCUAGUAACUUAGGAUCAAUCUAUCCUGUCACUGAUAGCGUUCGUAAAUCUGUCACAAUUUUUCAUGUUUAAGUGGACCACAAUACCGACGAUCGACUAGACAAACACGUGAAGAUGAACGGUACCGACAAGUGAAUUAAGAUUGUCUAACAACUUUGAUCUCAGCGUCACAAGAGUUUGUCAGUAAUUUGAGAUAAAUUUUGUCUAUGCUUAUUCAAAAUUUAAAUUUUUUAUUUUUUAUUUUUGCUUUUAAGUUUAAUUUUAUUUUUUUAUUUUUAUAAUUGUUAAAAAUUUAAUAUUUUAAAAUAUUUUAAUUCUUAAAUUUUUAGAAAUUAGUUUAUUUUUAGUUUUAUGUUAAUUUUAUUUUUAUUUUUAUUUUUAAUAUCCUCAAAAGGUUUUAUUUUUAAAAUUUUAAUCGGGAUUAGGACUGAGAUUUUAACUGUGUGGGAGACAGGUAAAAGUUAAGGGAGUAUAAAAGGAAGAGUUUACUGCUGUAAACCCUUUCCUCUCCCACUUCUCCCUUUUACAGCCGCAAGCCUCCUCCCUCCACUCUCUCUCUUUGGAUUUUUUUUUUCAGUUUUUAUUUGCGAAAUCAACUAGUUUGCUACGAAGGUACGUCAAAACCGACUGGGAAUAUGCUUUUUGUUCAUUGAUCCGACCAAAAAUGGAGGAGUAAUCUGAGUUUAAAAGUUCGUAGUCGUUUACUGUUCCUGAGGGUUUACAGUUUGGGGAUAUUCAAGAACCGUAAACUCGGUUUGGCCUUACGACCAUAAACUCG